rnacentral:lncRNA from 1 species
UCCUGUUGCAUCAGUUGUGACAGAUUGGGGUAAGGAUCCUUUCAGCUACGGUGCCUACUCAUAUGUUGCUGUUGGAGCUUCGGGGGAAGAUUAUGAUAUACUAGGGAGACCUGUUGAGAACUGCCUAUUUUUUGCUGGUGAAGCUACCUGCAAGGAGCAUCCUGACACUGUUGGUGGUGCGAUGAUGAGUGGCCUCCGGGAGGCAGUGCGUAUAAUUGACAUACUGACUACUGGAAAUGAUUAUACAGCAGAAGCAGACGCCAUUGCAGGUAUUCAGAGACAAUCAGAUUCUGAAAGGGCUGAAGUUAGAGACAUAACAAGGAGACUUGAUGCAGUUGAACUUUCAGAUGUCCUUUACAUGAACAAGGAGGCCCUACUCCAGGACAUGUUCUUUAAUGCAAAGACUACCAAAGGAAGGUUGCAUCUGGCCAAAGAGUUAUUGAGUCUUCCUGUUGAAACCUUGAAGUCCUUUGCUGGCACCAAAGAAGGGCUGACUACUCUCAACUCGUGGAUACUGGUAAUUCUGCAUCCAUAUUUAUCAUCAUUCAAUCAAAUAUGAAUUCACAAUAUGUUGACUCACACAUAUUUUGUUGUUGAUAGCAUCCAAUGUUUGCUUUCUUGGAGAUUUUGUUUUUCUGAGGGUAUAAAUUUCCUUACUACAACAGGACUCGAUGGGGAAGGCUGGGACUCAACUCUUGCGGCAUUGUGUUCGGCUUCUUGUGCUUGUUUCAACGGACCUACUGGCUGUGCGCUUGUCUGGUAUUUUCUCUUUAUUUCUCGAUCUUUAUCUACUGGCAUUCCUAUGUGCAUUAAUGGGUAUCAUAAUCAUUAGAAUGUAUUUCUUCAAAAUUAGUUAAUCUCUUGUUUGUUGGUGCAGGCAUUGGGAAAACUGUACGAGAAAAAGUUUGUGUACAUACAAGCCGUGAUAUACGUGCCAUAGCAAGUCAGCUGGUUAAUGUGUGGCUUGAAGUUUUCCGCAAGGAAAAAGCUUCCAAUGGUGCGUUGAAGUUGUCAAGGCAAGCAACUGCUGCAGAUGCAUUGAGGAGAAAACCAAUUAAAGAUCCAUCUUCUGGUAAGCCGCCUCUACACACAUUUCAUGGUGAUUUAGAGCACAAAGGAAGCUUACAGGAUUCAGCAUCGACCGCAAGCCAUUUGCCUUUGAAUGCAAAUGGUAAGAAAGUGAAUGGCAAACCCAUUAAGGGUGAAACAGCAAAUUCCUCAAAAUCAGAGAUUAAUUCAUCAAGGUUUCGAGGUUCAACUGGUAGACCACAUUCUGAGCUAAAGGAGAAUGACGUUGCUGUGACAGAAGCAGAACAAGCUGCCAUUGCUGCUGCUGAAGCAGCCCGUGCAGCAGCACUUGCAGCUGCCGAGGUUUAUUUCCCUUGACUCUACUCAAUUUAGUGUGAUAUAGUACUGCCUAUCCCCUUCCUAUUUGUGCCCUUUUGUUCUACAGGAAUUUAGUUAUCGUUGUUCAUUGUAGGCAUAUGCAUCUUCAGAAGCCAAGAGUGGUACUCUGCUUCAGCUUCCCAAGAUUCCCUCAUUUCAUAAGUUUGCUCGACGGGAGCAGUACCCUCAAAUGGAUGAGUAUGAUUUUAGGAGGAAGUGGUCAGGUGGUGAUUUGGGUAGACAAGAUUGUAUAUCAGAAAUAGACUCAAGAAACUGCAAAGUUAGGGACUGGUCUGUUGAUUUCUCUGCCACUUGCGUCAAUAUUGAUAGUUCAAGAAUGUCAGUCGAUAACCUCUCCCAGCGGAGCAAUCCAAAUGAGACUGGUAGUCAAACAAAUAUCCGAGAGCACUCAGGAGAGAGUGCUGCUGUCGACAGCAGUAUUUAUACAAGAGCAUGGGUCGAUACAGCUGGUAGUGCCGGGAUAAAGGAUUAUCAUGCCAUUGAGAUGUGGCAAUCUCAAGCAGCUGCAGUAGACCCUGAUUUCUUCCAUCCAGAACCGUAUAUACAUGAUGAGGAAGGUUCAAAUACAACUUCAAGAAAACACAGCUGGAAGCAUGAAGGACAUGUAAAUGAGGGCUCUGUUUCCCAAGUUACCGUGAACAAGGAGUCGUUAAAAAAUCAUCAUCGAGGAGCAGAUAAUAUUAAGCAGGCUGUUGUCGAUUAUGUGGCAUCAUUGCUUAUGCCCCUUUAUAAAGCUAAAAAGAUAGAUAGAGAGGGAUACAAGUCAAUCAUGAAGAAAAGUGCUACCAAAGUUAGUCAUUUUUCAUUUUUCCUUCCUGCCAUACUAAACAGAAAAUAUACCAUGGUUUCCAGUCAAAUUUUGUUGCAAUUUUGUUGAACUCAGUUUUGCAACUAUUCUUAUUGUUUUUAUUUACAGUCUUAAAUUUUUGGGGAAUUCAAUUUUCAGGUCAUGGAGCUCGCCACAGACUCAGAAAAAGCCAUGGCUGUUUAUGAGUUUCUUGAUUUCAAGCGCAGGAACAAGGUAUUCUUCCAUUAUUUUGUUAUAACAAGUCAUAUUUGUCUUUCCAUGCUUACUUUAAUGAGUUUUUUUUUUUUAAGUCAUUAAAGUGAUUUCCUGGCUGAUUUUUGAAAUAUUUUCCAACGGCUUUCUUCACCUGAAUGAGCAAAGAGAAUACAAAAUUGUUGGCAACUUGAAAUUUUUGUACAUGCUAUCCUGAAAGUUUUUUUUACUGUACAUCAAUUUGAGCCAGGAAAUGAACAGAAGUUUUUUCAUUAAGAAAUAUAAUAUAUGAUGCAGUGACAUUAGUUUCUUCUUACCAAGUUCCUUUUCAAUGAUUUAAAAACUGCAGAUCCGUGCUUUUGUGGAUAAAUUGAUUGAGAGGCACAUGGCAGCAAAACCCACAGUGAAAUCUUGAUGGUCCCUUGGGUUAAUGGACCUGUGUUUGUGCAUGACUUCUGUACAGUACAUGCGUAAGUCUGUUGUUCCCGGAUGAAUUUACAGCAUAAGCUGGAAGUGGUGGCGCACAGAUAGAAUCAAAUUAGAUCUUAAUGAAACUGCCAACAAGCACUUUUGUGAUUUGGAAGGAGCAAUGGAAGAAAGGCAUGGGGUUUGUUGCCUGUCAAUCCGGGCAUCAUGGAAUGCAAUUAUCGUUGGUCAAUGCAAUUAUCGUUGGUCAGUGCAACGGGGACAAACCAUUUUGGAUACAAAUCUAAGUUAACGAAUUUGCUCAAAGCAGGUUGCUGUGUCCAUUUCAGUUACGUGCAUCAACUUGGUAUGGAGAUGAUAGUAGAUUGCAUUUAGAAGUUGGCUUGUCGUCCAUCAAGGAUGUAUUUCUAGGGCUGAAAAAUUAAGACCCUAUUUUUCAUUCAGGGAUCCUCAACGAGGACAAACUAAUUCCUGACUUUUUUUUCUUUUAUCAUUUUUCCAAUGUGUACAGAGUAGGAUUGUGUUAGCUCAACAAGAAUACAGAACAUUUUUCCAUGCUGGCCAAAGUACUUUAAUAUGUUAUGGUUACGCUUUUGGUUUUACAGAAUCACUAACUUCACAUUUGCUCACAAUUAAAUUGAAUGAAGGAGUUGCAUAUUUCUCUAUUAGAAGACUCCGAGGGAUGAAAUAUCUGCUUUCUGAACUUUUUUCCUCUCUGAUUAUUUGCCUUGGGUCGGGAGGCUUUUCUAUUCAUGUAUGAUGUAUGCGCUAAUAGUUUCAACUUCUUGUUCCAGCUUCCAAAAUAGUUAUCAUUUGAAAUCCAGAAAAUAACCGCAGGUAUAAUUUGUUAUAGAUGUUCUGUUAUAUAUCUAAAACUAUGCAUACAGAAGCUGUAUGCAGUUUUAGUUUCGAUUAUGGUUGGACUGCAUGAUGAAAUGCCAGGUUUUAUCUGUCAUAUUGAAAAGCAUUUUCACUCAUUCUAUUGUUUUUUUAGUCUCUGAUUACGCCUCUGUUUGAUUCUUGCUAGGCCGGGAUAGAUGUUUUUGGCUGUUCAGAAGAAGCAAGAGGUAUGCGCUCUAGCCUCUGUAUCCCCACAUUUGUUGAUGCUAAUAUAUUUUGAAGAUUUCUUUGAUCAACCCUUGCCUGAUUUUUGUUCAAUAUGCCGAACUGUUGGCAGAUGCCAUGGAUUGGAGAUGAAAUAGUCUAAUAGAUGUGUUUGUUUAACAUGUUAUGUGUUUUUUUGCCCGACAUUUGUAUUUACUUCCUCUCAGUUGGGAUUCCUAUUAUCUUACAUGGCGGUGCUGGAAGUAUGCCUCCAUACGUUGUGUUUCACGCUUUGUUGCUUUGAAAAUUGACAUGAGCUUUUUUCUUGCUUGACAUCAACCCAAUUUUUCUUGAAAGUUAGUAAUGGUAUCUAUUCCAUUUGAGCGAUUAGUGUUACCCGAGUAAUGGAGAUAUAAUAUAUAAGUAUUCUCUUUCCCUUUCAUUUCGGGUGAGGUUCAAAUGAUACCGAGCAUUUGAAAUUUGUCGUUUCAUAUGCAGUGUCCGUGUUCAAUGAUUUCGAGAUGAAUUAUGUGUUACCGUCUGUAAUAAAGCCCUUUCUUGCUCCUCCAGAGUCUAGAUUGAUUCGUGGGUUGGGUUGUCUUCUGCGACAACCCUCUCAUGGGCGGUGGGACCCGCAUGCAUUUACCCAUCUUGGUGUUGGUCCCACCUCCCGCUAUAGUGCAUCAUGUAAGUUGUGCUAGAAUGGAGUCGUCUUCCAAUAGCAUUGUAAUUAGCAAUAGAUGAAUAGUCUUGUAAAAGUCCCAUGGAUUUGAAAGGGCCAAUGAUUUCUGCGCACUUUUUUUCAUCUCUGCACGCAUGCCCUUUUGUUUUUUAUUCCCCUAAGAGAUUCAAGGGUCAUAAUUAAAAGAGAGGGUUCACAAAAGCAAAAGACGAAAAACGGUGUGCAUAAAUUAUUUUUCAUUUAACGAAGUUCAGUUUUCAUGGGAGGGGGGAGCAAUUAGUAGGAAUGAUCAUCUUUUUACAUUUGGUUGUAUAAAUAAUUAUUUUUUAACAUCGACAACAUAACCACUUUUGGGAAAUUAGCAAAAAUGAUUAUUUAUGCAAUCAAGUAUCAAAAUUAAAUCAUUUUUAAUUGGUUUUUUUUUUUAAAAGGCGAUAUUUUAAUUAAAACUAGUCUAAUUUGUGGGAAUAACAAAACCGGGUUAAGGAUUUCGAAUCCUGCAAAACCGUGUCCGUGUUUCCAUUCGAUGGGCUGGGUUGGCCCCAACUAACCAUUCCCAGAUUGGGCCUCAAGCUAACAUAAGGCCCAAAUUACAGAGUCUUACUUUCUGAGGCUGAGAUCGAAACACGCAUAAACGCUUAAAGGGGUUUUGGCGGAGAGGAGAGGAGAGGAGAAAACAAAUCCAUCAAAAGCCAGAUCCGAUCAAAGAAUAUCUGUCCAUAAAUCGAGGAGAAUGUCUUCUUCAACCUUCAGUGGCGAUGAAACGGCACCGUUCUUCGGGUUCCUCGGCGCCGCCGCGGCCCUCGUCUUCUCCUGUAUGUUCCCAUUCGGCCCAGAUCUAAGCACCUAGGGUUUGGUCCCGGCGGAUAUAGGGGUUUUGAUCCCAUUUUGUGUGUUUUGCAGGUAUGGGAGCUGCAUAUGGGACGGCGAAGAGCGGAGUAGGAGUGGCGUCGAUGGGAGUGAUGAGGCCGGAGCUGGUGAUGAAGUCGAUCGUGCCGGUAGUUAUGGCGGGAGUGUUGGGUAUUUACGGGCUCAUUAUCGCCGUCAUCAUCAGUACCGGUAUCAACCCCAAGGCUAAGUCCUAUUACCUUUUCGAUGGCUAUGCUCAUCUUUCCUCUGGUCUAGCUUGCGGCCUUGCCGGUCUAUCUGCCGGUAUGGCUAUUGGCAUUGUCGGUGAUGCCGGUGUUAGGUAACAUCUCUCGUUCUAUCUCGGCAAUUCCGGAUUCUAUCUCGAUUUUGCAUUGCUUCAAUCUGGUUUAGGAUGUUUGUACUCAUUGUGCUAUUUUAAUCUGUCACUGCUUGUAUAAAUUGCAAUACAACAUCGAUUUGAUUGUUUAAGAACCGGGUUUUCUGUGGCGUGCCGGGCUUGUAUUUACUGGUUCUUAGUAAUAGCAGUUUGCUCUGUCAUAUGCCUGGUGUUAUAUUAUCGAAUUUGUGACAUAUAAGUGCUGACUUUCCAACGGUUGAAGGCCAUCAAAUGAAUAUCGCAACUGAAAACCAGUUAGAGAUCUUGAAGUGUGUUUAUAUAGAAGCUAUGGUUGUCAGUCAGUUUUCCUGAGCAUUCAUGAAUUGUCUUUACGGCCGUGUUACUCGUAUUUGGUAUCUUGUUGCGUUUCGAUUGAGAGUUUCCUCCUCUAAUGUCAUUUUGGAAUUAUGCAGAGCCAAUGCACAACAGCCAAAGCUUUUCGUUGGGAUGAUCCUCAUUCUCAUUUUUGCUGAAGCACUGGCACUGUACGGUCUGAUUGUUGGUAUCAUUCUCUCUUCCCGAUCGGGUCAGUCAAGAGCUGACUAGAAGGUGUGCUUGGUGGCGUUUUCAGUUGCUGCUAUUUAUCAAGAACUACUUUACUGUUUUGGUUAGAAGUUAUAGUUUUGUUUCGAAGGUGCGAUGCAGCAGAUUCAUGUAUGAUGUGAUUGAUGUUGUGUUCUACCAGGUGGAUUGUGGUAGUAUUUAUGUGCCAAAGGUGUUAGAAAUAGAAUUAGCUAUUAGUUUUACUUCCGAAUAAGUUUGCGUUGUGUUUCACGAUCCCAUAUGCUGUAUUGAGAAAUCGAAUUAAACAUUUAUUUGUUCAAGUUUAUAUAGCCUGUAUCAUUGUGUUUGGUGCAUUCGUUCUUAUUUUGCUUCUGGAUUUGUUAGUAGUUAUGUGUUGCGAUACCGAUUUAUUGGCAUGGUCCGUCGAGUAUUUGUAGUUUGGUUUAUGAAGGUGAAAUCAUUUGAGAAAUCCAAUGCAGAGGUGAACGCAUUGUUGGGUUUCUAUCUGAUCAAAUGAACCCCAGUGUGAACAUGGUAGAGUGAGUUUGGAGCUCUGUGUUCGGGUAGACCCAAGGGCUCAUAGAGACCAUUGAAUUGAAUAAUUCACCAUGCUCACGGCUUUAGUGAUGAUAUAAACUUACCCUUUGUAAUACCCGCGGAAAGAAUUAUAAUGGGUAAGUUUCUUUCAUGUCUAAUUUCUUGGAUUAAUUUUUAGGUCAUCUUCAACUAAUCCAGCCAAAGGAUCAUAGGGCUAAAAAUAGCUAAGAAUGACAUGAAAACCAUAUCCAUCCAAGGGCUAGUGGGCUGGUCCUUUCCAACCAGCCCGCCCUCAAGCCCAGCCCUCCAACGCUAGAAUGUCAAGCUUGACAUUUUGCCAGCCCUCCAGCUCAACCUAUUUGAAUGCCAACGGCUACUUGGAGUCAGCAUGACACUAGCUAGCAACGGCUAGCUAACGUCAGGUUAUUGUUGAAAUUUUUUUCUUAUAAAUGCCUACAACAUUGAAAGCUGAAAAUAAGAAGUGUCACGGAGAUAAGAAUCCUAUCUAAAAUUUGCACAACCAAUUGCAUCUCGACAUGUGUUACUUAAAAUUCUAUCCGAAAAAUUAUUAAGAUUACAUAAAAAUAAAAAAUUUAGAGAGUUACGUAUUUUGAUGUUCUUUAAUUUAUUUUAUUCAAUAGUCAAAAAUUGAUAAAGGUGUUUGCGAGGUUAAAAUAGAUGUUUGGCAUAGCACCACCAAACAAUAAAUUGUGUGUGAACUCGGAGGCUUUCGUUCCUGUUUCAUGUGGGCCUCACAAGGCUAAAAUUUACGUCAUCGCCAACGUCUUUACUCGAAUCACCGUCAAUGCUGACGACUGAUCCAGAAUUUAACACGUGUCCCUAGUAUCAGCUUCGAAGAAACGAAGCUCUUCUGUCUCCUUCCUUCGGAGCCUAAAAAGCGCGAAACAUUGGCUAAGAGUCGGCGUAUAUAUAAACUGUCCGUUAUUAGUCGCAGCCAAAAAUCAAAGUUUCCAUUGUUUUGAAAGCGUAUGAACCUGCGUAGAAUUUCGUCGAGAAUGGCCGGCGAAAUUAGCAGGUCCGCCGAGCAACGAACCUCCCCUGCCGCCGUUGCUGCAGCCUACGAAUCCGAUGCUGUUGCUGCUGCGGUUAAUCCCAAGUCCAAAUCGUUUUGGCCCUCUGUCCUCCGUUGGAUCCCUACUUCCACCGAUAAGAUCAUCGCCGCCGAGAAGCGCCUGCUCUCUCUUGUCAAGUAAUCCACCUCUCUCUCACUCUCUCUUCAAUUCGGUUGAUUGCAGAGUUGUGUUAAUUUGUUGAGCAAAUACUGAAACGGAAACUAGCGAAUUUGUUAGUUUGUGCCGUCAUGAAGUUCUAAUUUUUAGGAUUUUUCUGAAUUACAAUUGUAAUAAGAACCUUAAUUUGGAGCUGAAGUUGGCUAAUUUCUCAAAUUUCUUAUCAACUUUGUGUGUUCAAACCCCAACUCUUAAAUUUCUUCAAUUUACUGAACGGUUGAAAAGGUUGAAUUCUGACAAAUAAUUGGAAUUGCUUGAAUUUCGCAGGACUCCUUAUGUUCAAGAACUGGUGAAUAUAGGAUCUGGACCACCGGGCUCUAAAGUCAGGUGGUUUCGAUCCGAAAGCAAUGAAGAAAGGCAAAUCAACACGGUUUCAUUUGACAGCAAAGAGAAUUCUCCUACUAUUGUUAUGAUUCACGGAUACGGUGCUUCUCAAGGUUUCUUCUUUAGAAAUUUCGAUGCCCUUGCCAGUCGGUUCAGGGUCCUUGCCAUUGAUCAACUAGGGUGAGCAGAUUCUUAACGUUGAUUGUUGAAUUUAUUCUCUGUUUGCUUAGUUUUUUUAACCCCUCUUGGAAGUUAUUGACUUUUACAUGCUUUAAGUUAUUCCUUGGUGUGCAACUCACCUUAACUACUUUGUGAAGAUAAUAAGAUAUCCUUUUGUUUUCAGUUGUAAUGUUAAAACUUGUACAUGUACACCGCAGCGAUGAACGAACAUAAUUUUACAAUUCUAAGUAGUCUAACUGAUGCUUAAGUAUUUGUGUUUUUGUACCAGAUGCUUAGUCUUGGUUCUCUUAAGGAAAUUAAACUCUUUUCUUUUCUAUUUUUGGUGUCUGCUGCUCCGGAAACAUUUCUUAAAUAAUUACUACAGGCUUUGUUGGGAUACAAAUUCUUCUAGCUCUGAGUCCACAGGCUUUUAUUUUGGUGUUCUCCAUUGUAGUUCUACUGUGCACUUGGUUUCUUUUCCUUCUGAUGUCGAAAACUUUUUAAAGACACACAACUUCCCUUUCAUGUUUGAUGCCAAACAGUUUUAACCUUUUGUAGUUCCAUGUUAGAUGGUGCUUUUUGGGGUGUAUUUCUGUGAUAUAUUUUGUUCUCAAAUCCUUGGUUUAAUGUUAUUUACAGUUGGGGCGGAUCAAGCAGGCCUGAUUUUACAUGUAAAAGCACUGAAGGUAUGGCGUUAUAUUUUGAUCUUUGUGCCGCAAGUUAUAACUCACUUUGACGGUGGUCAAGAGUUUUUUUCACUAUUAAUCUUUAAGAUGGACAGUAUAACUUUUCCAGAGUAAUUAACUAGCAACUGGUAAUGCAGAAACUGAGGCAUGGUUCAUCGAUUCCUUUGAGGAAUGGCGAAAAGCCAAAAACCUCAGCAACUUUAUAUUACUUGGGCAUUCAGUUGGUGGGUAUGUUGCAUCAAAGUACGCUCUGAAGGUAUUUGCUAUCCCAUAUAUUUAGUUGAAUCUAGGGAUAAUGGUGGUAGGUCUGGUAUUCAUGGUCGUAAUUUUUUUUUAUAUGAUAGCAUCCAGAGCACGUUAAGCAUUUGAUUUUAGUGGGGCCUGUCGGGUUUUCAUUGGAGUCGGAUGCAUCGUAUGAGAGGAUUAACCAAUUCAAAGCAACAUGGAAAGGAGCAAUUUUCAACUAUUUGUGGGAGUCUAAUUUUACUCCACAGAAGUUAGUCAGGUAGAUACAUAUUUUCCGUCCUCAUACAAAUGUCAAUACGAUUUGCAAAAUCAUAUCAUGCAUGGUACAUAGUAUCCAUUUCAAUCAUUUUUGUAGGUUUCUGAUAUGGUAGUUGCACACUUUACAGAUGCAGGUUGCAACAUGUUCUAUGAACCUCUAAUACUAAUUCUUUGGAAAUAUUAUUCUUUUGCAUUUAUUUGAAACAACUUGAGCUUCCCACCUCCGCUCAUACUAAUUUCCCAUGCUUCCUCUCCUCUCUCACCCUUCUCCUGAGAGGAAUAGACAGAGGAAGCACGGAGGCAUGCACAUGUUUAUGUUUGUUUUUUUAAAUUAUGUUGUCAAGUUGUGUGGUUCUUUUGUUCAAAUUGUCAGUUUGGACACGAAGUACUUUUUCUCAUUCAUACCGUGCGCAUUUUGAGCCAUUGGUGCACUUUGAAAUCCAUUUCUUCCAAAGAUUAGUGGUGGAUUAGAGAUGAAAGAGAGAACGAGGUGGUUCAUGUUGUGCUUGCCUUAGAUCUUAUGUUUGUGUAUGUUUACCUUAUUUUUGCAGAGGACUGGGGCCUUUGGGUCCAAAUCUCGUUCGGAGAUACACUACUGCCAGAUUUGGUUCUUAUUCAACAGGGACCGCACUAACUGAAGAGGAAUCCCGACUUCUAACAGGUAAUUUAAGGUCAAUUUAUUUGUGCACAGAACACACAUAUCCAACUUUUAAGAUCUUGAUGGUUGCUUUUUUCAAUUGCAGAUUAUGUGUACCAUACUUUAGCAGCCAAAGCUAGUGGGGAGCUGUGCUUAAAGUACAUAUUAUCUUUCGGAGCAUUUGCUAGGAGUCCCCUUAUACAGAGGUCUGAUGAUACUAAUCUCUUUACUGAACAUCAAAGAAUAGUUGGAAGUCUGUUGUAAUAAAGUUGCUUUGAGCGAAUCAUUUACGCGUGUCCUUUUCUUUUAUGUACAGUGCAUCGGAGUGGAAAGUGCCGACUACUUUUAUUUACGGAUAUCAAGACUGGAUGAACUACCAAGGGGCUCAAGAAGCUGGCAAAAAAAUGAAGGUCCCAUGUGAGAUCAUUAGGAUUCCGGAUGUAUGUUUCUCUCUGCCUUCUAUUUAUCCACAAAGUUCUUGUCAUUAAUUCAUUUUUUUGAUCUCGAUGAAUAAGGUUUUCCUGAUAAAAAAUUGCAGGCUGGGCACUUUGUAUUCAUAGACCAACCCGAACGAUUCCAUUCAGCUGUUUUUUACGCUUGCCGGAGAUUUCUUUCGCAGGACCCUGAGGUUGAAUCCUUUCCCCAAGGUUUGACAUCUGCCUGAAAAGUGUACUUAGUCGUCGUUUCCUUUUAUUUCUGUACAAAUUAGACAGUCCAACUAGUAGUCUCUGUAUCUUUGAUACUCUUUGUAUGCAUAAAUUCCUACCUCUUAGUGUAAGAUCCGUACAUUAAUAAAGGAAAUUGAGGGAAGAUUCACUUUUACCAUCAUUUUUUUAAAGGAAUUUUAACAAAAAAACUCCAGGUACUGUUUACUUUAAUAAAAAACCCCUUUUUACAUUUAGUCAAUUCUGGUACUAUUCACUUUACCUCUUUAUUUUAUUCUUAUCGUUAAAACUCAAAGUUUUCAAGUUCUUUUUAUUUAUUUAUUUAUUUUUUUGAACCUGUAUUUUGUUGUUUUCAUUACGGUGGGAGUGAGAGUUAAAGGCCAUAAGCACCUGUGGAGUUAUUCCAACUUACCUCUAACCGCAAAGCAACUAUGAUGGUAUUCCAAACCGAUCAAGAUAGAAAUGAUUCUCUCACUAUCCUGUUUGUUUUUAUCUCUUAUUUCAUAGUUAAGUUAUUCGAUCAUGCGAGUAGAAGUAGAAAUACAAGGAGUAUAAAGAAUAGAGAGGGAGCGUAAGUCGUUUCCCCUUAAAACCCACCAUAUCGGUUGCCAUGUUAUAAUUCAACACAUAAAAUACUAUUUGAUUGAGUUGGAAUACCGUCGCAAUUAAAUGCACAUUUGAAAUUUUCUCCCGCCAAUCGCCAUCUUCCCCAUAUUUUCCCAGAGUCGUCAUGGACAACAUCAUUGACCUUUUUCGUGGGGCCUCCUCCAAUUAUUAUACCCAUUUUUCUCUCUCCUCCUUUUUUUUAUUCAAACUAAAAAGAAAAUAAAUAAAUAAAUAAAAAGGGGAGUCCUGAGAUUUGCUUUUCCCUUUUUUUGUCGCAAUCUUCGUCCAAAAGUACGCAAGACUUCACCCAAAAGAGACUAUCAGCUUGUUCGAGAUUCAAACUUUUUGACUCCAACAGCGAACCAAGUACGACCUUUCCACGUGGCAUCAGUCCAUUUGCGUGGUUAUGAACUUCCCGUACAUCUGGCCACACCAUAACACACCACCACUUCAGUCAUUAGUAUCACUCAGCAGCUCACAGCCUCACACGGAAGUUAGAAACCCUAAAUCUGUCCCUCUUUCACUCCGCCAUCUGUUUCCUCUGAGCAGAUCUUCUUCGCUUUCUCAUCUGCGACAAUGGCGGCCUCUCGAUCCGACUCCGUCUUUCUCGAUCUAGCUCCUCCCACCACCGCCACAAAACCCCACCGCAAACCCAGCAGCAUGCACCCCACACUCAGCAUAAUUAGUAUAUAAACCCAGCCCAUUUUGCUUUCCAGUGCUCUCUCUCUUUGACCUCUCUCAUGGCGACGGCCACUUACUUCUUCCUUUUCCUCAUAACAAUUGUUAUUCCUACAAUUUAUUUUCCCGCCACCUUAACGGCGGCUCAACGGCCGAGUCCAGAAACGUCACUCUCCGAGAUCCAAGCGUUAACGGCGUUUAAGCGUAACCUCCACGACCCUCUUGGCGCUCUCGACGGCUGGGAUUCGUCCACGCCGUCAGCCCCGUGCGACUGGCGCGGCGUCGUCUGUUACAGCAACCGAGUUCAGGAACUCCGCCUGCCUCGUCUCCACCUCGGCGGAAGAAUCACUGACCACCUCGCCAGCCUCCGCGACCUCCGCAAGCUCAGCCUCUACAGCAACAACUUCAACGGCUCUAUACCUCCCUCUCUCUCGCAAUGCGCUCUGUUACGGGCCAUGUACCUGCAUGGCAACUCGCUCACCGGGACUCUUCCGCCGGCGAUUUUGAACCUCACCAACCUCCAAAUCCUUAAUGUCGCCCAUAAUUUCCUCUCCGGAAAAAUAUCCGGCGACAUUCCGGUGAGCCUCUGGUACCUUGACCUCUCCUCGAACACAUUCUCCGGUGAAAUUCCGGCGAACUUAUCUGCCGAAUCAAGCCUCCAGCUGAUCAAUCUCUCGUUCAAUCGGUUCUCCGGCGGGGUUCCGGCGACCAUCGGAGGUCUCAAGAAUCUUGAGUAUCUGUGGCUGGACUCGAACCAGCUGCACGGUACUCUGCCGUCGGCGAUUUCCAAUUGCUCGUCGCUAGUGCAUUUGAGCGCGGACGACAACGAGCUGAGAGGUCUGAUUCCGACGACGAUCGGAGCGAUGCCAAAGCUUCAGGUGUUGUCGCUGUCGCGGAACAACCUGUCAGGAGCGGUCCCCGCGUCGUUGUUGUGCAGUACUGCAAACAACGACUCGUCGUUGAGGAUUGUGGAGCUCGGAUUCAAUGCACUCACGAGCAUGGCUCAGCCGCCAGAUAUCUCAAAAUGUUCGAGUGCAAUGGGGGUUUUGGACUUAAAAUCCAAUCGGAUAAGUGGCCCCUUCCCAUCUUGGUUGACAAACGUGACAACAAUUAUGAGAAUUCUAGAUCUUUCUGGAAACAUGUUUUCGGGUCAAUUGCCGGCGAAGAUUGGCAAUCUUCUCCAGUUGGAGGAGUUUCGGGUGGCGAAUAAUUCGCUGAGUGGUGAAAUUCCCGGUGAGAUUGUGAAAUGUAGUUUGUUACAGGUCCUUGAUGUUGAAGGAAACAGAUUUUUGGGUCAAGUCCCUUCUUUUUUAGGAGGAAUGAGGAGCUUGAAGGUGUUGUCUUUGGGUGGGAAUUUAUUCUCUGGUGCCAUUCCGUCAAAUUUAGGGGCACUUUCAAAGCUCGAAUCUUUGGAUUUGAGCAACAAUAAUCUGACUGGGAAAGUUCCAGAUGAGCUCACGAUGCAGCUAAGCAACUUGACUAGUUUGAAUCUGAGUAAUAACAAGUUUUCCGGUGAGAUUAUUAAUGUUGGAGAGCUGAAAAGCUUGCAGGUUUUGAAUUUGAGCAAUUGUGAGUUUUCUGGAAGUGUUCCUGCAAGCAUUGGCGGUUUGAUGAAGCUUGAAACACUGGAUUUGAGUAAACAGAAGCUUUCUGGGGAGUUGCCGAUUCAGAUUUUCGGGUUGCCAAAUUUACAAGUUGUUGCUGUGCAGGAAAAUCACUUAUCAGGAGAUGUCCCUCAAGGUUUUAGUAGCUUGAUUAGUUUGAUCUAUCUUAACCUAUCUUCCAAUGCUUUUACUGGUGAUAUUCCUACCACUUACGGAUUUCUCAACUCUUUACUUGUUCUAUCUUUGUCUGGAAAUCGUAUUUCGGGUACAAUCCCACAAGAGCUUGGAGAUUGUUUGAAUCUUCAGGUACUUGAGCUUCGCUCUAAUCAAUUAGAAGGCAAAAUUCCAGGUGAUAUAUCUCACCUGUCCAAUUUGAAAGAACUCAAUGUAGGUCAGAAUAAGCUGACCGGCAAAAUCCCAGAGGAGAUUUCAAAAUGCUCUUCUCUGACUUCUCUGUUGUUAGAUGCGAAUCAACUUUCAGGUCACAUACCAAACUCAUUGCCUAAGUUAUUGAACCUCACAGCCGUUAGAUCUUUCUUCUAACAAUCUGAGUGGCACCAUCCCUGAAAGUCUGUCGCUCCUCGUCCCUAACUUGAAAUACCUGAAUUUGUCAUACAACAACCUUGCUGGAGAGAUACCGAAGCCACUCGGUUCUCAGUUCAAUGAUCCUUCUGUGUUUGCAAGGAAUGGAGAUUUAUGUGGGAAGCCAUUGGAUAGAGAAUGUGCAGAUGUGAGAAGGAGAAAAAGAAACAGGUUGACUUUAUUAAUUGCGGUGGCUGUGGGUGGAGCUUUCCUGCUGGCAUUGUGUUGUUGUGGCUAUAUUUACAGCCUACUGCGAUGGCGGAAAAAGCUCAGAGAAACAGUAAUUGGGGUGCAGAAGAAGCGAACUAGCCCUCGAACAAGCUCAGGGGAUAAAAGCAGCCGGGGAAGUGGCGCUAAUGGAGGGCCAAAACUCGUGAUGUUCAAUAGCAAGAUCACGUAUGCAGAGGCAUUAGAAGCUACAAGACAAUUCGAUGAGGAAAAUGUGCUUAGCAGAGGGAAGAUAUGGAUUGGUAUUCAAGGCUAUGUUUCAAGAUGGAAUGGUGCUCGCAAUUCGACGUCUUACUGAUGGUUUUCUUGAUGAAGGUGGCUUCCGCAAAGAAGCUGAAGAUCUUGGCAAGGUGAAGCAUCGAAACCUGACAGUUCUACGAGGCUAUUAUGCCGGUGCUCCUGACGUGAGGCUCCUUGUGUACGAUUACAUGCCGAAUGGAAACUUAGGCGCCCUUCUACAAGAGGCAUCUCACCAAGACGGGCAUGUAUUAAAUUGGCCAAUGCGGCACCUCAUAGCACUCGGCAUUGCUCGUGGAUUAGCCUACCUGCACUCUGCCUCAAUGGUACACGGCGAUGUAAAGCCUCAAAAUGUUCUUUUCGAUGCUGAUUUCGAAGCCCAUUUAUCCGAAUUUGGUCUAGACCGGCUAACCAUAGCCACACCAGCAAAAGCAUCCUCGUCUUCAACCGCUAUUGGCUCCCUAGGCUAUGUGUCCCCCGAAGCUGCAUUAACAGGGCAAGCAACGAAAGAAGCCGAUGUGUAUAGUUUUGGGAUCGUAUUGCUGGAGAUAUUGACCGGGAGGAAUCCGGUGACAUUUACUCAAGACGAAGACAUUGUGAAGUGGGUGAAGAAGCAACUUCAGAGAGGUCAAGUUUCUGAGCUGCUGGAGCCCGGGCUGCUGGAACUAGACCCGGAAUCUUCGGAUUGGGAAGAGUUCUUGUUGGGAGUGAAAGUGGGGCUUCUUUGCACGGCUCCUGAUCCGCUUGAUCGGCCAUCCAUUGCCGACAUUGUGUUCAUGCUUGAAGGUUGCAGAGUCGGACCCGACAUCCCGUCCUCAGCUGAUCCGACCUCUCUGCCUUCACCAGCCUAAUUUUCAAUCUCAGUUUUAUUAAAAAAAAAAAAAAAGACUACAUUAUCUUCGUUCCCGCAGUUUUAGGUUUUUGAUUAAUUCAUUUUCUACCAUAUGUUUGGCCUUUAUUCUUGUGUUUUUCCUAAUUUUGCUCAAUUAACUAUGACCUAACUGCGCCAUGGGACCACUUCAUUUUUUUUAGGAAAACUAAUUAAAAGGGUUUGAAAACUUUGAGUUUUAAUGAUAAUGACAAAAUAAAAGGUAAACUGAAUAGUAACAGGAUUGACUUUUUAGUGUAAAAAUGUGGUUUUUCGUUAAAGUGAACAGUACUGAGAGUUUUUCGUUAAAGUUCUUUUUUUUUUAUUUUUUAUUCUAUUGAGCUUAGAUCCAAAGUAAGAUUUCAAAUUUUUGAAGGAAUAGAUUUAUUUCCCGUAUUCACACAAGUUAUUAGCGCUCAUGAAUCUAGCAGUAGUGGCUUAAGAGAGGCUGAAAUUUCUCUACAAGGCUUCUCUGUUUUUGAAAAUAUGGACUAUCGUGAUGAAGCUAUCAACUUUCCUAAUGCUAACGGGGGUAAAUUUUUUAUUUUAAACAUGAGAGUGAUUUACAUGUACAGGUAAUACUAUUAGUGUUGGUGUUACAACGUAUGCUUCACACAUGUAUUAUUGGUAUAGAACAAUAUUGGCAUGGGCAGUGGCUGAGGUAGGAAUUUGGCUGCCAUAAGCAAAUACACCAACUUUUGUGCAAGAUUAUUGAUCAAUCUUUUUAAUUCAUUGAACUCACUAUGAAAUACUGUUGAUUAAUAUAGUGUUUUAAUAAAUAAUGAAAAUUAAAGCAAGCAUGCAUACAUCUCUAUUAAUUAAUGAAAUCCUCUUUGUCAACCAAAAGACAGUGAAAAGACUAUUUAAUCUUCUAUCAUACAAAAAAAAUGUGAGCAAUAAUGUAAUUUCACAGGUCUAAAUUUUACUUCUUUUUAUUGAAGUUUCACCUACAGGUGAUGUUAAAAUACCUCUAAUAUUUAAAAUAAAAAAUAAAAAACAAAAACAAAAACCUCUCACUCCCCCCCACACGUUCUCUCUCUCUCUCUCUCCCUCACUCCUUCUCAUUUAAAAAAAAUGUGUUCAUAAAUAUAAAGUGUGUAAGCAAAUGCUGAACUUAAUUAUUGGAAGUUGUUAUUGGGGUAUUGGGAUCAAUAGAAAAAAUAUAGUGUGGAGUAAUAUAGAGUUGUUGGGGUCAUGUGAACCCAUUGACCCCCCUUUCCCUCCGCUACUGGGCAUGGGACUCACCGAAUCUGUGUAUGAUUGGGUGUGUAAGUUAGCUCAUUUGGGGUGAAGCACGUGGCUAGUCCUAUAGAGAGGUGAAAGUAGCCGUUAAGAUAGAACGUUCGCUAGGCACGUGGUCCCUUAAUCAGAUUCUUUGGGCCUUGCUUGCACGUCGGAUAUUAUUAGGAUAUUGUUAACCGGCACGUGGUUUUUUUUUUUUUUUUUUAUGUUGCUGCCAGCACGUGGUCCCUUAUCUCUUCCAACAGCAUUGAUGUGACCAAGUGCGUUUUAUUUUGGCAAAUAAUAUUUUACCACAAUGGUGGAAAAAAGUUGAGUUCUUACAUUACAAUAUAAGUUUAAACUUCGUUGAUGACUAAUUUAACAUCUAAUCGAACAAAAUUUAUUAUUUGACAAAAAAAAAAAGGAAAUGAUUAUCUUCGGAUCUCUUUCAUCUAAAUUUAGAGGAUCCUUCAAUUCUAUCCGUUCAAAAGAAAAUCGAACCGAAGGGAUCCGACUCUGUUGGAGGCAAGCCUUGCAAGUAAUUUUUGAGAUCUUGAGGAUCCGACUGGAAGGAAUCCAGAGAGGAUCCUUUCCCUUAUUUUAGUGGCCAGGUAGACCAAAAUCUUUUGCGAGUCUUUUUUAUCUUUGAAAGAGUGGACAAGCAUGGCAAAAUUACAGCUGAUCUCCUUUUGAAGUUUUUUUAAAAAAAAGUCGGUUUUAUUUCUAUUAGCAAGUUAGUUCAAUGUGGUCUAAAUGGACCCUAUAAAAUAUCAUGAAAACGAACAGACCACUAAAGUAAAGGAGCAGGAAGUACCACUCACUAUUCAAUUGCAAAGACAUGUCACUCUCAUAGACUUUACCCUUAUUUGCCUCUAAUUCACUCAGACCUUGACAUUUGUCUGAGGAGAAUGAUAUCCGCACACUUUUUUCUACACAUGCAAUCUCUGAAUUUUUUCUAGUCUUUAAAUUGAAAUUAAAUCAAUUAAAAGAGAAUCAUGGAGGAAACAGGUAUGCGGAAAUUAUUUUCCUUUGACUGACGUGAGGCACACACUAUGAGAAUGGGAAGGAGGAAGGAGCAAGUAAUCAGUUGAAAAAUGGAACCAAAGAUAAAAAUAUGGGCUUGUAAUGUAAGAAAUUGGGCCUUUGGCAUAAGCCCAUAUGAAAUUAUGAAACCAAAAAUAAAAGUAAGGGCUUGGUAAUGUAAGAAAUUGGGCCAUUGGCCAUAGGCCCAUAUGAAAUUAAACACCCAAAAGCAAAAAGUUAUAAAAAAAAAUAAUAAUGUUUCCGUUGCCGGGACUUGAACCCGGGUCUUUCGGGUGAGAGCCGAAUAUCCUGACCAACUAGACUACAACGGAUUGUUGAUGUAAGUUGCACGCAUACGUUAUAAAUAGUGCACUAAUCAGUAAGAGUCCUCACGCAUCAAAUCUUUGAAUUUUUGAAUUGUAUCUUUGUUACACUUGUAUGCUUAAAUGCCUAUAGGAAAAACUGAGGGAUGAUUUACACCAUGGUUUGCUAAUACAAACAUUGCACAUAGGUUGUAUUUUGUUACCUUUCGACUUCAAAUAGGCUGCAAUUUUCAAUGCAGACGGUUCUAGCUAGUCAAGCUCCCGUACUCAAGUUUUUUUUCUUCAAAAGAUGGGAUUAUAAAUAUGAAGUCAACACUUGCUUAAUGUGUUUUUGUAUUUAGUAGUAUUGCACAUAGUCAUGUUGGGUCAAUACCCGAUUACAAUGCAUUUGUGAAUUAGAUGCCAAUAAUGACCUGGAAGGGAGCAAUAAUAACUUAUUCAAGUCAUUCAUGUCAUUCAAAUCACUUCCGUCAAAACAAACGACAAAAGAUAUAAAAUAAUAGGUAUACAACAAACGAUACAUGAAAAUUUCUCUCGUAAUAGAUGGUGGUAUUGGUAGCCUCUGAAUGGCACGAGCGAGUUAUGAAAUGCAUGCAAUUGCAAUGGAAGUGAGAACGACAUGUCAUGCAAUUGAAUACAGUGAAAAGUUUGUUCGAUGGUCUGUUCGUUUUUCAUGACCCGAUUAAAUGUGUUGUCGACUUUCAUUUGAUAUUUGUUAUACAUCCAUCGUGCAUGCCCAUCCUCAAUGAAAUUCACCUUCAUUUUAACCAUCCCUUUCACUUUUUUCACUUGGUCACGUACUCUGCAACCUCUCUAUUAUCAUCUCUGUUCUUUGUUCUUAUUACUCAGUGGUGAUGUCGCAGUCUGAUGCAGUUGUGGGAUCCACAACAACCACACAGUUUUCCAUGUGCCAGUCCUAUUAUUGCUUACAACUGUUUCAAUCACCAGAAAUUUUCUCUUACAAACAAGAUUUUUAUUUUUAAAUUCAUUAAAUCCAAUAGUUAAGAUCUAAUUUUAUGAAAUUCAAUGGUAAAAAAAAAAAUUUAACAGUCCAAAUUUAACUCUAACGGCUAAAGUAAUUAAAAAAAAUCUUUAAUUUGUUUCAUAUUUUUUCAUAGUGUUUAACGAGUUUCAUGGUGUCGAUUAGUGAUUUUUCAGUAUUUAUCAUAAUCUAAAUAUUUUUAAGUUAAAAUGUUCAUAAAAUUAAAUUAAGAUCGCCUGCAUAUAUAUAUUUUUUAAAGUUACUUUAAGAAAAAAAAAAUAGUCUAAAUUCUUUCUUUAAUAAUCUAGUGUUAAAAUUUUAGACCAUACGGGUUGAAGCAGAAAAACUAUUUUUGGGUUAAAAUCUAAAUUUCUAGACUAAAAAUUUUAAAUUUUAAGCCAAGGGUUGGAGAUGGUCUUAGCGUUAAAGUCACACAUGCAUAUUAGAUGUUUGUUGCAUGGGGUGAAUUAUAGACGAGAGCAUUUUAUCAGAGAAUAACUUAUAUAAAAAUGUGUUUAGAUGAAUUCGUUUGAUAUAAGAUGGCAAAGAAUUUAGGAAAUAAAGUAUAAUAAAAAAAAAGAUGUGUUAUCCACACAUUUUUUUUUACUUUUCACACACCCUUUGUUAAUUUCUGUCAUUUGAUCGUCUUCAAUUCAUCCGAUCCAACGGUCAAAAAUAAAAAAGAUGUGGGAGAAGAAAAUGAAUGUGUGGAUAUCACAUCUCUAAAAAAAAUAUCGAAGGAAAAGGUCAGUGUCGGUUCACAUCGAAUGCUCUUUGGACCGGUCAGGGACCACGUGAUGGUCAACACUUUAUCGACUAAAAUCCGACGUGCAAUGCCCAAAGAAUCUGAUUAGCGUAGGGGUCCGACACUUCCGUGGGUCCCGACGCCUCUGCAUCUCUUUUUCCGAUAAAGACGCCUAUGCCCUGAAGGGAGACGUCGUAUCUUAACGGCUACUUUCACCUGUCUUCAGGGCUCGACACGUGGCACCCGAUUGAGAAUUUGUCAUUUGGCGGGAAUUAGAAUAACUACAGAAAAGAAAUAAGAAAGUUUUAACAAAAUAUUUCCGGUACUGUUUGCUUUUAACGAAAAAAACAUAUUUUUACCCGUCUCUGGUACUAUUCACUACAUCUUUAUUUGUCAUUUUUCAUUCAAACUAAUUUUUUUUUUGAAAUUUUCAUUAGUUUUCCUAAGAAAUAUACCUUAACCUACACCAAGCCACUACUAUGAAAUUGAAUGAUGUUCUGCUUAAAUAUUUGAAGUGGUCAUUAAGAACUAACUUAGAUUUCACCACCGUAGCAUAUCCGUCGUAGUCAAAUUCUCCCCUUACGUACUAAUAUUUGUUUGCCAAAAAUAACUAUCUCAAAACAUACGAGAAAACAUAGACGUUAAAGUGAUACCGUCUCAAAUAAACUAUGUGAUGCAAAGUUAAACACGUAGCGAGGCAAAUAGUUACGAACACUUUGGCCUUAACAUUCUUUAACGUCCAUGAUUCAGGAGAACUUAGAUUAAGUCUUUCGGCGCUGUCAGGUGCAAGUUAUGAAAUUGAGCAAAAGCAGGAAAAGAGAGGAAUAAAGGGCAAACCAAUAAGUACAUACAACUGCAGAAAUGAAGACGAUGAUGAUUGAGGAUAGUGAUUUGUUAAAAUUAAAAAAUUAAAUUAAAAAUUAGACCGGUGAAGGCAGAGAGGUGGGAUCAGCUGAGGACGGAAUAUCCUGUGCGACCCUGCAACCUUCAAGCAUGAACACAAUGUCGGCAAUCAACGGCCGAUCAAGCGGAUCAGGAGCCGUGCAAAGAAGCCCCACUUUCACUCCGAGCAAGAACUCUUCCCAAUCCGACGAUUCGGGGUCAAUUUCGAGCAGCCCGGGCUCGAGCAGCUCGGAAACUUGACCACUCUGCAGCUGCUUCUUCACCCACUUGACAAUGUCUUCGUCUUGUGUAAACAUCACCGGCUUCCUCCCGGUUAAAAUCUCCAACAAUACAAUCCCGAAACUGUACACGUCGGCUUCUUUCGUCGCUUGCCCCGUCAAUGCAGCUUCAGGGGAUACGUAGCCUAAGGACCCGAUCGGCGUAGUAGACGAUGAAGCUUCUGCUGGUGUGGCUAUGGUUAGCCGGUCUAGUCCAAAUUCGGACAAAUGCGCUUCGAAAUCAGCAUCGAAAAGAACGUUUUGUGGCUUUACAUCACCGUGUACGAUUGACAUGGAGUGGAGAAAUGCUAAUCCGCGGGCAAUGCCGAGCGCAAUGAGGUGCCGCAUUGGCCAAUUUAGGACGUGCCCGUCUUGGUGAGAUGCCUCUUGGAGAAGAGUGCCUAAGUUUCCAUUUGGCAUGUAAUCGUACACGAGGAGCCUCACGUCGGGAGGACCUGCGUAGUAGCCUCGGAGGACUGUUAGGUUUCGAUGCUUCACCUUGCCAAGAGCUUCAGCUUCUUUGCGAAAACCGCCUUCAUCGAGGAAUCCAUCAGGAAGACGCCGUAUUGAAAGCACCAUUCCAUCUUGGAAUGUAGCCUUGAAUACAGGUCCAUAUCUUCCCCUGCUUAGCACAUUUUCCUCAUCGAAUUGUCUUGUUGCUUCUAAUGCCUCCGCAUACGUGAUCUUGCUGGUGAACAUUACAAGUUUUGGCCCUCCAUUUUCUCCACUUCCCCGGCUCCUGUCUCCUGAGCUUCCUCGAGGGCUUGUUCGCUUCUUUUGGGGCCCGGUUACCAUUUCUCUAAGCUUUUUCCGCCAUCGCAAGAGGCUGUAAACGUAGCCACAACAACACAAUGCCAGAAGCAAAGCUCCUGCCACAGCCACCCCAAUUAAUAAAAUCAACCUAUUCCUUUUUCUCCUUCUCACAUCUGCACAUUCUCUAUUCAACGGCUUCCCACAUAAAUCUCUGUUCAUUGCAAACACAGAAGGAUCGUUGAACUGGGAACCCAGCGGCUUUGGAAUCUCUCCAGCAAGGUUGUUGUUUGACAAAUUCAGGUAUUUCAAGUGAGGGACGAGGAGCCAAAGAUUAUCUGGGAUGGCGCCGCUCAGCCUGUUAGAGGAAAGAUCUAACACUGUGAGGUUCAAUAACUUAGGCAAUGAGUUUGGUAUUUGACCCGAAAGUUGAUUCCCAUCUAACAACAGAGAAGUCAGAGAGGAGCAGUUGGAAAUCUCCUCUGGGAUUUCACCUGUCAACUUAUUGUGACCUACAUUGAGCUCUUUCAAAUUGGAUAGGCGAGAGAUAUCGGCUGGAAUUUCGCCUCCUAAUUGAUUAGAACGAAGCUCGAGCACUCGAAGAUUCAAACCAUCUCCAAGCUCUUGUGGGAUUGUGCCCGAAAUGCGAUUUCCAGACAAUGAUAGAACAAGUAAUGAGUUGAGAAAUCCAUAAGUGGUGGGAAUAACACCAGUAAAGGCAUUGGAAGACAUGUUUAGAUAGAUCAAACUAAUCAAGCUACUAAAACCUUGAGGGACAUCUCCAGAUAAGUGAUUUUCCUGCAGAGCAACCACUUGUAAAUUUGGCAACCCGAAAAUCUGAACCGGCAACUCCCCGGAAAGCUUCUGCUUGCUCAAAUCCAGUGUUUCAAGCUUCAUCAAACCACCAACGCUGGCAGGAACACUCCCCGAAAACCCGCAAUUGCUCAAAUUCAAAACCUGCAAGCUCUUCAAAUCUCCAACAUUAAUAAUCUCACCAGAAAAUCUGUUGUUACUCAGAUUCAAACUUGUCAAGUUGCUUAGCUGCAUCAUGAGCUCAUCUGGAACUUUCCCGGUCAGAUUAUUGUUGCUCAAAUUCAAGGAUUCGAGCUGCGAAAGCGCUCCUAAACUCGCUGGAAUGUCGCCGGAGAAUAAAUUCCUACCCAAAGACAACACCUUCAAGCUCCUCAUUCCUCCCAAAAACAAAGGAACUUGACCCAAAAAUCUGUUUCCUUCAACAUCAAGGACCUGUAACAAACUACAUUUCACAAUCUCAUUGGGAAGUUCACCACUCAGCGAAUUAUUUGCCGCCCGAAACUCCUCCAACCGGAGAAGAUUGCCAAUCUCCGCCGGCAGUUGACCCGACAACAUGUUUCCAGAAAGAUCUAGAACUCUCAUAAUUGUUGUCACGUUUGUCAACCAAGAAGGGAACGGACCACUUAUCCGAUUGGAUUUUAAGUCCAGAACCCCCAAUAUACUCGAACAUUUUGAGAUAUCUGGCGGCUCAGCAAUGCUCGUGAGCGCAUUGAAUCCGAGCUCCACGAUCCUCAACGACGAGUCGUUGUUAGCAGUACUGCACAACAACGACGUGGGGACAGACCCUGACAGCUCGUUCCAUGACAGCGACACCACCUGAAGCUUCGGCAUCGCUCCGAUCGUCGUCGGAACCAAACCUCUCAGCGAGUUGUCGUCGGCGCUCAAAUGCACGAGCGACGAGCAGUUGGAAAUCGCCGAGGGCAGAGUGCCAUACAGCUGGUUCGAGUCAAACCACAGAUAUUCAAGAUUCUUGAGACCUCCGAUGGUCGCCGGAACCACGCCGGAGAACCGAUUGAACGAGAGGUUGACAAGCUGGAGGCUUGAGUCGGCGGAGAAAUUCGCCGGAAUCUCCCCGGAGAAUGUGUUCGAUGAAAGGUCGAGGAACCGAAGGCUCACCGGAAUGUCGCCGGAGAUUUUUCCGGAGAGGAAGUUGUGAGCGACGUUGAGGAUUUGGAGGUUGGUGAGGUUGAAAAUCGCCGGCGGGAGAGUCCCGGAGAGGGAGUUUCCGUGCAAGUAAAGGACGCGUAACAAAGCGCAUUGGGAGAGAGAGGAAGGUAUAGAGCCGUUGAGGUUGUUGCUGUGGAGGCUGAGCUUGCGGAGGUCGCGUAGGUCGGCGAGGUGGUCAGUAAUUCGGCCGCCGAGGUGGAGACGAGGCAGGCGGAGCUCCUGAACUCGGUUAUCUUCACAGCCAACGCCACGCCAGUCGCACGGGGCUGACGGCGUGGACGCAUCCCAGCCGUCCAGCGCGCCAAGCGGGUCGUAGAGGUUGCUCUUAAACGCCGUUAACGCUUGGAUCUCCGGUAAUGAUGCUUGCCGUUGAGCGGGUGUUAAAGCGGCGGCGAAGCAAAAGGGAACAGCAAAUGCUACGAUGAAGAGGAAGUAGAAAGUAGCCGUUGCCAUGAGUAGUGCUGGGUAUGCGGUGAGGUCAGAGAGAAUAGUGGAACGCAGAAUGUGCUGGGUAUAUAGUUUCAAUUUUGUGUUAAUUGUUGGGUGUUUUUGGUGGCAGUGGUAGGAGUGCUGGGUUUGUGGUGGGGUGGGAGGAGCGUGUGAAGAAACGGAAGGGAAAGGGGUUUUGAGAGAAACGACGCCAUAUGCUGCGCUUGGAGGGCAACUAAUUUGUGUAUCUGCGUUUGCGUUCCCUACCACUAUCGCUGUGGAUUUUUUAUUUUUUGUUUUUCCCGUUUCCCCAAAAGCUAUAAUCUAAAAGAAACCUUUUUUAAAUUGACCAAAAAAUAUUAAACCUUUUUAAUUUGUGAAAAUGACCGCAGAAAGUCUCUUUCCGGCGAGGUUCUUACAUACGGCCGUCCGUGGUCCGGCAUUCUCUCACAUAAAUGGAGCCCCUGCAAGGCCGGGUAAUACCCAAAUAUGAGACGACUAGGUAAUUCGUGAGCCGGACUUGCCACGUAGUCCGCCAACAGGCAUUAGAAUUUAUAUGAUGUGUAAAAGUGAGUGAUGUGUAACUAAGGAGAUUCUCUCAACAGUAAAAAUCUUCAUGAACUCGCUGUGACCUUAUGUUUUUAACAUAAUAUUUUACAAUGUUGAUAUAAGAAUUAUCAAUAAACUGUGAAAUGAUAAAUAAUUCAUAAAAGUUAUAUUUUGAAAGAAUAUAUUUAACAUUUCUCUUUAUACUUAAAAGCAAGAGAUGUGUACCUUAUUACAUAUAUUUAUUUAUCAAUGUGGCUCACACAUAUUAUAACUCACAAAAUAAGAGUAUAGCGGGACAAUGUGACCAUCACAUUGAAAUAUUUAACACGUCAUGAUAUCACAUUACACAUUUUUUUAAGGAAUAACUCACUUUUCAUUGGUCUUUCUGUUUCUGCGCUUUUCUUAAUUCUAAUGGGCCAUGGCCCAUGCUGGGCCCCUGAAUCACGAACUUCUCUGAGUUUUUGUCAAUGUGGAGUUUGAUAAUUUCACCCCAAAAGACACGUUGACUGGUUUCCUGGGAAAACGAUUUUUAAUUUAUUUUAUUGUACAAGUGGACGUGGAAUCCCGCCAAUUAUAUGACGGAUUAAGGAUAACGUUUCUGUUAUGAAUUUCUUUAUUCACGUCACGAGAGAAACGGACAAAGUAAGUAUUUUUCCUACUUCGUACGUAGCCCUUGCAUUUUUUUCUUCUUCAACUUAUUCCGCAGCCGUGACCUAUUUAUUUUAGUUAAGAUUAUUGAAUAACUAUCAUAUUUUAAACUAAUAUUAUAUUAUUCACAUAAUCAGACAAAAAAUAUGUCACGGCUAUGAAUAUGGAAUAAGCUUAAAUUAGUAGUUACAAUUGCGCUUUCAUGUCAUUCGUAUUUGAAUCUCUCUUUCAUACGAUAUAAUUUAACAUAGAAGAUUAUAUGUAUUCAAGGUUAUAAAAGGCGAUAGGUGCUAGCAGUGGCGGAUCCAGGAAAUAAUGUUUGUGGGGUCAUAGCGCGCGCAGCGCGAAAUUUUUUUUUUAGCCUCGUUUGGUACUUCGGACUGUACUGACUAUUUCAGUCGGAUAGGAUAAAUAGUCGUCGGAUAGUACUAACUACAUUAGUCGGGCGUUUGGUGCAGUGUCGAAUUAAUCUGUGCAUGGAACAAUACUAAAUUUUUUUAAUAAUUUUUAACAAAAUAAUUGGUGUUAAAAUGAAAAAACUCACAAUAUAAACAAAUCAUCAAUAUAAUCAAAAUAAAUAUGAAUUGAAUUUCAAUUAAAUUAAAUAUAUUCUACAUAUACAAAAUAUUCAAAAUAAAUACUCACAAUAUAAACAAACCACCAACAUAAUCAAAAUAAAUAUGAAUUAGGGUUGGAGGAGGAGGAGAAAACAAAAGAAAUUUGGGGGUUUUAGAAAGAAGGGAUUCGGAUCUGUGCAAAAUAGGGCUGAUAGGACACAUUGGGUAUUUUUUUUUGUUCAGACCUGCCCAGGACACGCUGGGCAUUUGUUUUUUGUUCAGACCUGGGCCAAAACGACGCCGUUUAGCCCGUAUGUUUUGAAAAAAAAGAAGCGCGCAACUUCUUCUUCCUCUUCCUGCAGUGCCGAGCUUCGUUCAGGAUUUUUGUCGAACACUUGGCGUGCGACUCCGACCCCGACGACCCCAGCUUCAAGAGGUCGCGUAUGGGAGCUUCAAGGUUGUUUCCAUGGUUUCCAAGGGGUCGUGCGACCCCGACGACCCCACUGUGGAUCCGCCCCUGGGUGCUAGUCGGAUGGCGGGCUGGGGUUUAGCACCUAAGCGGACUAGGCAUAUUUCGGUAAAUCUAUUGUAUUUCGUGUGAAUAAGUGUUUGUUUAUACUUAAAAUAUAUAUAAUUUCAUCAUAAACUAGAAAAUAAAAUGACAUAUAUACUAUGAAGUAUUGAAACAUAAUGAAAACAUGAGGAGUAAACAUAUAAUAUGUGUUUAUUUAAAUGAUCAAUAAGUUUCUUACAAUUUAUUGGAAACAAUAAAAUGCAAAAGGAAAUUUGUCUAUUUUCUAUUUAAGUGAGUUACAACCUAGGCAUGUGUCUAGGCAGGUCUGGGCGGGCACCUCAGCAAGUUUGGAAGCACUUUCUUAAUUUUCAAACGCCUAUACAUUAAUCGGCACGAUGGUUAGCCGCCUAGCGCCUAAACGGGGUAUAGGCAGAGAUUUUUAGAAUAGUGCCUAUAUUUUAUGAAGAAAAAAAACACUUGAUAAUGUUUGAAGUUGGGCCUAUAUCCACAAUAAUUUUUUGGGCUACAGAAAUGAGAGCAGCUUCUCAAUGAGCCUUUAACUGAAGCCCAUAUGAAAAUAAAAACGACAAAAAGUAUACAAAUAAAAUUCCGUUGCCGGGACUUGAACCCGGGUCUUUCGGGUGAGAGCCGAAUAUCCUGACCAACUAGACUACAACGGAUUCGUUGUUUACAAAAUGUUAAUUUCGGCAUGUUGAGUUAAAAGGAUGAAUCUCCCAGGAAUGAUUGAGAGGGUUUAAGCAGACGCGUCAAACUCUCCAAUGGAGACCCUCAACACUUCGGCAUCGGCUUCUCCUCUCCCCGCCUCCUCCCUUUCCGCCGCCACCGAAAACCCCAACAGCCCCAUCCCACCAUCUGCUUCGCCAGCAAAUGGGCCGAGCGCCUCCUCGCCGACUUCCAAUUCCUCGGCGACUCAUCCUCAGACCACCUUUCCCUCUCCUCCGCCACCGCCACUCUCGCUCCUCCCCACCUGCCUACCGCCAAUUUCUCCCCCCGAGCGCCACGUGUCCAUCCCCAUAGACUUCUACCAGGUGCUGGGCGCCCAGCAGCAUUUCCUCGGAGACGGUAUAAGGAGGGCGUACGAGGCUAGGACUUCCAAGCCGCCUCAGUACGGCUUCACCCAGGAGGCGCUGUUCAGCCGGAGGCAGAUUCUUCUAGCCGCUUGCGAAACCCUAGCCGACCCCGCCUCCAGAAGAGAGUACAACCAGGGCCUCGCCGAAGGCGAAGAUGGAACCAUCAUCACUCAAGUUCCUUGGGAUAAGGUAAUUGUUGUGGUUUCACUUCGUUGUGUUCUGUUUGGUUGCUGAGAAACUUGAGGAAAGUAAUGGACAUUGUUUAGAAAUUAAGAAAACGUGGUAUUGAAUUCUGAUUCUAGUUAGUUUUAUCUACAUUACUACGAUUUCCAAGUGAAAAUUGAGAUAAAAUAAAGCAAAAUUUGGUAUUAAAAUUUAAUUUUUUCCAUUGGCUUUUCUCCGCAUUACUGCAUUGCCGUAAACAAACAGAGAGCGGCUGUAUUUUAUUGUGUUGAGCUAUUUGUAGGUUCCUGGAGCUCUGUGCGUGCUGCAAGAAGCUGGGAAGACUGAGCUGGUUCUUCAAAUUGGGGAGAGUUUGCUAAGAGAGAGGCUGCCCAAGUCGUUCAAGCAAGAUGUCGUUUUGGUCAUGGCACUUGCUUAUGUUGACAUGUCGAGGGAUGCAAUGGAAUUGUCCCCGCCUGAAUUUAUUCGGGGUUGUGAAGUGCUUGAGAGGGCUUUGGAAAGCUUCGAAGUUUAGGGAGUGGCACUUGCGCUUGUUGCUCAAGCCUUCGUUGCUAAGAAGCCUCAUCACAUUCAAGAUGCUGAUAACCUGUUCCAGAAACUUCAGCAAUCCAAAGUAACAGCUGUAGGACAUUCUGUCGACAUCUAUAGUGAGGUAGACUUUGCUUUAGGAGAGGGGUCUCUGUUCACUUCUUCUUGGGGAUCUUGAUGAGUGUCGCUCAUGGUUGGGCCUAGACAAUGAUAAUUCACUAUAUAGAAAUCCAUCUGUUGUAGAAUUUGUCUUGGAGAACUCAAGGUUUAGAGACACAAAAGAUAUAGAGUUCAGACUUGGAGAUUACUAUGACGAUCCUACAGUCUUGAGAUACUUAGAGAGGCUGGACAGGAACUAAUGGUUCGCCCUUAGCUGCCGCUGCUGCCAUAGUGAAUAUUGGAGCUGAGGCUACCGCAGUUCUUGGUAAUUUCAAGGUGAGCGCAAUUCAGGCAUUGCAGAAGGUGUUUCCUCCGGGUCACAGGGAUGAGAAUCUUACGCCUCAAGAAGAUAAUGAAAUGAAAUUAUCCAUUUCUUCCUGUGGAAAAUGGAGAGCCUCUGGAAGAAUCUGAUAGGAGAUGAAUCUGUCCAUGUAGGUGAGGUUUCUGGAAGAAAUGGUUCUGUUGGAAUACGCGAAGAAGAAUUGAUGACUGACAAAAUCAAAGACGCAACUGUUAAGAUUAUGUGUGCUGGUGUGGUAAUUGGACUGACAACGUUGAUUGGAUUGAGGUAUUUACCCGCUCGGAGGGACCCGUCCAACCUGCAUAAAGAACUUAGCUCAGUGACUGCAUCUGAUGUCACAUGUGCAGGUAUGAUUUUAACCGUUGCACUAGAGUAUUAAUAAAAUGAUUAACAAAGCCUUAUUUUCGUCAACUAAGUUAUGAAACAUGAAAAAUACUUUGAUAUCUUGUCAUUUUCCACUUCAAUAUGCUUGAUGACAUGUUAUUUCACUCAACCGGAAAAGCCCGUGGUAGUAUUUCGCUAGCUAUUUGUCAAAGUGCUAUGAUGAAUCUUUCAAUAGCCAGUAGUACUGGGAUAUUUCUUCCUUCGAGUCGGUCCAUUUCACUUCGUAAGCUUGCCGCUUUACUCUUGAUGCAAGGGGAUGAAAAUUAAUUCAUAUAACCAUGCCAGGGCUACCAGGAGAUGAAAAAUCUGCAGAGGAAAUACCCAAAAUGGAUGCAAGAAUAGCUGAAGGUCUUGUUCGCAAAUGGCAGAACAUAAAAUCUCCGGCUUUCGGACCUAAUCAUUCUCUGGAAAAAUUAUCUGAGGUAGGGAAUUCUUUAGUUUUUGUGGAUGAAUAACGAUGUCAUUGAGCUAGUCACCAAUUUGAUGCAUGUCCUGACAUUGUUAAAACUGCCAGGUUUUGGAUGGUGAGAUGUUGAAGAUAUGGACAGAUCGCGCAACCGAGAUUGCACAGCUUAAUUGGUCAUAUGACUACACCCUGUUGAACUUGAACAUCGACAGUGUGACUGUAUCGCUGGACAUGGGCAGCGUGCUGUGGUGGAAGCAACUCUUGAAGAGAUGGCCCAGUUAACUGAUGUGCUCCAUCCGGAGCACAAUGACUCAAACAGCAGAACGUAUACCACAAGAUACGUGAUGUCUUGUUCGAGCUCGGGAUGGAAGAUCAGUGAAGGAGCUGUCCUCCAAUCUUAAAAGAACGUUGUAAAGUACGAUGACGCGGGUGUAAAUGCUGUCUUGUUUUUCUAUUUAUUCUUUGUAAUCUCGUAGUAUCUGCGAUCGUUAAAACAAGGGAUACAUCAUAUAAAUAAAUAAUAGAAGAAUAAGGUUCAUUGGUAAAAUGCUUAUUGAGUUCAUAUAAUCAGUCAAAAUCAGUACGAAGUUUGUCGGCCUGGCUACAGAAAUCGACCUUUCUUCUUAGCCCGGCCUGGUUUUGGAGCCUAUCAUGUUUAACACGAAAACAGAGAGAUAUAACUGUUGUUUCUGUGCCUGCAAUUUACCACCGCGGCUGUGGAGACCCCUCUUGCCUCCUUUUUCUCCUCCCCAGUUUGCCAGCAUAUAUUAACAGUGGAAGGAAUCAAAGAACCAUAGUAGUAAGGCUACAGAUUUCCGUUUAGUUUACAAUGCGUAUCUCCACUUCGAGCUGAGCUGGAGUGAGACAUCAUAUUCUGUACAAAAUAUUUAUACGAGUUACCUUCGUCUAAAUGGUGCCCGAGUUCUAUAGAGUAGACAUGGAAUCUCUCCAAAUGGAGGAUUUCUUGUUUAUAGGGCGAGAUAAGAAGCUGAGCCCGAGUAUUUCCUUGGGAGCAUCGAGUGGCGCGACAAGGCCAACCAGCUUCGCAACAAGGGUGGCGCUCUCCCGGAUGUGCCCCAUGUCCAUUGUGCUCGUCCAUAUCAAGUUUGCCAACUGCAGGCUCCUCUGCUUUGUGUUCAGCCUAAUCCCCCACUUCUGGUAAAGCCUUUCUUUUUCCUUUGUCGAUGCGAAACCUCUUCGGGCACUUUCUUGGCCAACAUUUCUCUCUCUCGCUUAAGAGCCUUCAUGCUGUUUCCGAUUACAAAUUAAGAAAAACAAAAUUUUAAGUUGGAGAUCUCCCGCUUUAAUGCGGUUAGGCUCGAAGUAUCAAAAUUUCAAAUAUGUGAAAUUUGUGUGCUGUUGAAAUGAUCCAAAAUACUACCUUCCAGCCGGUGUGGGAGCUUGGCGGGAUUUUAAGAUUGCUUCCUUCAGAGAAGGUGUCCUUGAGAAUCGUCAACCUUCUUAGCUCUACCUCCAAGUAGAGAAAAUCAGACGGAUCACCUUUGUAAAGAAUGAAGAAAUGUGUCCUGUGAACCAAUGGCACAAAGCAAGCCUCCCACAGCUCGAUUAUUAGUCCUCUCUGUGUCUCGAAAUCAAGGCGCCAAUUAGAAGGGGUUCUCAAAGGAUGUUCCGCACGAUUGUGCCUCCUCCGUCCUGCUCCUCUUUGUGCCUGUCACCAAUAACCACCCUCAAUUAAAGUUCGUGUCUUCGAAAGAUAUGUUUAUUAAUCACUAACCAACCAGUAAGCACCAUUGUGUUAGAAAGAGAGGAUAAGAAAGAAAGAGGGAGGCUGUUACCUCGUACUUGUCUUCCUUUCGUUCAUUGGCGAAAUUGAGAACACUCAUAUUAUCCUCUACGUCAGAUUCCGAGACAUUGGGGAUAACUUUCCAAGCCACUGGAGCACUCAAAACUGACUCUAAUUGAGAACUAGCUCUGGUUGAGCUUCCAAUUUCAGAACCUUGCUUCGAUUUAUGAAAUAGCUUCCAACGCAAGCCUUUUGAACUUCUAGGCCAGCCUUCAGAAAUGUCCUGUGCACUAGCUGCCUCCGUGCUUUCCUCCGCCUCUACAUGAACGCUCAAAAUAGAAUCUUGAUCAGAAUCUCUUCUUGGUAACUUUCCGGCGGAGCCACCAUGCUUGGAUCGAGAGUUCUCCCCCUGAUAGACUUUUUGUUUCUUAUGAGGAAAUUUCUGCUGUGUAAUAACCUCUGCAUUGGGCUGAUCUCUGGUGCCAUCUGUGUCCAUUGGAACACUUGCAACAGAAGCUGGAAAAUCUUCCCUAGAUAUACUUCUACCGUGGGCACCUUGCCUUGAUCUGGAAGGUCUCUGUCGGAAACCUUCAGCAGGUGUUGUAUUCUCGUUUAGUUCUGCCUCAUACGGCGCAAAAGAAGAUGGACUCAUGAUAACCGCUCUGCAGCUGCGACUUCUAGACAAAUUCAUACUUGCAGAGCUAGAUUCAGAGGACGAAGGAGAUUGUUCCAAUUGGGGCAAGAUUAACAAGGUUGUUAAUUGUCCUUUGCAUUUCCUGAAUCUUUUUCCGCAUCGCUUCAUACUCUGCAUUAACGUUAUUCAACUCCUUGUCUCCUGUCUGCUGCAUGGGAGCUGUCGCGGCUAAGUUUUCCUCCAUUUUCUUCAGAACCGCUUAUAAUCAAAUCAAAAGUGUUCUGGUCCAUGCUUGAUAUGCAUCUAAUUUCCUUGCAGCUAUCUUCAGAUUCCGCACAAGAUGCUUCUGCAAUAACUUCAGAUUCUACUUGACUUCUUUGUGCAAGAACUUCAGAUUCUGCUUGACUUCUUUGUGCAAUAUCUUCAGAUUCUGUUGGACAUCUUUGUGCAAUAUCUUCAGGUUCUGCAUGACAUCUUUGCCUGCAAUAUCUUCAGAUUCCAUCGGUUGUGUACUUAUCUUCAGGUUCUGCCCGAGAUCUUUGUGCAGUAUCUUCACAUUCUGCGUGAGAUAUUUCCGCAACAUAUCUUCAAAUUCUGCAUGAGAUCUUUCCGCAACAUGUGCAGACUCUGCAAGAUCCUCCCAAUCCGGCAAUGAAUCAAGCCCAACAAACUCUGGAGCACUACUGUCCAGCAGAAAAUUUUCUUCAGAGCUCGCAGAAAGCUGACGGUUGUGCUUGUAGGAACCAGUAAAACUAGGUCUAUCAGUAAUAUCAGAUGCGUUAUCUGCUUUUACACCCACGGAUAAUGACUCAGCUCCUGAAUUUUCACCUAUUCUUGGAACUUGGCCGUCUCCUGUUGAUUCUAGCAAAUUCUGAACCCGAGAUUGAGCAAGAUCACGUUGCUGAGUCAGUUCCUUUAUCUCUUUAUUCAUCUGCAUAAAUUUCACAUUUAAUAAGAAGAUUAGGAAAGGAGAAAGUGGCAUGUGCAAUUAUGUGUAUGUAUGAGUCACAGAAGUCUCCAUCACCUGUUCAAGCAGAAGUUCUUUCUCUUGCAUUGACUUUGAUGCUAAGCUCCUCAACGCGUCUUCCAUUUUCGCUAAUUCUUUCUGCAGUUGCUUUACCAACGCCUUAUCUGAUCUUACUACAUUGACCUUUGCAUUAGUAGUCACCUCUUUUGCACAACUUGCAAAGAAGAGUGUGUUUUUUCGAUUGCUCAACAUGACUUCGUGCAGGGCUCAGUAGUGCAAAUGAUGGCUGUCCUGGCAUUGCCUCCCAACGAGUUUUGCAGUAUCCGUGUUAGCUUCGAAUCUCUGUAAGGUACGUGUCCAUUCUUUCCCUUGCUGCAUCCAAUGACGACAUUAAAUUGAUUAGAAAACAUAAAGUGGUUAAAAAAGGUUAGAUAAGAAAAAAAAAACGUUUUCAAUCGGCUGGUACAAACCACCCCGAACGAAGAAAAUAAUUUGCUACGUCGUCAAUAGACAUGACCGAGUUUACAUUUAUACAAAACAAGCCCUUGGUGUAUGGAAAAAAUAUUGAACCUUAAUUUGCGAAUUACAGUUCCCAGGGUCAGUAAGCUUCGAUUUAUGUGGCAACCUUCUUUCAAUCUCGUACCAGCUGAUAACGCUUGAGAAACACGCUCACUGCCCGCAAGAUCAACAAAAUUCUGCGCAGAGAGUCAAAUUUUUUAGUGCUAAUAAUACCAUUGUAUUAGAUCCUCAUGAAGGAAAUGUUUCUUCGCAAGGAAAGAUAAGUACUUCCUUACCACAGUAGCUGCAAGUUUGCUUGAACUUUGAAUGCCUAGAUAUUCUCGAGCGGAACUUUCAAUUGUCUGUUAAAUCAGUCAAUUCAACAAAAAGAAAAAAAACAUUUACAAACAAGUUCUUAUGUCAAAAUAGAAAGUAACUGCUUUAGUGACAAGCAUACCAGUCGCAAAAUCUGAUGUGAUCUUGAGCUAGUUUUCGUUCAGAGAGGUCUCUCCGAUCUUCCUCUGAGCUGCAAGAAUCAAGUACCAAUUUAAGAAUAUAUUUUCCAUCUGUGAAAACAAAACUAACAUGUAUUUUUUGUAAUCCUGCGAGACAAACAUAAUGCAAGUGUGUUUACCUUCACAGACGGAAAGAAGUUCCUCUAGGUGGUUCCGGUCUCUCAAAAUCUCUUCUGAAAGUUUCUCGACAACAGUUCCUUUCUGUCGGAGUAGCAUUAUUAGAAAACCUUCUACACAUUCAUCUGAAUUAUACGCUUUAUAAAGAGAAUACAGUAUUCACCUCAGGAUCGUCUAGGAGCCUAAGUUGAGCACCCUCGGAGCUGAGGAGGUCUCUGACAGCUUCGUUGUAGAUCUCCAUGGCGGAGAACUUCAACACAAAUUCCCUAUCACUAUGCUGAAACACAAACAAAUUGGUUUAUGUCGUGUCGGAGAAAACAUAGUCAGCUUGAUAUAAAUUGGAAUUGAAGACAAAAUAUGAUCACUUACUUUCUCAAUGUAGUCAUAGAUGUCUGCAACUGCAUAAUCUGUGAUUCCUUUCAUAGUGUAUGUUUUUCCACUGCUUGUUUGUCCAUAGGCAAAAAUGGUUGCUGAGCACGUAUAUAUCACCGAAACAAAUAAGAUUUUUGUCACACAUAGAUAUCCGAAAAUGAGGAUUAAUAAGAAGACUACUCACAGUUGAUGCCGUUGAUGACUGAAAGCACAACCUCUUUAGCUCCCUCAUCAUACACCUUCGUCGUGGGACAGUCCCACCCAAAUACUCUGUCUAUCCACAAAGUGUAGGGAAACAAGGAGAAAGGUCAUCAAAACAGUUUCAAAGUUUUCAAAUAUAAUGAAAAAUCGCUUCAUAAAAUGACGGGAAAGAAGAGAAAGUUGUUAUUGACGCUCCAAAAAAAUCAUUUAGACUCUUCCCUACUUUAUUUUUCACAUUGGGAGGAAGGACAAUACAGUUCUCUUUUCUUCCCUAGCAAGAAAUAUUAAUUCUAGAGCGCUAAUAACAACUCCUGAAAGAAAAUUUUCAAUAUUAAACAAGAAGGGAUAUGCAUGUCGUAUACCAAAACCAUAAGCAGAGGGAGACAUGGGGCGAUCAGGAUGGCUGUUGUUGUACAUGACGGUGUUGUUCUUGACGCACCAAUCCGAAACAUCGUUCUUGGCCUUCUCCUUGUCGUUCAAUGGCCUCAGCCGAACCGAAACGAGGAUUUUCUCCUCCACAGACAUCGAUGCCUCAACUUCUCUUUUCCUAUCGAAAACACAGGUUGCUUCGCGCACAAACAAAACCCGCAAAAGCGUCAAACUUCCCCAAUUUCGCUCUCCCACAUGAAUGUAUGUGAGAGAGUGAUGCCACAAUUGGUCAAAUCAUUUGAGGGAAAAAUUCACUGAUGAAAUGCUUCGCCGUUCCCAAAUGCGGGCGGCCGUUCAAAUUUCUUCACUCAAAUCUCACAAUGCAGGUCGAACGAACAAAAAAUUUCAAACUUGAUAAAUAAUUGGCAGAAAUAACCCAAAUUUUCGAACUUGGCAUUUACACGUCCAAAUCGAAGACACAAUUUCAACCAAAUCCAACCACAACGACGAAAAAUGCGAGGCAAUGUAGACAAACGGAAAGAUAAUCUGAUUAUACGAAACAAAUAAUGUCAAUAUUUUAUUUUUCCUUUUCUUUUUACCACGGUUCGAAACCGUAACAAAAACAAACGAAAGAAAGGGAAAGACGGAACGGCCAAAACGUCGGCGGCGACGAUGUCAAAAUCUUAUCAAAAAAGGAGAGAAAUUUGGCCGAACCGUGAGAACCAGGAGGGUUCUGGCGCUGUGGGAAAUGAAGGAAUUAGGAACGGUUGGCGAAGACCGUUGCCCUCUCCUUUCUCUCCCUCGCUCUUAUUUGGAUUGCUGUCUGCCUCUGAUGUACAACUACCGCGCCAAAAUUCCUAAAAACUAAUAAACUUACUAUUUUGACCUCCAGCUUGCCAAGUAAUAACGAGCCUAACAGAGUGGAAGUACCAUCUUGAUCAACUAAUCCACAUUUUAUUAGUUAAUGUUAAAUAUAGCGUAACUCAGUUUUGACACCUGUUUAAUUAUCAUUAUGUAUUCCAAGAAGAUCGUAAUUUUAGUCAUAUAUGUUAAAAUAAUAAACAAAUUUAGUUAGUGUUGAUACACAAAUAUUUUAAGAGAAUAUUACUGUUAAUUUUUAUCUUUGUUUAUUGAUAACACAUCGAAACCUAUAUGCAUUAAAUGCUAAACUAAAAUGUUUAAUGUAACAAAUUAAAAUUUAGUAAUGUCUAACGCAUAUACAAAGUAAUACAAUUCAAACAAACACAAAAUAGAACAACAUAAACACUGACGUUAAAAUGACACGUAAUAUAAUUAACUAAUUUAAGAUACCGCUAUCUUUAUAUCGCGAUUACUCUGGCUAAUACAAAAUGCCACAUGUACGCACUCUGAUCAACAUCAGAACCCAGCCAGCUGGAGAAGAUGUUUCUUUACGUAAAGCUGGCGUUUACGUUAGUCAAAGUGCCAACCAAUGCGAAUACCAAAUCUUCCAAUUCCAAUAACAAAACACAUACAAAUAAAUACUUAAAAAACCAGAAAUACUUUUUUUUUUUAUUGGUCAGGAAAAACAAAAUACUUAAAAAGAAAAAAAAAAGGAAACUUGACAGGCCCACUACUAGGCCCAAGCGGGGCCCACCCACCCAUCAUCAUCAUCACAGAAGCAAAGAGGUGAGAACCAGGUAAUAAAAAUUCAAAAAAAGAAAAUUUAAAUUAAACAAGAGAGAGAAAGACAGAGAAAAGAGUUGUCUUCUCUCUCCCUAUCUCUCUCCUUUUCCUGGCUCAGAUCCAAAGAAAACCAGCAGAGAAAACAGUUGGUACACCCAAACGAGAGAUUAAACCUCAUUAAUCACAGGAUUAUUAGCCUAAUCACGAAUUAAACCCCCCAGAACAAGAUGUAUUAAUAUAGCUCUGUACCCCUGCCCUACCUUCUUUUUUGGGUCCCCCUCACUCAGUUACCCAUUUAUCGCCAAACCCUCCAGAAAAAUUAAUUCCGAAAUUAAAGCGUUUUAAUGACGACGAGAGGGAGCAGAUCGGAGAAGGUGAAGCGGAUUUUCCACCAGUUCGAUGGCAACCAUGACGGCGGCCUCAACCGCGACGAGAUGGCCGCGCUCGUCGUCGCCGUAAACCCUAGGGUUAAAUUCAGCGACGAGCAGAUCAAUGCCAUUUUGGAUGAGGUGUUCCGGACGUACGGCGACUUCAUCGACGGCGAGAAGGGGCUGACGUAUGAGGGGCUUUUGCGGACCUACGACGACGGAGCCGGUGAUGUGGACCGUGACUUCGACGCGCUCGGGUUGGAGCUUACGUUGGACGAGAACAAGGCCUCCAUGGACUCCGAGGCGUCCUCGUCGGCGAUUGUCGAUGAGAGGGUGGUGGAGUCGCAGAAGAAGCAGAGGACUGCGGCGUGGGCGGUGUCGCCGAACCACGGGAUCGUGUUCGACGACACGUGGAAGAUUGUGGACGAUUUGGAGAUUCUGGUGAAGCGGUUGAAGGCGAAGCAGGGCAAGGACGGGAAAUUGAAGGCGGACAACAUCGACGCCCUCUCCGACGCCGGGUGGUCGAGGGAAUUGGGGCCGUCGAUGGAGAUUUCUGAGAAAAGGGUAUUUUGGGAAGAAAAUGGGCAUGAUUAUGCUCUGUUUGUCAAAGAAUUGGGGGUGCUGAGGAGCCGUGCCGACGGAGCAAGGUCACGUGAGCAGGCCUUCGACGGGCACAUGGCGAUUGGGAGGGUGCUGUCCGAGCACCAGCUGUUCAAGGAGGCACUGGUGAGCUUCAAGAGAGCUUGUGAGUUGCAGCCGGUGGACGUGAGGCCACAUUUCCGAGCUGGAAAUUGCUUGUACGUUCUUGGCAGGUGUAACGAAGCGAAAGAUGAGUUUUUGCUGGCGUUGGAGGCGGCGGAGGGCGGCGGCAACCAGUGGGCUUAUCUGCUUCCACAGAUUUAUGUGAAUCUCGGCAUUGCGCUUGAAGGUGAAGGUAUGGUUAUGAGUGCUUGUGAAUAUUAUAGAGAAGCUGCAAUUAGUUGUCCAACCCAUUUUAGAGCUUUGAAGCUUUUGGGUAGUGCUCUUUUCGGGGUUGGGGAAUAUAGGGCGGCUGUCAAGGCCUUGGAUGAGGCCAUUUUUAUGAAACCCGAUUAUGCCGAUGCGCAUUGUGAUUUGGCUUCGGCUUUGCAUGCCAUGGGGGAGGAUGAGAGAGCAAUUGCCACAUUUCAGAAAGCUAUUGAUUUGAAACCUGGUCAUGUGGACGCUUUGUAUAAUUUGGGAGGGCUGUAUAUGGAUUCAGGUAGGUUUCCGAGAGCUUCUGAGAUGUAUACUAGGGUUUUAGCUGUGUGGCCGAACCAUUGGCGUGCUCAGCUUAACAAGGCUGUGUCUUUGUUGGGAGCUCGGGAAACUGAGGAAGCUAAGAAGGCUUUGAAGGAAGCAUUGAAAAUGACCAACAGGGUUGAAUUGCAUGAUGCCAUUGCGCAUUUGAAGCAGCUACAGAAGAAGAAGGUGAAGGCAAACAAUGGAGAGGGUUCUUUCGUCGUUGUGGAACCUUCGAAAUUUAAGACAGUUGGGGAGAAGGCUACUUUGAGGCAGGACAUGGCCAAUGCACUUGAGAUAAGGGCCUUUCAGAGGAUUACCAGGUUGAGUCGAUGUGAUGUGGAGCUGCUUAAGAAGGAAAUGAAUGAUGGCGAUGUACCUCUUUCAUAUUCAGGCACUGGUGUUCCUCAGAGAUCCAUACGGAAGCCUAAUUUGGAAGUAAUCCUUCGCAGGUUACUUAAUUUCCUAAAGCCAGAGACUUUCCAAGGAGCUGUUAAAGCCAUAAACGAGAGGAUACUCUCUGUCAUGGAUGAUACAGGCUCAGGCAGAGUGGAUUUGGGAAUGUUUUUUGCUGUUUUAGCCCCUAUUUGCAGUGGCUCACCAGAAAAGCGCAAAAGAGUUGCAUUUGAUGCGCUCUUAUGGCGUCCUGUGAAUGAAGGUGGUGGUUCUCAGAUAAGAAAAGCUGAUGCCACUAAAUACAUGAAACUGUUGAGAGCCAUAUAUGUCCCUUCCAAUGGAGAUAGUGAGAUGCUGGAACUCCAUGGAGAAACGGAUCUUUCCACCAUGUCUUUCACCGAAUUUCUUGUCAUGUUUGACGACCCAGAUUGGGGUUUUGGUAUCAUGUCCACGCUGUUGAAGCUUGAAACUGGGGACAGAAACCGCCACGGCAACCAUGUUUGCUCGGUCUGCCGCUAUCCGAUUAUUGGGUCCCGAUUUAAGGAGGUAAAAUCUCACUUCAGUUUGUGUAAUCAAUGCUAUAGCGAGGGAAAGGUGCCUCCCACCUCUAAGCAGGAAGAGUACAAAUUCAGGGAAUACGGAAGCGAGGCUGAAGCCAUGAAAGACAAGUGCAAGUGCUUUACACUGCAAUCCCACAAGGCCCCUUAGCUAGACUCUUUUUCUCUUCAUUCUGUAUAUUUCCUUCGUCGCAAUCUAGUUGUUCAGUGUGAAAUAUAUCGAUCACGAAUGUUUUCGGUCGGCAUUAUGCCGUUGUAUAAUACAUUUGUUUCGGAUGUCUCUGCGUGUCAUCAUCGGUAUAACGUGCUUCGGUUUCUUGUAUCCAUUCUUUCUAUUGAUUCGACGAUGUUUUUACUCCUCUGCUUCGAAGAUUAAUCCCGGAAAUGCCUGUAUAUACGGUCGUAGUAAAAAGUAAAUAUAUGUAGGAGGGGAACCGGUUGGGGUUUCCAUUCUGUUCAAAGCACUAGAUGCAUGCAAGAAGCACGGUUAUGUCAUCCAUCUGGUGUGAGAAAGAAAGGAAACGAUUUUUUCUCAAAACACUGCUGCUUCUUUUAUAUCAGGAUUUUUGGCUGACGGUUGCCAAAUGCAGCUUCAAGUUCGAAAUUCGAAAACCCUAACCUGCAUUUGCAGCUAGCCAAGAAGAAUCGUCAUGGGAGCAGUAGCCGUAACCUCGGCGAAGCACAUGAUAUGCAUGAUGAUCAUGUCUGUUGUGAUGAUUACGCCCACAAGGGCAACAGCAUCGCCAUCAUCAUCACUACCAAUAUCACCAGCUGCGGCCCGAGCCCCGUCACCUUCAUUUCUUCCUUCCGACCAAACGAAAAAUCAGGUGCGGCAGGGAGAGGGAGGGCGAGGAGAUGAACACCGCUACGAGGCCGAAGCGACGGAAAUAAUUCUUGAUGACUACGGCAUUUGGAGUUCCACACCUUAUUUUGGUAGAGGUGAUAUGGCUCCUCUUCCCCACUGAGAAGUAUUUUCUUGCUGCCACGUUGUAGUAAAUCAUGAAUGUAUAAUUAAUGACCAAGUGUUUACAUUUCAAUCAAAUUAUUCAUGUUUCCAUGCAUCAACCAGAGAUUGAGAGUAUUGCGUAUUAGUUUCAGGCAACACAAGUCUUAAACUCAACUCGAGUCUUACCUAAUUUUUCGAAAUUCAAAAUUAGGCACCUAAUUCUCUAAAACUCGCCAUGUGUAUACAAAUAUGAUUUAUUUGUGUUGAGAUAUGUGCCACGUGUACUUACUUUUCAAAUUUAGUAUCAGAUUUUAAUGGAAUGAGCAAAGUGAGAUAUGAGUUGCCAAAUGCAGCUUUAAGGUGCGAUAUUCUAAAGCCUUAACCUCCAUUACCAUUUGCCCAAAAAAAAAACCUCCGUUACCACCUUGACCAAUUCCGUCAAUCAUUGGUCAUGCUCAUCAUUGCUUAAUUACUUAUUUGACUUCUUGUGAGCUGAUCACUUUGAUUUCUCCCUUUAAUUGUGUAAGUUGAUUUUGCUAGUUUACCUAUCAUCAUUAACCCACAUGGUUUUUGUAUAAAUAGUGGGGUUUGAUCUAAUGAAUUAACACAUGGGAGCAGUAGAUAUGCAUCAUGAUCAUGUCUAUUAUGAUGAUUACGUCCACGAGAGCAACCGUACCCCCGCCAUCAUCACCGUUAUCACCGGCCACGGCCCCAGCCCUGUCACCAUCAUUUGUGUCUGUCUGCCGAGAGAGAAACCAGGUGCAGCAGGGAGGAAGAAUACACCGCUACAAGGCGCAAACGCCGGAAAUAAUUCUUCAAGACUACGGCAUUUGGGAUCGCACACCGUAUUAAACAAAGUAGUUCCUUCAAUCAAAGUAUUCAUAUUUCUUGCAAGUCCUUGUGUCGCAGUAGCGGCGUACCCGCGUGACGUAAAUCCUCACACGACAGUGAGGAUUGAAUGAAUCAAAAGAAAUACAUAUGGUUACAAAGAACUCAAGGCAUGUCCCAUCUAUUAUGACCAACCAAAAACAUCCGAAAUCAAGCUUUCCGAAGAUAAAUUUAACUUGAUCCCAUCGUCACUUAACUUGUAUUCUACGCUUCUCAAAAUCAAGGCAAUGAGGAUGGAGCAUACGGCACCUCCUUUAACAUGGUUGGUCGUAGAUUACUGCAUAUGUUGGUGGUGUUAUGAAAUGUGGAAGCUCAUGGGAUACCACCGUCUUGACAAUAAUCCGCUACUCUCUUUUUGGUCUAACCUAGAAGAACAUAAUUAAGCAAAUCAAUUAAAAUAAACCAUACUUCCACAAACUGCCAGGUUUCAAAGAAAUAGUGAUGCAAUUUCAAUUACCUGGAGGUGUAACUUAAAGAUCAGCACAAUCACAUAAGAUGAAUAGAAGAAGGGCCAGAUAUAGCAACUACUCUCUGAGCAUGCUGUGCUUCACCCUUGUAAAGUUCCUUUAUUUCCUUUUUAGUGCGGCGUGCUUCCCGCCUUUCUUCCUUGACAGCAGCCUGCAUACAUAUAUCUUUGAGUCAUUAUCAAAAGUACAAACACACUUCGAAACAACAUAAGCAAAAUACAAUGGACAAAAUUGCACUCAUUAUCGAAUGCCAAAAAGAGUAUCUUUGAUAUUGUAGAUGCGAGUUAUUUGCUUACAGUUUUUGCCCUUAAAUUGUUAGUUUACGGAUUUUAUAAAAGUGUGGUAAGUUGGAUGUAAUGGCAUGCUCAAGACGAGCAAAAAUGAAUAGCAGAACAGCGAAUGGAUACCUUUCGCUCUUUCUUCUCCUCCUUUGACUCCUGACCAUGCUGCUUCCUUUUCAGCGGCUGAUUUUUCAAGGCAUCCGUAUCUUUCACCUUCUCAGUUGUAGGUUUUUUACCAUGAGGCAGGAAGUCCACAGGCAGCUUCUGUUUUCCUCGAAGGGUUAUCACAUGAUCGGUGGAACCCAAGGCUCCAGAAACCGUUUCAGAAAGCUUCUUCCUUCUAGUUGCUCCUGGAGCUUCGAUUUUCCCAGGGUGGUUAUCGAGAUUUGAAUAUGUAGUAACAAUGGUCUCACAAUCCCACACUUCUGAUUCAUCGCUAGAUUCCUCUACAAUGACCACGUCUCCAUCUUGAUCUUCGUUUUCAUAUUUCUUACCAUAUUCUGCACAACGCCGAAUAAGCACAUUAGCAGAUUCCACUAGCUCUUUCGUUUUUACCGUCUCGUCAUCCUGCAACAUAUCUGCAGGAGCCUUAUAAUUUCCAUCGAGCUCUAAGUCAUCAAUCACACGCUCAUUAAGGGUGGUAUGUUUGAGCUUCUCUGCAAGGGACUCAUCUUCUUCAGGUAUAUAACCGUAAUCAUCGUCAUCGCCAUCGGCAUUGUCAUAACUACCAUACUCCUGACCUACAAGCUGUUUUUUUCAUAACAAAAAUGUGCGAUAAUGAAGUAUAAAGGAAAAAUCACCUCAAACUAUAAAGUUUAAGUAACAUAACUAAAUAUGCCAAAAAAAUAACUCACUAAAUCAAAUUGCUCGUCCAAAAGACGAUGAACUCGUGGCUUUUCAACUGUAGAGUCAUCCCUUGCUACUGCCACGCAAUUUGUUCUCACUCCAUUUGCUUCAUUGGUCACAUUUUUAUUCUCAGAUUGCUCAACAAAACUUGGCGUAUUAUCUAUAAACCCAUCCUCCUCCUCCUCCUCCUCCUCCUCUUCUUCGGGAAGGUUAGCCUGAACCACAAAAUCUUCUUCCAAGUCCUCAACAUCAGAACCAAACCGCGAUAAAUCGCUAUCAUCAAGCAAUGCAGAUACUUCUGGAUCAACCACUUUCUGAACCCUUACAUUAACCGUCUUAGAAGCCACACUGUAAAUAACUUUCUCAUUCGGUACCUCAGUUUCCGAAAUGCGCAAUCUCGAAGCAUCAUAUGCCUAAAAAUCCACUACAGUUAUUAAGUACAACAAAAAUCUUCUAAAUUGCUAUUGUUUUAUAGCUCAAAAAUGUAAAAGACAGAAAUUUUCAAAUUUACACUCUAUUUUUCCUCAAUUUUCUCAGAAGCCAAACAGAAUCUAAGGAAUCGAAAGCUAAGUUAGCAAACCAACCUUUUCAUCGCGCGGAAGCUCACCGAGCUUAGCCUUGGAAUUCUGAUAAAAUGCAGAGCCGGCGCCAGUAUUCCGAAUCUCCCUCAUAUGCAGCAAGUAAUUGUAACCAUCGUCGGGAAACCCUAACUCCAGAAUCUCCUUCCUUACGUUGUCAGGCAAAGGCUGAGCUGCGGACGACGCUGCCGAGCUCCCGUAACCAUGGCCAUAGCCCCCGCCGCCGCCGCCGCCAUCCUCAGGCGCAUCGGCGUAUAUUGAAUUGGGACCGUCGUCGUAUCCGCCGGCACCUGAGGCGUGGUCAGGGUUAUCUUCGGGGAAUAAGCUGUCGACGGAGUAGCUGCUGUUGUCUACUCGGACAAAGACGCGGUCGUUGCCGGGUGAAUCGUCGUAGUUGGGAUCGGACGAGUCACGGGCAAGUAAUUGGAAGGUCGCCGAUUUUUUCUUGUCGAUGAAUUUCUUCUUUCUGCCCAUUUUGUUUUUCGCCAAAUCAGAGACGGUUGAGAGAGAGAGACGGUGAAGUCGUGAGAUAAAACCCUAUCAAUGUCUUCUGUAUUAAACCCUCAAAAAUCUUGGGUCGACCCGAAUGGCCCAAAAUUCAAAAUCUUCAUUUAUUUGGGCCUCAUUUGGAGACCGGCCCAAAAGUCUCCCAGUUUUUAACCGAUUUUGCGAUUUAAAGGAUAAUUCAAAUGGCGUUUUAACAAAACACUUCUGGUACUGUUUCUUUUUAACGAAAAAUCAUAUUUUUACCUUUAACUGGCACUAUUCACUAUAUCUUUAAAAAUGACUUUUCGUUAGAAGAGAAGUUUUUUUUUUACUUUUCGUUAGUUUUCCGUAUUUCAAAGAUGUCAUUUCGAAAUUUCAUUCUAACUAUGUUCUAACUCCGCUAAUAAUUUUGCGAUUAUUUUUUCAAGCUUAAAAAUUACUUUAUGACUCGAUAAAUAAUAUAAUCGCUUUUACAUAACUUAUAAUAUUUUCUCUAUAUACUAUUGUAAAAACUAAAACAUCUCAUUUCCAAAAAAGUUGUGAGCUGUAAGACAUGGUUUUAAAUCGGUUAUAAACUUUCAUCGGACCAUAAGCUUCGUAAAAUUUAUGGACAUUUCAAAUAUGUUCUACUCGAUGUAACUCUAUCCUAGCUAUGCUGAGGCCCCACUCGCAUUUUGAUUGAUUAUUUUAGUUUUCGAACAUAAAUAUUCAAUAAAAUAUACAUUUCUGAAGAGAGAAUGGAACUGAGAAGGACCAAGACGAUCGGAAGAUUCAGAACUGUUUGACAGAGCUAUUUUCCUCCGGCGGGGGUGUCAUCGUUGUUGUUUUGAAAACAGGGUAGUAGGAGUCGAGUUCGAGCUGCUCCAAGAUCUGUUUCGUCUUCCAAAGAUACGAAGAGUGGCCUUCGACAAUUUGCGUCACGUCAACCUGAGAAGUGAAAUCGAAACUUCAAAACAAUGCAGCACAAGUACCGACCAAAAUUGCAAAUGCAAAAGAAACUGGGAGGUUGGAGAACUUACAUUUUCAAUCCCAGGGACAUCAACAGGUUGAAUUCCACCUAAACCUUGAGAAAGUAAACUGUAUACAGAAAACACUUAGUCCGAUGGAUUUAUAACUCAUGGCUUUUUUCGAUAUGAUUAGAAAGAACACAUAUGUACCACCCCCGGGCUCGGAUAUGCAUAAUGCUAGAACCAAAGGAUAAAUGACCCGUACCUUGCACGAAAGGCGAUUCCCAGUGUCCAAUCAUUUAUAGAAUAGGCAUUCACGAAUCUCCCGGCCACCAUCUGUGGAGCAGAAAUAGGUUCAGCCUUCAGUGUCAAAAUGUAAGAACAGUAGCAGCACAACAAAACUUGCAAAGGAAACCAAAUAACAGAUGCAAAAAGGAAAGGAAAAAAAAAAAGAGUUUUGAACUACCUUUCUAGCAUCACUCCAAUUUUCUUCUUCAACCGAAACUGGCGCUCCCAGAAGUACAACCCUUUCUACCAGACCAGCUAUAGAAAUGCAUAAACCGGAUUCAAUUAUUUUUAUUUAUUAUAGUGCUACUGUACUUGUCCACAAUAGGAUGAAACGGAUUGUGAUAAUUACCGUUAUCCCCUUCUGUUUCAGCCAAAGAUUGAAGACAUUUGAAAAUUACUCUGGCCCCCAGUGAGAAUCCUACGAGCGUCACUGGCCUGGACCGUACACGGAGGAUUUUAAGUCAAGUAUACACAUGAUGUUUAAGGGAAAGAUGGACAUGUCUUUUAUAAUAUGAGAUUCUUCUACCUGCCCCCUUGCAGUCCAUUCAGCAGGACUUCAGCGAGCAUCUUCCCAGCUUUGUCUGAUCUGGCCAAGAAAAGGGAAUGCUACAAUUUCAUAUUUGUCAUGCACUGCAAGUAAUGAACACUCAAGAUAGUGUUUCAAAUACUUGAAAACUGAACCACCUCGGGAGCAAAUUAUGAGAACAAAACUUUCGCAAUCAAAACAUGAACACAAUGGAAACCAAUAUCUUUCCAUUAUCAAUCCACAUAGAGUUCCUUCCAAACAAAUAAAAAAUUACCUGUCCACUGCAACUGCCCAUUUGCUAUCUAUAAGAUCAGAUGCCGUAACUAAUGUUGUUGGCAUAGCAAAUGCCGCUAGAAGUGUGUUUAAUACAGUUAGCAUGGCACCUUCCUUCAUCAACUGUAAUGCAAUUCCUGUAACAGUUUGCAACAAUGUUGGUCAUGGACUCAUAGAUAUGCCAAAAGUAAAAAAAAAAAAAAAAAAAAAAAGUGAUAGUUCUUAUAACGUUAAGAACGUACGUGAAGUAAGCCAGUCUUGGAUUGCAGUGCUCAAUGCAAUCAAAUUCUUAGACUCCCACCAGAGUGCAUACCUAUGCAUUCACUACAUUAAUAUCAAUUACUUAGCCAGUGAUGAUAAUUCAAAACCUAUGUGAUGCUUCUAUAAUCGACAGAAUUUCAAGUUAAAUAGAAAGCAUAUCAUCUUUUUCACCAUACUACUUGGGGAAACACAAUUUGCAUUGCUUACCUUUCCAAAUUUUCAUUCUGAGCUUCCCAAGGCCUUAUGAAGUCUUCAUCCUCGAAAACAAGUCCAGAAACCAAUAUUCCCACUGCUAGCCGCUGAAAAGGAGGUUUUCAGAAAAAGGUCAGCAAUGUCGUUUAUACAGAAAAGGUGGUGCUCAAUAUAAAUUGCAAUUUGCCACUAUAACAUCAAGCCAUAGAAAUCCCUCAGAAACAGCUCACACCUCCCGGUUCCCCACAAAAAUAAAAAUAUGGAUUUGUAAAAUGUCAAAAUGAACUCACCCCUUUCUCAUAAUUUUUAACUGUCCUGAACUCAAAUUCUUCAAUGUUGCCAGUUCUUCUAGCCAUUUUACUCCCCGUAAGUCCAGCUCCAGCAGCUGAGAUGCCGAAAGAGCGAGUAAGUAUCCACUACAUACCCUUUUUUCUCAUUAUAUUUGAAAGAUUGAACCUAUGGAGUAUGGAAUGGUGGUCUUUUUGAAUGUGCUUUCAAAAUGACCACAUGCUUGAUAAAAACCAUAGAGUUUAGAUCGAGGUUAAGUGUAUUAAUCUUUCGGAGGUUUAAGACUAAUAAUAAUGUUGAAUGAACAAGAGGGUAUGUUGAUUGUUGAGUCUAAAACUAUGAGUCUCAACUCCAUCCACCACUCUUCUAUUUUAUGAAUAAGUUAAGAAUUGAUGAUUUGAAUAUACGGUACCAUAACGAGAAAGCAUCCAUGUGUGCAGUUGUGUCAAAAGUGACCUAUCCUCUUAAUUCACAACUUUCUGUCAACCGCAUGCCUUCCUAGUAUUCAUGUUCAUCCCUCUUGUUAUUAGCCAAGACUAGGUUUUUCUUCCAGUUACAUAAACGAUGUCAGAUUCGUAAGUCUAACUAAGCAUGAAAAUAUUAGAAGAAAAAAAAACCACUUUUGCACCUCCAAAUGAUGCAGCAACAGCAACAGAGCCAGUAACAGAGCCAGUGGCAGUUGCAGCAGCAGCGAAUCCACCUGCUCCAAUUGCAGGGAUAAUACCACCCAAUGUUGGAGCUAGAGCACCUAAAGCCUGCGCAAUUGCAGGAGCGACUAGGCCUGUGAAAAAUUAAAAGUCAACAACAAGUUAAAGACUACUAGUUCUAUUUUAAAAGGAGUGACAUCUGCUUUUUUGAAGUUGACGGAUUUCAUACCACCAGUGAUAGCCAUUAAGGUUCCCCCUGUUAAAGCAGCUGCACCAAUUAGACUUCCCCGCUUCAUUUCCUCCCAUGAGAUUUCUGAAGUUUUUGUUUUGUUGUCAUCAGUAACUUCUUUUAUUGAAGCCAUAAAAGAACAAGCAACCAUCACCUCCAUGACUUCCUGCAGAGUAGAAUUUUCCUCAUAGACGGCUCAAUAUGCUUUUGUUUCUUUCUUCUUCUUAUUUUUAUUUAUUCAUUUGAAGCAUAAAGAGUAGGUAUUCAUCAAAUAGCAGACACUAUUAUAGCCUUAUUAUUUUGAUAGGAUCAAGUAACAAAAAGAAAAAACAAUAAAUGUUUUCAAUAGACGGACCAUUUUUUGCCAUUCAACCCCAAGCCAUGCUGCCAGCAACCGCAAUGCUACACGGUGUCGAGCAUCAUAACCCUUCCUUACUUGAGAACAUUUAUCGCCAUCUUCAGUAUUAUCUGCCACACAAGCUGAAAGAAGUGCAUAAAGAACUGUUAUUUUCCUUUCGUAACUGAGCAGGUUUCCCUCUUCCACAGGUUCCUCUAGGGGUUCAGAUACAUUUAAUGCUUUUUCUUCAGUGGAUGUCUCGGAACAUGUCCUCGUUAUAAUCUCAUAAGGCUUUGCUUCUACCUCAGAAGGUGGUUUUGUCUCAGGAACUUCAUAUCUCUCGCGGCAUUUAGCUUCAUAUUCAGCAUUCACAGGUUUCUCUGCUGAAGAAGCAGGAGAGUCUUCCUCAGUAAGUACCAUAGCAUCAACGGUUUUUGUCAAAGCACGUUCCUUGUCAGAUUUUUCCUCAGAAGGCACAUCAGCUUCCUCCGAGAGUAAUGUCAAGACUGAAAUAAAAUAAAAUUACCAAAGAGCUAUCAAACCGAACAAGAUAUUACUAGAAAGUUAUAAACACACGUAAAUGUUGCAGCCAAGAAUCAAAUAUGAGCCAAAAAGCAAAUGAAAAUCCUCUCAAGCUCCAAUGUGUCAAAAAUACUGAUGUCGGUAAAUUUCAAAUGACGAAUAAAAAACGCACCGCUCCUACAUGAUGCCUAACUUGUGAAGAAGAUCCUGCUGUUUCCUUUAGCCCCUUCCAGGAUUGGUCAUCCACUCCUAAAAAUCUGAAAUUCCAACCAAGGAAUCAUGAAGCUGGACGUGGACUCGCAGUAAUGUUGAGGAAUGUAAGAAUCCCACAUCGGAAACUUGACAAAAGUAAAAUAGAAUAUAUAUAUAGAAUAUAUGAGUGGUUCCACUCCUAACAAAACCUAAGCCAUUUUGUGACAAAAUUAAUAUUUUACUUUAAAUUAAUCUAAACUGCGAUGAGAGGAAUCGAACUUAGUGCACAAGGGGGAACAACCCAAUGUGUCUACGACCACUUCUGCACAUCUGAUAUGAGUAUGACCAAUGGAAUUGAAAGAAAGUACCUGAAAAUGGGAUAAAGCAAACCGGAAUUCUCGUGGACCCAAAGGCCGUCAUUGUCCGAAACCGAAACGCUCUUACCGACGCUGGCACCUUCGCCGAUGGUCUCUUCUUUCAGGGAAGGCAAAGGAGGAGUCGAUUGGCGAGUCUGGUGGACCUGCGACUGGUGGAGCGCCAGAGCGAACAGAGCGCCCGCCGCGUACUUAUGCGUCGGCGUCAGAAUCAAUGCCUCCUCCAUUUUCGACGGCGGCGAUUCCCCUUUCAAGCUCGCAGAGCAUCGGAAAAGCAACUGGCUCGAAUUUGCAGACCAAUACGGCCGUUUUGAUUUUAUUAAUCGAUAAAUUAACAUCAGUAUUAGCAGAUAAUUAAAUUUAAUUAAUUUUAAGGAAAUUGAUUGAAAUUACACGAGACCGGUUCUUUAUACUAGUGUUCCACCGCCUAAUGCUCUUAACGACUAAUUAACUACUUCGAUAAUUAAGAUUAAUAACAGUAAUUAACGAACUUAAACUAAAACUUUGCUGAUUUGGAAAAAUCUGUAGCGCGCUAUCACCCGGCAACUCGACCGAGAAACUCAGCCCUCAAGGCUGAGAACUUUUCAACGAGACACCGACUUUGCCGUAAAAGGGCUUCUUUUUCGCGGGAGGGACACGCGGGAGAGCGAUGACUCCUGCGACCGACACGUGGCUUUCACGAGAGUCGUUUUGUUUUGUUUAUCAUCUAAGGGCAGGGCCGGUGACUACGAAUGGGCAUAAUUAUCCAUGGGCUGAGAAACCAUGGGUUUUCCUACUCCAAAUGGACUAUUUUAUGAGAGCCCAUUAGGUCCGCUGUUAAAUGGAUUGGGUUUCGGCAUACCCAAGGGUAACAUGUGGACUUUAUUUUAUUUUAUUAUUAUUUUUGUUGAGAUAUUUUAUAGGUCUAUUUAGGGCAGUUUUCGUAUUGAGUGAGAUCAUGUAGGAUUUAGAGGGAUGGAGCCAAAGCAAGGGCUAUAUUAUUGGUGCACUAUCGGAUGUGUUAGGUGAUGUUUACAUUUCAUGCUAAUUAGUGAAUUUAUUUAAUAAAAUAUGCUAAUUAGUGUAUUUAUCAUUUACUACAUUAUGUGUUGCAUUGCACUAAUGUGGUACAAAAUAUGGUUUCCCUGACAUUCCUUUAUUAUAUUUAUGUUGAUCCAUUUGUUGUAUUUAUGAGCUUUCUACUUUUGUUGUAUAAUAAAUUAUUAGCUAACAUGGAGGAGUUGGAAGCAUGAUUUUUAAUUUGACCGCAAAGUCAAUCUCAUUCUAAUAUUGCUAUUAUGGAAAACGACUACGAGGAUAAUUUAUUAAUAAAAAAAUACAAUAUAUCAAGGGAGACAUUAAGCCAAAUCCUGACCAUUAAUUAGAAUUGAUAACAAACAAGUUAAAACCUCCUUUAGCAAAACCUAUAACAGGAAAGUUGAGAAAGAUUAGGAGAAUAAGCAGCUGCAACACAACACAAGGAGGGCAUGAAUCCCACCAAUGAGUUGGAAGCAUGAUGAUGUAUAUACAUAUAUGAAACCUAUGUGGUGUAUUAAUUUAACAAUACGAAGUGUGAUCUCUACGCAUGCUUGCUAGUAGUGGUACAUAUAUACUUGUCCAAAUUCCUGGCUUAAAGGCGAAGCAAAAGGCAAUAAGUAUUGUGUGAUCACAUUGCAGGUGGACCUCGAAGUUAUACAAUUAUGGUGCUGCCUGUUAUUAUUGUAUAUAUAUUGCUCGCAGAUAUAUGUAUAUUGUUGUAUAUAUAUUGCUUGAGUUACAUGACAAAAGUACAAUUUAAUUUAAUCCAACUCUGUAAAGAUAUUGCAAAUUAACUCAAAGCCAUGGAUUCAGAGAUGGAAAUGAGAAUCACACGUCGUUUUUCUUGUUAUACACGUCAUUAUUUUAAAAUUAUCAAGUUGAAUAAAGCAAACGGAUAACGAAUACGUUUAAAUAAUGAUGUGUCAAAAAAAAAUAUGUAUUUAUCAUUUCUCGUCUAAUAUUAAAAGAACUACUUAUAAGUGGUCCUAUGGAUAAGCUAAGAUAGAAAUAACAAUACUGUUGUGUAGGAUUUACUGAUCGAGAAGAGAGCAGUCUGAUCAGACGAGCGUGCCAUAAGUGGGCGAGAGUGGGGACAUUGGAGAAGGCUGUGAAGUGAAGCAUGCAUGUCGCGCAACUGCCAUUUAACCUAAUUUUUCCAGCCUAGACUGUAAAAAGUUAUAGAUUUAUACAGGUGGGGACAAAAGUGAGACACAAGGCACACUUCUGUUCAAAUGAAAAGGAGCACGAUUAGGGUUUUCUUAGAGAUCUAGGGUCAAGUGGGGACAAGGUCUAGUUGUCAACAGCAAGACAUGUGAAAAAUAAUUUAGAAUACAACCGUAAAUACAUUGCUAAAUUUAAAAGCUAAAUUACAUAACCAGUUUAUGGAAUGGUUUGAAAGUGAGCUUAAAAAAAAAAAAACAUCCAUGAAAAAAAGCUAUGAGGAUUUUAGGUGUUUGGUAAACUGAAAAAAAAAAAGAAGCUUAUUUUGGAAGUUGCUAUGAGAAUAAGCUGAAAUCAAAGGAAAAAGUUGAAGCUGCUAUUUGCAGCUUUGGGGCUUUUUUUUCAAAGCACACGGAGCUACAGUGCUCAUUUAAUGAAAAGACCCACUAUCAGACUGUUUUUUUUUUUCCAAAAGCACUUUUACAAAAAAAUUUACCAAACACUUUGCUGAUUUAUUUCACAGCCGCUUAUUCUCACAGCAGUUUUUUUUCAAAGCACAACAAUACCAAACCAGCCCUAUAUCUAUAUAAGGUACCACUGUUGACAAUCGCCAUACUUCGCACAGCAUAUGCGCAUCGAUUUUCAUUCUAACGUUCUAAAAUUAAUAUACAAGUGCAUAUGGCUGCAGUAGUGAUGAGAAAGUUAUGGGUCGUCUUGUUUAUUGUGACGGCGACUGUUGGUUCGGAAGCUGCCGGUAGUAAGUUAGAAAAUGGCAUGGCUAAUAGUACUCAUCACGAACAAGGCAAUAGUUCUUUUUUAGCUGUUGCUGAAAUUCCUUCCGCAGGAAUUAAUGGAGAAGUAAAGAACGUGACUACUUCCUACACAACUGAAGUUGAUAUCAACAACAAAAAGAAGCAACCUAAUUGGAUGUCCAGAGGAGGAGGAGGAAGAGGAGGAGGAAGAGGAGCAGGAGGAGGAGGGGGAGGCGGCGGUGGAGGUGGUAAUGGGGGUGGAGGUGGAGGUGGAGGCGGAGGAGGAUAUACAUGGGGUUGGGGUGGUGGUGGCGGCGGCGGAGGAGGAGGAGGAGGAGGUGGAGGUGGAAAAGGAGGAGGUGGUGGGUGGGGAUGGGGCGGAGGAGGAGGAGGGGCAGGGUGGUGGAAAUGGGGUUGUGGUGGUGGAAAAGGAAAGGGCCGAGGAGGAAGAGGCCGCAGAAACAGUAACCAUGUCUACAGCGGCCGGAAGAGGAGGUUCGACGAGGAAGAGUACGUGAUGGGAGAGUUUGCACAAUGCAUGCGGAAGGGGCAAUGCAAAGGCAUGAGAUUGGAUUGCCCUCUUCACUGCGGAGGGCCUUGCUUCUACGACUGCCAACACAUGUGCAAGGCUCACUGCCGACGACGUCGUACUUGAUCAUCACUGGCAAAUGUUUGAUGUUUCCGAAUUAAUUAAGGCGCCAUUAAUUUCUAACAGUCACAUUAAUCCCGAAGCACAUAUUACCCAAUUAGUCGACCGAUCGAUGAUUAAGCAAGGCUGAUGGAUUAAGGAUUUAUUAUAGUUAAAUUGUUCUCUAUCUGUUGUUUGCGCUUCCAUUCACCUUUUUUCUGUUUUUUUCUUUUCAUUCAACCUUUUUUCGUUGUUCAAUUUUAUGUGCCCUAUGUAUAUUCUGCAUGCAUGCAUGCAUGCAAUGUUUUACGUGGUAAUGACUCAAGAGAAUAUCGUUCAAUUUAUUGUGUUUUUUUAUGUCAAAUUAUGGUCAGCUUUGACAAUACAAAUAAAUGUAAUGCUAGAGAGAUUAUCUAUUUAAGUUAUAUUUUGCAUAUCAUAUGACAUGAUUGUUAAUGUCGGUCCAUUUGUUGAAGAGAUAAAUUUUAUGUGCAACCAGUUCUAUGAUUUGUGUAGAAUAUCUAAUAAGAAGAUAUAUACGUGUGGAAACAAAUUAAAGGAAUAUAUAAACAGUCCAAUUUAGUUUGUAAGAGGCAAAGCUGAAAAUCGAACCAAUCUAGGCCAAAUUCCAUCUAUUCAAUUUUUUUGGGGUAAUGCUAGGGACACCAAAAUUUUUAAAGCAGAUGAUGUGGUUGUAGUCUUGUAGAUGAUUGGAUUAAAAAUCAAGUGUCAAUUGACGUAUUUGUUUCUUAUUAGUGACACAUCAAUUUGGGUUACAAAUUUAGUUUAAAAUCUUGGUCUCCCUAGCAUUAUCUUUUUUUUUUUUGUUCGGUUUGAUUUUGUUCACUGAUGUGCUUGUUCAAAUGUUAAUUUACCCCAACUUGCCAUGCAGUUUUGGGCUGUUAGAGCGUCGUGCUCUUCUCUUUAGACUCAAGUUCCAAUCUUAUUCACCAUAAAUUAUGAGGUCGUUUUUUUUUUUAAACUAAAAUCUUGUUUGAUAACUACUUUAAAAAAAUAAAAAAUGAAAAAAAAAAAAACUGAAAGCUACUUCUUGAGUUUUCAAAAUUUGACCUUGAGUUUUUACAACUGAAAAUUGAAAACAAAAUGAUUAUCAAACAAUGCCUAAAUUAGACUUACCCAUUGUGUUUAUGCAAUCAGAGUUAAAAUGGGCUUUCAACAAAUUGAAACAAGAUUGGGCUUCUUAACGCUACGAGCCUAACAAGCCCAAUGGAUCCGCAUAAAAUUGUUCGUUCUUUUAUUUUAUUUUUUUAAGUAAAAGAAAAGAGAGCAAAGAACAGCUGUACAUAAACUAAUACAAAAAAAGAAUAAAAUGAAUAGUAGAAGCUAGCAUCUAAUUAAAGUUAAAGAAAGAAAGGUAAUCGCACCACGACGGCGGCGACGUGGCGGUCCAUUAACGGAAAAUAACAGACAAAUCAGCCUCUAGAUUAAGGUCUUGAAGCACAACUUUGAAAAAUCGAGACUACCUACAGCUGAGCUGCAAUGGAGGCAAUCAGGAAGCUCAGAGAUCAGGUCGCCAAGCAACAGCAGGUACUCUCUAUCUCUCUCUCUUCGUGUUUGAUGGAAUUUACAUCUGUUUCCGAAUUUGUAUUUCUGUAUGGAUUUUGAUAUGAACAUAAGCUGCGUUAAUUGUGAGAUUGCGAGAUUGCUUAUCAGAUUUAAUUUUAAAGGUGUGCUAUCAAUCAAUUUAGUUCCAGUAUAAUAAUAAUGAUUAUAAUUGUUGAAUUGAAUUGAAUCGAAACGAAUUGAAUUGAAUCGAAUCGAGUUGAAUUGAAUUGAAUCGAAUCGAAUUUCACUAUUUCUGAGCUGUUUGGGGAUGUGUUGGAGUGUACUGUUGGUGAAUUUGUAAAAUUUUGAACCAGGUGUUGCUGAUUACUUAAUCAUUUUAUCAGGAUUUAAGUCAAUGCUUAAUUUUUACUUUUUCUGAAAACUUCAAGUGGAAAUUACAUCUAAUUCAAUGUUUUAUGCUUCAUUGAUGCGUAGCCUUAGUCGAAGGUUUAUCGAGCUUGCUUUUCAUUUAUUGUAACACUGUCAGGCUGUAUUCAAACAAUUUUCUGGUGGCAUAUUUGGGGGAUCGGAUAAUGUUGCCGCAGAUGAAAAUGAAUUCCAACAGCAUCAGAAAAUCGAGAAGUUGUACAUAUCAACUCGUGCUGCCAAGGUUGCUACUCAUUUCUGUCUGUUCAUUCAGUUAUUAUGACAUCACAAUACUUUUGUUACCUGUAUCUUAAUCUACUUUGUUUUAUUUGACAGCAUUACCAAAAGGAAAUCGUCCGUGGUGUGGAAGGUUAUGUUGUUGCUGGUUCAAAGCAAGUUGAAAUAGGUGCGUUGCUUGAUAUGCGUUGUCCUUUUUUUGGGAGUUUGGAUAUGAAUUCGUGUGAGUUUUAUCAGUUAGUUUAUAUAAUACUAUUUCAACAGGUACCAAAUUAUCAGAAGAUAGCAGGAAAUAUGGUGCUGAAAAAACUUGCACCAGUGGUAACACAUUGUCGAGAGCUGCACUGAGUUUUGGAAGAGCCCGUGCCCAAAUGGAAAAGGAGCGUGGACUUCUACUGAAAGCUCUUGGCACGCAGGUUUAAAUCAAAUUUUGUGUCCAUUUGAUUAUUUCGAAAUAAAUUUACAGCAAAAAAUUGUUUCCAUUACCACGCCAUGGUUCAAGAACUGGACUACAAUUCUGUGUUUUUAUGCAUCAUAUGACAAAGUGGUAGGUUGCAGAGCCUUUGAGAGCAAUGGUAAUGGGAGCGCCCUUGGAGGAUGCUCGACAUCUUGCUCAACGAUAUGCUAGAAUGCGGCAAGAUGCUGAAGCUCAGGUAUGUGCACAGUUUCUUCAGUUUUUUACCAAUGUUUUCCUACAUUGAAUUUAUAUCUUCCAUAGUGCCUGUAUUUUUCUAGGUGAGCUGCUUCUUUUGCUUUUACCAAUUCUUGUUCUACUACAUUGAAUUUUUAUGAAAAAUCUUAAGAUGUUUCUAAUAUAAACGAGUUGAGAAGCUUUUUUUUUAUUGGUAACUUGGAACUUGUUUUUUUUUUUUUAACUCCGUGAGCUUUGUCUAUGUAUACUAACACUUGCACCUAGAUAGGCUAUAGAUGUUUCCAGACGCCAAGCCAAAGUACGGGAAUCUGCAGGUAAUGCUGAUAUUAUCAUGAAACUAGAAGCUGCUGAAGCCAAGCUUCAGGAGCUACAGUCUAACGUUGCAAUAUUGGGAAAAGAAGCUGGUGCAGCAAUGGCUGCUGUUGAAGGUCAACAACAAAGAUUGACUCUUCAGCGGCUUCUUGUGAUGGUAAAGCACUUCCUUUCCCUUCCUGUUGAAGCAUUGAGGCUUUGGCCUGUUCUAGUUACAAGAUUGAAAGAAAAUUAAUUCUGUAAGUUUGUCAAUUUCCGUCUCCAUUCAAGGUUGAAGCAGAGCGCAAUUAUCAUCAGAACGUUCUUCAGAUACUUGACCAGCUUGAAGGCGAGGUAUGAAAUAUCCUGGAAUCUUCCUUAUCGGCAAGACAAUUUUUCCAAUUCAUUAGGUUGUAUAUUAUUCUAGUGUCUUGUGACUUUAAGCAGUGAUGAUUGACACUAUUUGUUGGGACAGAUGUUGUCAGAAAACCAGCGAAUUGAAGCAUCGCCUAGUCCAGCUACAGAGACAUCUAUGCCUCCGCCACAAUCAUAUGAGGAUCUGGGACAUAGCUUUGCUUCUGAAGCCUAUGAUGAAUUGACAGACACAAGGGACUAUUUCUUAGGAGAGGUAACUUUAUGCUAAAUGUGGUUGUAGCUGAGUUUUCGUAUGUUUAACUCUUUAGUUUCUACUAAUUGCUCCUUUUCGCCUACUGCAGGUUGUGUACACAUUUCAAGCUGUAACUGAUGUGGAGUUAAGCUUGUCUUUUGGGGAUUAUGUCGUUGUCCGGAAGGUUCUGCAAUCUUUCAUGCUUCAUACUUCAAUAAUUUUCAUGUUUUGAUUAUUUCUCUCGUAUUGAGAUUAUGCUCUUGAGCAGGUAUCAAAUAAUGGUUGGGCUGAAGGUGAAUGCAAGGGAAAAGCCGGGUGGUUUCCAUUUAAUUACAUCGAAAUGCGGGACCGUGCGCUUGCGAGCAAGGUGGCUGCAGUAUUUUAAAUCUUUUGGUUUCCUGUUUAGUUGGCUUGUGUUUGUGUUUGUGUUUCUGCUCUGAGAUUUUACCUAGUAGCACAUGGAUAUAAAAUAAUAUGUUUGAGACUUUUUUUUUUUUUUUUUUCCUUGAGAAACCUCGACGACUUUUUUUCGAGACUUAAAAAACGUUUUCAAGUUUAAAAAAUCGAAACUUAAAAAACCGUUUUUGAGUCAUGUUCCUGAAAAUUGAUUUUAAGAAUAAUAAAAGUUUUUUUUAGUAAGAUACCAAACGUGGCCUUUUGUAACUGGAUAAGUGCUCGAAUAACAUCUUCAAAAUACAAUUGAUCCAACAGAUAUAACAAGGAAGCUCAAAGGUUAUUCUGGCUAAAAACUAGGUCUGGCAAACGGGUCGUGUCUGUCGUGUUCGUGUCAUUUUCGUGUAACACCUGUUAUCUUAACGGGUCGUGUCGUGUCUCACCCGUUAUCUUAACCUGUUAUGACCCGUUAAGAAAAAUAUAUAUUUUUUCUUAAAUUUGCACAUACCACACAUUGCCACAUAAAUAUUACUUCAAAACAUUAAAACACAUUUGUCGUUUAAGUACUACAUCUACACUUGAAAAUAAGAGCCUAAUAAACAAACAUUCAUACACUACUAGUCUAUUACAAAAUGUUAAAUGUGCAAGGAUAUGCAAAAUGAAAGAGUUUUUGUUUUCAAGGUUGUGAAGCCUUUCUCAAAAGUUUAAACCUUGCCAAUGGAACUCAAAGCUUGCAUGUUAUUCCUUUUACAAAAUCCUCAAUUUUCAUUGAUCAUCAUGAUAUAAGAUUUUGUGGUAUCCACUUCUGUAAAUAUUUUAAAUUGACGAUCAAAUUAGGUCAUUGUAUUCAUAUAAGAUCAAGGAGUGUAGCUGUAAAAAAUCAUCAAAAUCGGAGUUAAAAUAACCGUUAAAUCGUGAUUUUUCGUUUAUAACCGUCGAAAAGUUUUGUCUCGUUACUUGAUAUAUGAAUGUUUUUUUUUUUCAAUUUUUGGCGUAUGCGAUCUCAAAGUAUAUACAAACAUGUUUGACGGUUUGAUCACUGAAACUAGUUUCUUAGAAUGUGUAUCACAUCAAAACAAUAGAUUCACUAACACUUAAAAGUUUAUUGGUACUUUCAUUAAGUAUAACAUAAUAUUUUGUGGUAUCCACUAGUGUAAAUAUUUUAAAUUGAAGAUUAAAUUCAUUCAUUGUAUUCAUAUAGGGUCAAGAAGUGUAGAUGUAAAAAAUCAUCAAAAUCGGAGUUAAAAUCACCGUUAAAUCGUGAUUUUUCAUUGAUAACCAUUGAAAAGUUUUGUCCUGUUACUUGAUCUCUGAAUGUUUGUUUUUUGCGAUUUUUGGUGUAUGCGAUCUUGAAGCAUAUACAAACAAAUUUGACGGUUUGAUCGUUGAAAUUAGUUUCGUAGAAUGCAUAUCUCAUCAAAACGAUAAAUUUACUAAUACUUAGAGUUUAUUCAUACUUUCAUUAAGUAUAACAUACUAGUGUAACUAUUUUAAAUUGAAAAUCAAAUUCAUUCAUUGUAUUCAUAUAAAAUCAAGGAGUGUAGCUGUAAAAAAUAUCAAAAUCGAAGUUAAAAUAACUGUUAAAUAGUGAUUUUUCGUUUAAAAUCGUCGAAAAGUUUUAUCCAUUACUUAAUCUCCGAAUGUUUGUAUUUUGUGAUUUUUGGUGUAUACGAUUUCGAAGCAUAUACAAACAAGUUUGACGGUUGGAUUGUUGAAAUUAGUUUCGUAGGAUGCGUAUCCCAUCAAAACGAUAGAUUCACUAACAUUUAGAGUUUAUUUAUAUUUUCAUUAAGUAUGACACAAGAUUUGUGGUAUCCACUAGUGUAAAUAUUUUAAAUUGAAGAUCAAAUUGAUUCAUUACAUUCAUAUAGGAUCAAGGAGUGUAGCUCUAAAAAAUAAUCAAAAUCGGAGUUAAAAUAACCGUUAAAUAGUGAUUUUUUGUUUUAUAAUCGUCGAAAAGUUUUAUCCAUUACUUGAUCUCUAAAUGUUUGUUUUUUGCAAUUUUUGGCGUAUGCGAUCUCGAACUAUAUACAAACAUGUUUGACGGUUGGAUCGUUGAAACUAGUUUCGUAUAAUGCAUAUCCUAUCAAAACAAUAGAUUCACUAACACUUAAAAGAGUUUAUUAAUAUUUUCUAGUGUAAAUAUUUUAAAUUGAAGAUUGAAUUCAUUCGUUGUAUUCAUAUAGGGUCAAGGAGUGUAGCUGUAAAAAAAUAAUCAAAAUCGGAGUUAAAAUAACCGUUAAAUCGUGAUUUUUCGUUUUAUAACCGUCGAAAAGUUUUGUCCCGUUACUUGAUAUCUAAAUGUUUGUUUUUUGCGAUUUUUUGCUGAUGCGAUCUCGAAGCAUAUACAAACAAGUUUGACGGUUGGAUUGUUGAAAUUAGUUUCGUAGAAUUUGUAUCCCAUCAAGUUCAAUGAUAUAUAUAUAUAUAUAUAUAUAUUAAGUAGAUUUAAAUUUAUUUAUUUUGUACGUAUAACACUUAAGAAAUUGAAUGGUAUGUAUAUUUAAGCCGAUCCAAUGGUCACCAAUUUUUAAAAUUUAAUUUAAUAUAUAUAUAAUUUUUAUAAUUUUUAGGGGUAUAAAAUUGUUAAAUUAAUAUAUAUAAUUAUUAUAGUAUUUUUUAGGGUUAUAUAAUUAUAAAAUUAAUAUUUUGCUUAUCUUGUAUCGUGUUACCCACGUGUAUAUCCGAACCAACCCGUUAUCUUAACACGUGCUUAUCGGGUUACCUGAUAACGACCCAAUUCGUUAUUGUAUCGACCCGAACACCUGUUAAUUUCGUGUCGUGUCGUGUCGUGUCGUGUCGGAUUAUUGGGUCGUGUCAGGAAUUGCCAGGCCUACUAAAAACCUUAUAGCAAACCCUAGAAUUCUCUAAGAAGAAAGAAAGUAAAUCUUUUGGCAGCAAAAUGAAUUUGCCGAGUCAACUAGGCUAUUGGAGCUGGUAUACUCGACGUUGUAAAUUUGUAACCGUCAUUUUUGGUUCUCACUUUCUCUCUCCAAUCCAUUUCAACAAAAGGAAUUUGCCUAGUCAACUAGGCUCUUAGAGCUCUUAUACUCGACGUUGUAACUGUCACUAUUGCUUCUCUAUCUCUCUCUCUCCAAUCUGGCAAUCUCUCCCAUUCCAUCUUUGAGAAAAAAGACUCUCUCUCAUCUCUCCCAUUUCCUCUCAUAGAAUAAGCUCUCAACGAUUGGAGAAUAAGCUCUCAAGGCUCAGAGAACGGCCCUCAAAUCCUUUGCGUCUUAGUUUACUGGAAUUUUUUUCGAUAUAUUUCGUCACUCUUCCGGUCUUUGUGUUCUUAUCUGCUCUAGAUCAUAUAUCUAUAUUAUAGUUUCUGAAAUUUGAUUUGUUCGAAUAGGUUUGCUAUUUCUUGGUGCGUUUGAUUGUGAAAUUUAAUUUGUUUAGUUCAAUUGUUCAACUACUAUUCUUGGUGCGUUUCAUUUUGAAAUUUCAUUUGUUCGAGUAGGUUAACUAUUUCUUGGUGCGUUUCAUUCUGAAAUUUCAUCUGUUUGACUAGGUUUGCUAUCUCUUGGUGCAUUUGAUUCUAAAUUUCAUUUGCUCAACUAGGUUUGCUAUUUCUUGGUGCUUUUGAUUCUGAAAUUUGAUUUGUUCAGUUCAAUUGUUCGACUAGGUUUGCUAUUUCUUGGUGCAUUUCAUUCUGAAAUUUCAUUUGUUUGACUAGGUUUGCUAUCUCUUGGUGUGUUUUAUUAUGAAUUUCAUUUGUUCGACUAGGUUUGCUAUUUCUUAAUGCGCUUGAUUGUGAAAUUUGAUUUGUUUAGUUUAAUUGUUCGACUAGAUUUGCUAUUUCUUGGUGAGUGCAAUGUCUCUACAAAUUCCCGUGAAGACAUAUCUCUACAGAGGCAAGAUUCACAGAAAAGUGUAUUGUUGAAACUACCUCUUCCACAACGCAAGGUGUAUCCAAAUAAUUUGUUUAAGGAGACGGAGGUUGGGGCUUACACUCGAGAAAAACGAGCAAACUAAAUCGUGAUUUUUUGUUUAUAACCGUCGAAAAGUUUUGUCUCGUUCAUUGAUCUCUGAAUGUUUGUUUUUUGCGAUUUUUGGUGUAUGCGAUCUCGAAGCAUAUACAAAUAAGUUUGACAGUUGGAUUGUUAAAAUUAGUUUUGUAGGAUGCGUAUCCCAUCAAAACGAUAGAUUCACUAACACUUAGAGUUUAUUUAUACUUUCAUCAAGUAUAACAUAAGAUUGUGUGGUAUCCAUUAGUGUAAAUAUUUUAAAUUGAAGAUCAAAUUCAUUCAUUGUAUUCAUAUAGGAUCGAGGAGUGUAGCUAUAAAAAAUAAUCAAAAUCGGAGUUAAAAUAACCGUUAAAUCGUGAUUUUUCGUUUUAUAAUCGUCGAAAAGUUUUAUCCCGUUACUUGAUCUCUGAAUGUUUGUUUUUUGCGAUUUUUUGCUGAUGCGAUCUCGAAGCAUAUACAAACAAGUUUGACGGUUGGAUUGUUGAAAUUAGUUUUGUAGAAUUCGUAUCCCAUCAAGUUCAAUGGUAUAUAUAUAUUUAUUAAGUAGAUUUAAUUUAUUUAUUAUGUACGUAUAACACUUAAGAAAUUGAAUGGUAUGUAUAUUUAAGCCGAUCAAAUGAUCACCAAUUUUUAAAAUUUAAUUUAAUAUAUAUAUAUAAUUUUUAUAAUUUUUAGGGGUAUAAAAUUGUUAAAUUAAUAUAUAUAUAUAAUUAUUAUAGUAUUUUUUAGGGUUAUAUAAUUAUAAAAUUAAUAUUUUGCUUAUUGUGUAUCGUAUUACCUACGUGUAUCCGAACCAACCCGUUAUCUUAACAGGUGCUUAUUGGGUUACCCGAUAAUGACCCAAUUCGUUAUUGUGUCGACCCGAACACCUGUUAAUUUCGUGUUGUGUCGUGUCGGGUUAUUGGGUCGUGUCAGGAAUUGCCAGGCCUACUAAAAACCUUCUAGCAAACCCUAGAAUUCUCUAAGAAGAAAAAGAGUAAAUCUUUUGGCAACAAAAUGAAUUUGCCUAAUCAAUUGGAGCUGGUAUACUCGACGUUGUACAUUUGUAACCAUCACUUUUGGUUCUCACGUUCUCUCUCCAAUCCAUUUCAACAAAAGAAAUUUGCCUAGUCAGCUAGGCUCUUGGAGCUCUUAUACUCGACGUUGUAACCGUCACUAUUGCUUUUCUCUCUCUCUCCAAUUUGGCAAUCUCUCCCAUUCCAUCUUUGAGAAAAAAGACUCUCUCAUCUCUCCCAUUUCCUCUCAUAGAAUAAGCUCUCAACGAUUGGAGAAUAAGCUCUCAUUAGUUUACUUGAAUUUUUUUCGAUAGAUUUCGUCUCUCUUCCGGUCUUUGUAUUCUUAUUUGAUCUGGAUCAUAUAUCUAUAUUAUAGUUUCUGAAAUUUGAUUUGUUCGAAUAGGUUUGCUAUUUCUUGGUGCGUUUGAUUAUGAAAUUUAAUUUGUUUAGUUCAAUUGUUCAACUACUAUUCUUGGUGCGUUUCAUUUUGAAAUUUCAUUUGUUCGAGUAGGUUAACUAUUUCUUGGUGCGUUUCAUUCUGAAAUUUCAUCUGUUUGACUAGGUUUGCUAUCUCUUGGUGCAUUUGAUUCUAAAUUUCAUUUGCUCAACUAGGUUUGCUAUUUCUUGGUGCUUUUGAUUCUGAAAUUUGAUUUGUUCAGUUCAAUUGUUCGACUAGGUUUGCUAUUUCUUGGUGCAUUUCAUUCUGAAAUUUCAUUUGUUUGACUAGGUUUGCUAUCUCUUGGUGUGUUUUAUUAUGAAUUUCAUUUGUUCGACUAGGUUUGCUAUUUCUUAAUGCGCUUGAUUGUGAAAUUUGAUUUGUUUAGUUUAAUUGUUCGACUAGAUUUGCUAUUUCUUGGUGAGUGCAAUGUCUCUACAAAUUCCCGUGAAGACAUAUCUCUACAGAGGCAAGAUUCACAGAAAAGUGUAUUGUUGAAACUACCUCUUCCACAACGCAAGGUGUAUCCAAAUAAUUUGUUUAAGGAGACGGAGGUUGGGGCUUACACUCGAGAAAAACGAGCAAACUAAAUCGUGAUUUUUUGUUUAUAACCGUCGAAAAGUUUUGUCUCGUUCAUUGAUCUCUGAAUGUUUGUUUUUUGCGAUUUUUGGUGUAUGCGAUCUCGAAGCAUAUACAAAUAAGUUUGACAGUUGGAUUGUUAAAAUUAGUUUUGUAGGAUGCGUAUCCCAUCAAAACGAUAGAUUCACUAACACUUAGAGUUUAUUUAUACUUUCAUCAAGUAUAACAUAAGAUUGUGUGGUAUCCAUUAGUGUAAAUAUUUUAAAUUGAAGAUCAAAUUCAUUCAUUGUAUUCAUAUAGGAUCGAGGAGUGUAGCUAUAAAAAAUAAUCAAAAUCGGAGUUAAAAUAACCGUUAAAUCGUGAUUUUUCGUUUUAUAAUCGUCGAAAAGUUUUAUCCCGUUACUUGAUCUCUGAAUGUUUGUUUUUUGCGAUUUUUUGCUGAUGCGAUCUCGAAGCAUAUACAAACAAGUUUGACGGUUGGAUUGUUGAAAUUAGUUUUGUAGAAUUCGUAUCCCAUCAAGUUCAAUGGUAUAUAUAUAUUUAUUAAGUAGAUUUAAAUUUAUUUAUUAUGUACGUAUAACACUUAAGAAAUUGAAUGGUAUGUAUAUUUAAGCCGAUCAAAUGAUCACCAAUUUUUAAAAUUUAAUUUAAUAUAUAUAUAUAAUUUUUAUAAUUUUUAGGGGUAUAAAAUUGUUAAAUUAAUAUAUAUAUAUAAUUAUUAUAGUAUUUUUUUAGGGUUAUAUAAUUAUAAAAUUAAUAUUUUGCUUAUUGUGUAUCGUAUUACCUACGUGUAUCCGAACCAACCCGUUAUCUUAACAGGUGCUUAUUGGGUUACCCGAUAAUGACCCAAUUCGUUAUUGUGUCGACCCGAACACCUGUUAAUUUCGUGUUGUGUCGUGUCGGGUUAUUGGGUCGUGUCAGGAAUUGCCAGGCCUACUAAAAACCUUCUAGCAAACCCUAGAAUUCUCUAAGAAGAAAAAGAGUAAAUCUUUUGGCAACAAAAUGAAUUUGCCUAAUCAAUUGGAGCUGGUAUACUCGACGUUGUACAUUUGUAACCAUCACUUUUGGUUCUCACGUUCUCUCUCCAAUCCAUUUCAACAAAAGAAAUUUGCCUAGUCAGCUAGGCUCUUGGAGCUCUUAUACUCGACGUUGUAACCGUCACUAUUGCUUUUCUCUCUCUCUCCAAUUUGGCAAUCUCUCCCAUUCCAUCUUUGAGAAAAAAGACUCUCUCAUCUCUCCCAUUUCCUCUCAUAGAAUAAGCUCUCAACGAUUGGAGAAUAAGCUCUCAUUAGUUUACUUGAAUUUUUUUCGAUAGAUUUCGUCUCUCUUCCGGUCUUUGUAUUCUUAUUUGAUCUGGAUCAUAUAUCUAUAUUAUAGUUUCUGAAAUUUGAUUUGUUCGAAUAGGUUUGCUAUUUCUUGGUGCGUUUGAUUAUGAAAUUUAAUUUGUUUAGUUCAAUUGUUCAACUACUAUUCUUGGUGCGUUUCAUUUUGAAAUUUCAUUUGUUCGAGUAGGUUAACUAUUUCUUGGUGCGUUUCAUUCUGAAAUUUCAUCUGUUUAACUAGGUUUGCUAUCUCUUGGUGCAUUUGAUUCUAAAUUUCAUUUGCUUGACUAGGUUUGCUAUUUCUUGGUGCUUUUGAUUCUGAAAUUUGAUUUGUUCAAUUCAAUUGUUCAACUAGGUUUGCUAUUUCUUGGUGCAUUUCAUUCUGAAAUUUCAUUUGUCUGACGAGGUUUGCUAUCUCUUGGUGUGUUUUAUUAUGAAUUUCAUUUGUUCGACUAGGUUUGCUAUUUCUUAAUGCGCUUGAUUGUGAAAUUUGAUUUGUUUAGUUUAAUUGUUCGACUAGAUUUGCUAUUUCUUGGUGAGUGCAAUGUCUCUACAAAUUCCCGUGAAGACAUAUCUCUACAGAGGCAAGAUUCACAGAAAAGUGUAUUGUUGAAACUACCUCUUCCACAACGCAAGGUGUAUCCAAAUAAUUUGUUUAAGGAGACGGAGGUUGGGGCUUACACUCGAGAAAAACGAGCAAACUAAAGCUUGAGGAGUUGGAGGACUCAGAGGAGUCCAAGGAUUCAGAGGAGUCGGAGCUUAGGCGAUCAUUCUGCUGUGAGGAGCUAACUUUCAGAAUGAUCGCCUAACCUCCGAAUCUUUCGAGUCCUCCGAGUCCUCUAAGUCCUCGGGCUCCUCAAGCUUUAGUUUCGCAAGCCCCAACCUCCGUCUCCUGAAAAAAAUUAAUUCUUUGGAUACACCCAUUAUUAUUAGCCCAUUGUGAGACUCUUAACGAAUCGGAGAAAAAUCUCUCAACGAUCGGAGAAUCGCCCUCUGAUCCUCUAAUCCUCUGCGUCUUAGUUUACUUGAAGCGCUUUCGGUUGAUUCCAUCUCUCUUUUCGAUCUUUGGGUUCUUAUACGAUCCAAGCGGAUAAGAACCCAAAGAUCGAAAUAGAGACAUAAUGUACCAAAAAACGCUUCAAGUAAACUAAGAUGCAGAGGAUCAGAGAGCGAUUCUCUUAGCAUUGAGAGUUUUUUCUCCGAUCGUUGAAAGUCAAAGAUAUUAUUGUUUCUAAGGGGGUGGAGGAGUACACUGUGUCUCACAAUGGGAUAACAACAAUAGAUGUAUACAUAGAAUUUUUUUCAAGAGACGGAGGUUGGGGCUUACCUUAUGAAGCAUAGCAAACUGAAGCUUGAGGAACCGGAGGACUCAGAGGAUUCAGAGUUAGACGAUCAUUCUGAAAGUUACCUCCCCAGAGCACAAUGAUCACCUAAGAUCCGACUCCUUCGAGUCCUUUGACACCUCUGAGUCCUCCAGUUCCUCAAGCUUUAGUUUGCUCUUCUUCUCGAGGGUAAGCCCCAACCUCCGUCUCCUUAAAUAAAUUAUUUGGAUACACCUUGUGUUGUGAAUGAGGUAGUUUCAACAAUACACUCCUCUAUGAAUCUUGCCUCUGUAAAGAGAUGUCUUCACGAGAAGUUUGCAGAGACAUUACACUCACCAAGAAAUAGCAAAUCUAGUGGAACAAUUGAUCGCCUAAAUUCUGACUCCUCCGAGUCCUUGGACUCCUCUAAGUCCUCCAACUCCUUAAGCUUUAGUUUCCAUUGGGCGAUGUGACAGAGAAGAUGAGUGAGAAGAAAGAGGCAGAGUUACAGAGAAAGGGAAAGAAGAGAGAAAAGAAUAUGCGGCAGGGAAGGGAAAAAAAAAGGGAAAUAAAGGAGAGAGAGGAAGAUUGGAGAAGAAAAAGAGAGAGAAAUGGGAGAGAAUGAUACAAGAAAAGAAGAGGGAGAGAAAGAAGAUGAGGCUGGGGAGAAAAAAAGGAGGAUAAAACAAAUACAAUAUAGAGGACAUGCUAGGGUUUCUAGGUAAUAAGACUUUUUAACAUAUUUGGACUUAAAGUUUGACUUUCAACAUAUUUGAGCCUAAAUUGGGUUAAUGAUUGGUUUGAAGUUUGGAUUAGAUAAUAAAUAACAAACAUAAAUAAAUAAAAUUAAUAUAUAUUUCAUUUAAUUCGGUUUGGUUUUUUAAUCAACAAAAUCAAAACCGAACCAAUAAUUUUUAUACGGUUUUUUUCAAACUUUGAUUCGUUAGUCAAUUCAAUUUUUUUCGGUUUUCAAUUUUUCAAUCUCACCCCUUAACAGCGAACGAGGACGAUGCUAUCAAGUAUGAGGCGAUUGUGGAGAUUUGGAAGGAGGAUUGAAAGUUGCAGUUGUUGGACUAGUCUUCAUUUUGAUUCACUAGCGCCAAAGAACACGCCAUCUCAUUGUCGUGGCCCCAUUGGAGUUGGUGUUUGCUGCAGUGCUUUGCAGUUAUUGGUACUUUGCAUACACCACUGAGUCAUUUCUCUCACACAACACAAAUAGAAACAAAAGAAAAAGAAACAGAGCUUUCUGCUCUGUUUGUUUGAAAAUUAGCUUGAUAUAUCAUAGAUACAAAAACUCAGUAAAGCAUUGAUAUUUUAGUAAUGGAAUUAAGUGAAAUGAGGGUCAUAAACCAAAUACACUAGAGCAGCUUCCGUAAUACAGUACACUGUUAAUACAACGUUCGUGCUAUUCAUCCAUUAUUUUGUAGAGAUAAAUUUACACAUGACAUUAUGUUAUUUAAACAUUACAAUUGCGGUGUACUAAUGUUAUACAAGUCUUUAUUCAUAGUAGGAUCGAAAACUUAUGAUUAGAAUGUUGACCCGGGUUUUCCACUUUCCACUUAUGAACAAUUUUCUCUACAACCUUGUAGCAUUUCUCGGAAAAUAACUCUUACCUUACAAGAUGAUGAAAGAAGCAUAAUAUUAGUGUUCACCCUAUCCCUACGGAUACACCUCUUUGUCCAUUAAAUUGUGAUUAAUGUAUUUUCGUCAUACAACAUUCUUAGCCGCCUCAUCGGAGAAGGAAAUGUAGAAUGGCCAAACAUGUUUUAACAAAAACGGUUUAGUUUAAUACAUCAUGAUGUGACCGAAAAAUUCAGAAAAUAAGUCACUGUAGUAAUCAAAAUAAAUUAGCUAGGAGACUAUGGCAGCCUGUUUUUCUUCUCUUUUUCUUUUUCUGGACAGCGGCGGCAGUCCAACUCUAGGCAAUGGCGUUGGCCAACAUGGAAUCACAUAUGUCCAGACGUCUCUCCAAGGCCAAAAAUCAAAAGUGUUACGACCAUACCUUUGACCUCUAGGUUUCUCUAAAGUUCUUGCUUGAAUGUUGCAUUUGAUUAUGUGUCCACCCAUCUCCCAAGUAUAAAAUAUCCCCAUCAUUCGGGUCCACUGCUAGCACCCGAAAUCUUGUAGCGCAAUCUUAUACAAUCGUUGAGGAAAUCAUGCUUCCCCACAUCCAAUUCGUCCAAGGAAGCCUUGUGUAUCAAACACCAUUUGACUCUUCCUCCUCCGGCUGCCUCAUCUUCUUUCAACUCCGAGACACAUACAAUGAGAGGGCGACCAUCAUUAUAGGGAUUAGAAAGUGUUUCUGGUGGCAUCCACGUCUGUAAUUGGCACAUCCGCAGGCGCCCUCGGCAAAUCCCUAGACACGCAACCGUUUUUGUAUAGUCCAAAGGCUCAUCAAACUCAAUGAACCGACACCCAUAGUUACCGUUGUGCGGUGCAAAACGGAUCAAACCCGAUAACGCCACCAUAACUCGGCCAAUACAACUUUCCAUUGUAAGCAAUGCCUGGACGGUUGAAGGUGAAAUCAAAACUAAUACCUUGUUGUGGACAUGAUACAACUGAUUCUCUCCAUUCACCAGUUUCUGAAGAGAAGAUGUCCACCUUAAAUUGAGAUAAAUAGUUUCCAAGUUGAAUAAUUCGCACAACCCUGCACCGAUACUCAUCAUUGGUGGUUAUACUAGUACCAGUACUGCCACCAUUAUCUUGUUCUUGGCUGGCAUAGUAGGGAUCGCAGAUGAAUCCCACUUGUGCGAUCUUGUGGUGUGGGGGGGCGGGAGGAAGGGCAACACAUUGCCGGGCGUUUUGGAUUGCAUAUGUAGUAUUUAUGUGGAUCAUCCUUGGUCAGGCAGCACAAAACUAAGUCAUUAUACAUGGCCACCACUAGCUUUUCUUUUGUGCCUUUAAACCGCGGGAUGAGGUGAAGAGCUGCAAUGCUUGUUUUUCCAAAGCAGAGCAUCGAAGAUGAUAUGACGAAAGGUGAAUCCGGCGGGGAAGGUUUGGCGGUAGUGUUCGAGAACAAGAGAGUACGCAGCAGCGUAAUGGGUUGUUUCCUAUCAAUUUGCAUGCAUAAAAUGCGGGCAGCAAAAUAAGAAUUAGAGAUGAGAGCCAACCACCGCUUGCACACACGCUUAUUUCGACGAGCGUAUUUGUAAGGAAGUCGGCAAAGGAUUUCAACCAAUACGCCAUCAGGCAGAUCAUUGAUGAGGAGGAGUUUUGAUGCCAACUGCUCAUCAGAAGCAGAAGGCAGGGGCUGGGAUCCCAUGGCCGCAGGAAUCGGACAACCAACUGCAAUUAAAAAUUCUAAAAUUCUAAUAUGCAAUCCAACACUGAAUAUCUCCUACUUAUAUACACAGCGAAUCCGAAACCUAAUCGAAAAAGGAAAUCAUUUUCGGGUAGGAAAAAAAAUCCGAUAAAAUUCAAAAUUAGAAUAGGAAACUAACUCACCUGCUUGGUGUCUUCGCCGCUGUGAAGAAAAUGGGUCGAGAGAGAGGAUGUCGGCGAUGAUGGGUGUGACCGGAAGAUGGGGCUCCGGCUGCAACAUCGAUCGGGUUUAUGCCAUCCACCGUUCAUACUUUUUUUUUUUUUUUUGGUGAACAAAACAAUUCCACCGUUCAUACUUUGUCACCAAAGCCAUAUUGCUUUUGGAUGAGAUCGACCACGAUGAUUGAAGAAAGGCAAGGGUCUCGGAGAGAGGGAGUUCCAGAGAGACAGGAUGAAGCGAGGGGCACAGAGAGAGAGAGAGAGUCAGGCAGAGGAGGGCGUCAAAGGGGUAAAAAUUUUGGGAGGAGGGAAGAUUAAAAAUUUUCUGGCCGCACGAUCUCAACCAACGGUGAAGAUGAAGCGUCCGGAGAGAGAUCCGGAGAGGAUCUGGAUCCUUUGGAUGGUAUUCCUAUGGCUACAUUUAAACUAUUUUUUAGCCAAAAUUGUCUUUGAAAUUUGCAUAACACAUUAAUUUGAUCCUAAGAUUGAAAAUUCAAUAGAAAUUGUCCAUGUGAUUGCUCCAUCCAUUAUUAUUUUGGUCAUUUCGUUAAAAACUCUGUUAAGUAUUCCGGAGCUCUUGGCAGAAAGUUUAGGCAAUUUUCAAAGUUUCGUAACUUAAUUGUUUCUUAACCAAAUUCGACCCAUAAUAUAUCAAAAUGAAGAUAGGAAAGUGUAGAACAAGAUUAUACCUAUUUUGAAGCGCAAUGGUUGAUGGAGAUGGCCGGAAAAUGGCCUAAAAGGUGACUGGUCCGCAGGAAAAACUGGAAAACUAGGUAAACUUUAAACGUUUAUAACACUUAUUCAAUACUCAACAAAUCGAGUGAUUCAGAAAUUAAAAUCAUACUUCUUAACGAGACAAAGAGAAUGGUACCUUUCUCGACGGCUAACUCGCCGUAUUUGGUCGGAAAACGGCUCGAAAUUGGCUUUCUUAGUCUCGAGUUAGCCACUUUUUAAUCAUUUUCCGAUCAAAACACGGUGAAUUAGUCAUCAAGAAAGGUAUCAUUCUCUUCGUAUCAUUAAGAAGUAUGAUUUUCAUUUUUUGAAUCAUUCGAUUUCGUUAAGUAUUGAAGAAGUUAUGAACGUCUAAAGUUUACCCAGUUUCUGGCGAGUUUUCCAAUUUUCCCUCAAACCAGUCACCUUUCAGACUAUUUUGUGGUCAUCUCUGUCAACCAUUAGGCUUUCCAAAUAGGUAUAAUCUUGUUCUGCACUUUCCUAUCUUCAUUUUGAUAUAUUAUGGGUCGAAUUUGGUUAAGAAACGAUUGAGUUACAAAGCUUUGAAAAUUACCCAAACUUCCGGCCAAGAGUUUCGAGAUACUUAACGGAGUUUUUUAACGGAAUGACCAAAAUAAUGGAUGGUGGACAAUCUCAGAUACCAUUUCUAUUGAUUUUCAAUCUCAGGGACUAAAGUGAUAUGUUAUGUAAAUUUUAGGCACCAUUUUGGCUACAAAAAUCAACUACAUAUUAAUAGAACAUUUUUUUAUCAAUCAGAAGAGGGUGAAAAUACAAUUUAGGUCUUCUAUCUCAACAAAAAAAGUUAAGGACAAUAACUUAACUUUACAAAAUAAAAUUUUGCAGUUUUUUCUUUAAGCCUCAUUUACAGAUGAUUUUAACAACACAAAAAUAAAAUAUUUAUAAAAUAUGUUGCAGUCCUAUUUAGAAUAGGAAUAUGAUUGUGUAAAUCCUAGUAGAUAUAUGAAUGUAUCUUAUAUUCCUAUUAGGAGUUGAUUACCUAUUAAAUGUUGUAACCUAAAUAGAAAGGUUUUUACCUAUCCUGCUACUAUAAAUAAAGGCACAAUGGGGUGAAUCAAACACACCUCACAAUUAUACAUCUAUCUCUUCUUCUUUCUAUGCCGCACCCUCUCACUCUAUAUGGUCUACAUAAUUGUUUAGUAAAUUAUGCCUACAACACGUUAUCAUCACGUUCUUGACACUGCGAUAAAGAUAAUUUAUUAUUCACUAAGGGGAGUAUUACGUUUUAAUCAUUAUUUUUUAUGAUUAAUUUAUUAUUUUAUUGAUAUACAUGCUAUUGAUUCAAUUUAAUUUUUUGUGUUGAACAUGAUACAAACGCAUUAGAGAUGCAAUUCCGGCUCUCCGAGAAUGAUCUUCUACAAAAUUCAAAGAUUUUUGUUGUUUUCUGCCAAUCAGGUACGCUUAAAAUAAAGUAAGAUAUUUGAAACGACCAUGAAUCAUGAAAAUAUUCACCAUGAUGCAUGAACCCCCUAUAUUUAUAAUUUUCAUUCGGCUAUAUAUAUUGUAUAUGUUUCAUAUAUUGGGGUUUGGAUGCGAGUUGUGGAACGGGACGGCCCAUCUUCUAAUAAUAGUAAAAAAGGCCACAAACGGCAAGCUUUGAUUUUGUCGUUCAUACUUCAUAGAAAUCCAAACUUCUGGAACUAGUCUUCUUCCUUCGGUAGAACAGAGCACGGCUAGCCCUGCCCAACCCAAGUUUACAGGUAUGCUAUAUAUUGGAAUAAUUUCAAAUUUAUGACCGUGUUUAAUUUGGUCUGAAAAUUCAAAUGAAUUGAUGUUUGAAAAUUCAUGGUCAUUGAUAGGAUUUUUACUACUUAUGUGAAUGCAAUAAAAACCUCCUAUUUUACUUGCAAUAAUCACAAGGUUAUUGUAGUAUAAACGGAUCUCGCAAGGUCAUUCUCCACAUGGAUUAUUAAGUAAUUCGAAACAAAUCAGAUUCCAAUUAAUGAUUGUAAAGUAGAAAUUUAGAUGAUUGAUUUUAUAACCUACUUAAAUUAAAAACGAAUUUAACUAUUAAUGAUAAGACAAUCUGCAAUAUUAAAGCUAGAGAGAAAAGAAAACAGUUUUGAGAGAAAUCAAAUUAAGAAAGCACUAGGGUUCCACCAUCACCUAGCAAUCCUAUGAAUUUUUACCAAUUACUUAUGAUCUACACAUGCCACUUUGAAGGUUAGAUUUUCCUAAUUCAUAUUCUACUUGGAACCUCCAACAUAGAACGUAUAUCUAACAUGCAACCCGUCCGGACGUUCGGAUCAAAUCUAAACAUGAAAGACUCAUUAUGCUUUAUGAAAAUCCUUUGAAAAACCAUGCAAUCUUUAAGACGUGAUAUUCAUCCUAAGAUAAAUUACAAUUAUUAAUCACAAGAAGCCAUCGUCAAUUUCAGGGAACCUUCCGACCAAAAUUGCAUCAAAUUACUUUUCUAAAGAUCCUAAUGGUGAUCAGGCAUUAAGACAAUUAGAUAGUUUUUAUCCCGGUGAUUAACAAUUCAAAAUAUGCAUGCAAUCAAUCAUAAGCAAUUAAAUAAAAAUCACAUAUUCAUGCUAAGGCUCAAGGCUUCGCCCUAGCAAUAGAAAUUAGUUCCGCAUAUUCAUAAUUGAAAUCGUAGAAAAUAUAUUCAAGAAAAGGAUUGAAAGCACCUUCAAGCAAAAAGUCUUCAAAACCCUAACAAUUCUCUCUGUCUCCCAAAAUUGCAUAAAGGAAAGCGUGAUCUAAAACUGUAGACGGCUAAGCAAUAUAUUUGCUAAGCCACCACCAAAACCCUAGAAAACAUAACCCUAAAUUAAUUGAUAAAAAUUCGUCUAAAAUCUGAACAGCCACGUUUUGGCCCAUAAGCUGCUCCAAAACUGGCCCAAUAAAGCUGGAUUUAAUGUUUGGAAUAUUCUGAACACUUUUCCAGAAGGCCUCGAACCCAUCCGAUGUCAUCUUGGGCUCCAAAAACGCAAUUUAAGCCCAAAAACGUCAUUUUCCAGCACUGCGCAUUGCUUCUUUAUUUCAUCGCCAGAAAAUCACCGCUUGGUGGAAAAAUCCCAAAUUUUGAUACGAUCAAGCUAAGUGACUCACGAACGUCCUCCAACUGGAAUUACUCCAAAAUUCGUCCAUUUGGUCCUGUUUUGCUCCAGAGGAAGUCGAAAGUCCUAUAUUAAAAAUACAAUUCGAAGUAUCAAAAUUCUUCCAAAAUAUUAACCAAAAUAUACUAAGAUUAGGGUAAAAUAUAUAAUAUAAAAUCUACUCAUCAGUCAUCGUUUUCACUCCUCAGCAGUCAGCUUCUCCACCGAGCGCCGGAUUUGGGAAAGCAGUUCCGAUGAGCAGCAAGCAGAGACGGCCGCCGGACCCAGUGGCGGUUCCGAGGUGCCACCGCGGCUCCGUCAUGGACCUCUCUUUCAUCCUUCCCAACCACUCCUGUUCACCGGGUACGAUUCAGUACACUUAUGCAACCUACCCUUUUGUUAUCAUUUCUCAAAAAUUAAAAAAUUGGUGCUUUUUUUUUGUUUUUUUUUUUUUGUUCUAGUUCAUCAGAUGGCGAGCUGAGGAUCUGGGAUACUUACCAGCAUCGGACUGUAUCAUCAGCUGGGUAAUUUAAAUACCAAUUUUCCAUUUUAUUUUUAUGAUUAUGAAGUUCAUACCUUUUUUUUGUUUUUGGAAUGAAAAGUAAAAAUUUAUUUGCAACUUUUCAGGGUGCAUAAUGCAGCACAUGGUAUUGCUUCUGUUGCUUGUACUGCCAACAGAGUUAUCAGGUGAUUUUCUUUUCAUUUUUUCUACUUUUAUUUGUUUAUUGGCUACACAAACGCGCACACACACACAUCCUGUAUUAGUAGUAGAAUUGAAAUUUGAAAAUGUUGGUGUAGCCAGGGCAGGGAUGGGACGGUUAAAUGUUGGGGAUAUUGAAGGUGGAGGUCUGCUCAGGUUCUUAGCUAAUUCCCAUAAUUGUAGCCUAUAGUUAUUCGGUUUCCAUUGUACACUGCUUCAUUUGUUAUUUUUGAUCAUGGCAUGCGCCUCAUUAUUUUUGAACCUUGAUAUCGCCUUGGUAGGACUCCGUCUGUUACAAUCAAGACAAACUCUUACCACUUUUUGUAAACUUUCCUAGGUGAAGAUGCCUCAAUCUUGUUCUACACUAGUGGACGGGGUUAAGUGUCAUGAUGGAGAGGACAGAAGGGUUAGGGGGACCACUGAUGAAGAUACUCUAGAUGACAGUAGAGACAACGUUGAAGGGAGUCUGCCUGAGCAUCCCAGCGCCUUUGAAGGUUUAUUUAAAUUUGAAACUGAUAUUCCGGUCAGGAGUGUUUUCUGUGCACUUUAGCUACGUUCUCGCAGGAGAUGAAGGCUUAGACUUUAGAUAUAUCUAUUAGUACUGUAUUUUCAAUUUGUUUUCUUUUUUAUUGCUCUGUGAUGGUUCAGAAACAAGAAUGUUGAUAGACAGUUUUUGAAAACAGAAAAUACUGAAGAUGAAUUUAUCUAAAUAUGUUGCUGUAGCAGGGGAGCAGACUUCUGAGGUUUGUAUCUAACCUUGAGUAUGUCUAGUUUGAUUUUCAUUUUUGAAGCCCCGAUUACUCACUACCUUCAUGUGGUUUGCAAAGGUUGAGAUUUGGGAUCUUAAUACUGCAGAAAGGUUUGCACGGCUUCCUCAAAGCUGCUUUGGUGGUUCCCCGGGUAUUUCUUCCAAGGAGAGAGGUCCCAUUCUAAUUCAUUCAACAUUUUGCUUACUAGUUUCCGGGUUUGAUUGUGUUUCAGUUUAUACCAGAUCGAAAUAGCUAUCAAACCAGACAAGAUAUUACUAGAAAGUUAUAAACACGCAUAAAUGUUGCAGCCAAGAAUCAAAUAUGAGCCAAAAAGCAAAUGAAAAUCAUCUCAAGCUCCAAUGUGUCAAAAAUACUGAUGUCGGUAAAUUUCAUAUGACGAAGAAAAACGCACCGCUCCUACAUGAUGCCUAACUUGUGAAGAAGAUCCUGCUGUUUCCUUUAGCCCCUUCCAGGAUUGGUCAUCCACUCCUAAAAAUCCGAAAUUCCAACCAAGGAAUCAUGAAGCUGGACGUGGACUCGCAGUAAUGUUGAGGAAUGUAAGAAUCCACGUCAACAUUACUGCGAGUCCACGUCCAGCUUCAUGAUUCCUUACAUUCCUCAACAUUACUGCGAGUCCACGUCCAGCUUCAUGAUUCCUUGGUUGGAAUUUCGGAUUUUUAGGAGUGGAUGACCAAUCCUGGAAGGGGCUACAUGAUGCCUAACUUGUGAAGCUGGACGUGGACUCGCAGUAAUGUUGAGGAAUGUAAGAAUCCACGUCAACAUUACUGCGAGUCCACGUCCAGCUUCAUGAUUCCUUACAUUCCUCAACAUUACUGCGAGUCCACGUCCAGCUUCAUGAUUCCUUGGUUGGAAUUUCGGAUUUUUAGGAGUGGAUGACCAAUCCUGGAAGGGGCUAAAGGAAACAGCAGGAUCUUCUUCACAAGUUAGGCAUCAUGUAGGAGCGGUGCGUUUUUCUUCGUCAUAUGAAAUUUACCGACAUCAGUAUUUUUGACACAUUGGAGCUUGAGAUGAUUUUCAUUUGCUUUUUGGCUCAUAUUUGAUUCUUGGCUGCAACAUUUAUGCGUGUUUAUAACUUUCUAGUAAUAUCUUGUCUGGUUUGAUAGCUAUUUCGAUCUGGUAUAAACUGAAACACAAUCAAACCCGGAAACUAGUAAGCAAAAUGUUGAAUGAAUUAGAAUGGGACCUCUCUCCUUGGAAGAAAUACCCGGGGAACCACCAAAGCAGCUUUGAGGAAGCCGUGCAAACCUUUCUGCAGUAUUAAGAUCCCAAAUCUCAACCUUUGCAAACCACAUGAAGGUAGUGAGUAAUCGGGGCUUCAAAAAUGAAAAUCAAACUAGACAUACUCAAGGUUAGAUACAAACCUCAGAAGUCUGCUCCCCUGCUACAGCAACAUAUUUAGAUAAAUUCAUCUUCAGUAUUUUCUGUUUUCAAAAACUGUCUAUCAACAUUCUUGUUUCUGAACCAUCACAGAGCAAUAAAAAAGAAAACAAAUUGAAAAUACAGUACUAAUAGAUAUAUCUAAAGUCUAAGCCUUCAUCUCCUGCGAGAACGUAGCUAAAGUGCACAGAAAACACUCCUGACCGGAAUAUCAGUUUCAAAUUUAAAUAAACCUUCAAAGGCGCUGGGAUGCUCAGGCAGACUCCCUUCAACGUUGUCUCUACUGUCAUCUAGAGUAUCUUCAUCAGUGGUCCCCCUAACCCUUCUGUCCUCUCCAUCAUGACACUUAACCCCGUCCACUAGUGUAGAACAAGAUUGAGGCAUCUUCACCUAGGAAAGUUUACAAAAAGUGGUAAGAGUUUGUCUUGAUUGUAACAGACGGAGUCCUACCAAGGCGAUAUCAAGGUUCAAAAAUAAUGAGGCGCAUGCCAUGAUCAAAAAUAACAAAUGAAGCAGUGUACAAUGGAAACCGAAUAACUAUAGGCUACAAUUAUGGGAAUUAGCUAAGAACCUGAGCAGACCUCCACCUUCAAUAUCCCCAACAUUUAACCGUCCCAUCCCUGCCCUGGCUACACCAACAUUUUCAAAUUUCAAUUCUACUACUAAUACAGGAUGUGUGUGUGUGUGCGUUUGUGUAGCCAAUAAACAAAUAAAAGUAGAAAAAAUGAAAAGAAAAUCACCUGAUAACUCUGUUGGCAGUACAAGCAACAGAAGCAAUACCAUGUGCUGCAUUAUGCACCCUGAAAGUUGCAAAUAAAUUUUACUUUUCAUUCCAAAAACAAAAAAAAGGUAUGAACUUCAUAAUCAUAAAAAUAAAAUGGAAAAUUGGUAUUUAAAUUACCCAGCUGAUGAUACAGUCCGAUGCUGGUAAGUAUCCCAGAUCCUCAGCUCGCCAUCUGAUGAACUAGAACAAAAAAAAAAAAACAAAAAAAAAGCACCAAUUUUUUAAUUUUUGAGAAAUGAUAACAAAAGGGUAGGUUGCAUAAGUGUACUGAAUCGUACCCGGUGAACAGGAGUGGUUGGGAAGGAUGAAAAGAGAGGUCCAUGACGGAGCCGCGGUGGCACCUCGGAACCGCCACUGGGUCCGGCGGCCGUCUCUGCUUGCUGCUCAUCGGAACUGCUUUCCCAAAUCCGGCGCUCGGUGGAGAAGCUGACUGCUGAGGAGUGAAAACGAUGACUGAUGAGUAGAUUUUAUAUUAUAUAUUUUACCCUAAUCUUAGUAUAUUUUGGUUAAUAUUUUGGAAGAAUUUUGAUACUUCGAAUUGUAUUUUUAAUAUAGGACUUUCGACUUCCUCUGGAGCAAACAGGACCAAAUGGACGAAUUUUGGAGUAAUUCCAGUUGGAGGACGUUCGUGAGUCACUUAGCUUGAUCGUAUCAAAAUUUGGGAUUUUUCCACCAAGCGGUGAUUUUCUGGCGAUGAAAUAAAGAAGCAAUGCGCAGUGCUGGAAAGUGACGUUUUUGGGCUUAAAUUGCGUUUUUGGAGCCCAAGAUGACAUCGGAUGGGUUCGAGGCCUUCUGGAAAAGUGUUCAGAAUAUUCCAAACAUUAAAUCCAGCUUUAUUGGGCCAGUUUUGGAGCAGCUUAUGGGCCAAAACGUGGCUGUUCAGAUUUUAGACGAAUUUUUAUCAUUUAAUUUAGGGUUAUGUUUUCUAGGGUUUUGGUGGUGGCUUAGCAAAUAUAUUGCUUAGCCGUCUACAGUUUUAGAUCACGCUUUCCUUUAUGCAAUUUUGGGAGACAGAGAGAAUUGUUAGGGUUUUGAAGACUUUUUGCUUGAAGGUGCUUUCAAUCCUUUUCUUGAAUAUAUUUUCUACGAUUUCAAUUAUGAAUAUGCGGAACUAAUUUCUAUUGCUAGGGCGAAGCCUUGAGCCUUAGCAUGAAUAUGUGAUUUUUAUUUAAUUGCUUAUGAUUGAUUGCAUGCAUAUUUUGAAUUGUUAAUCACCGGGAUAAAAACUAUCUAAUUGUCUUAAUGCCUGAUCACCAUUAGGAUCUUUAGAAAAGUAAUUUGAUGCAAUUUUGGUCGGAAGGUUCCCUGAAAUUGACGCUGGCUUCUUGUGAUUAAUAAUUGUAAUUUAUCUUAGGAUGAAUAUCACGUCUUAAAGAUUGCAUGGUUUUUCAAAGGAUUUUCAUAAAGCAUAAUGAGUCUUUCAUGUUUAGAUUUGAUCCGAACGUCCGGACGGGUUGCAUGUUAGAUAUACGUUCUAUGUUGGAGGUUCCAAGUAGAAUAUGAAUUAGGAAAAUCUAACCUUCAAAGUGGCAUGUGUAGAUCAUAAGUAAUUGGUAAAAAUUCAUAGGAUUGCUAGGUGAUGGUGGAACCCUAGUGCUUUCUUAAUUUGAUUUCUCUCAAAACUGUUUUCUUUUCUCUCUAGCUUUAAUAUUGCAGAUUGUCUUAUCAUUAAUAGUUAAAUUCGUUUUUAAUUUAAGUAGGUUAUAAAAUCAAUCAUCUAAAUUUCUACUUUACAAUCAUUAAUUGGAAUCUGAUUUGUUUCGAAUUACUUAAUAAUCCAUGUGGAGAAUGAUCUUGCGAGAUCCGUUUAUACUACAAUAACCUUGUGAUUCUUGCAAGUAAAAUAGGAGGUUUUUAUUGCAUUCACAUAAGUAGUAAAAAUCCUAUCAAUGACCAUGAAUUUUCAAACAUCAAUUCAUUUGAAUUUUCAGACCAAAUUAAACACGGUCAUAAAUUUGAAAUUAUUCCAAUAUAUAAGCAUACCUGUAAACUUGGGUUGGGCAGGGCUAGCCGUGCUCUGUUCUACCGAAGGAAGAAGACUAGUUCCAGAAGUUGGAUUUCUAUGAAGUAUGAACGACAAAUCAAAGCUUGCCGUUUGUGGCCUUUUUUACUAUUAUUAGAAGAUGGGCCGUCCCGUUCCACAACUCGCAUCCAAACCCCAAUAUAUGAAACAUAUACAAUAUAUAUAGCCGAAUGAAAAUUAUAAAUAUAGGGGGUUCAUGCAUCAUGGUGAAUAUUUUCAUGAUUCAUGGUCGUUUCAAAUAUCUUACUUUAUUUUAAGCGUACCUGAUUGGCAGAAAACAACAAAAAUCUUUGAAUUUUGUAGAAGAUCAUUCUCGGAGAGCCGGAAUUGCAUCUCUAAUGCGUUGUAUCAUGUUCAACACAAAAAAUUAAAUUGAAUCAAUAGCAUGUAUAUCAAUAAAAUAAUAAAUUAAUCAUAAAAAAUAAUGAUUAAAACGUAAUACUCCCCUUAGUGAAUAAUAAAUUAUCUUUAUCGCAGUGUCAAGAACGUGAUGAUAACGUGUUGUAGGCAUAAUUUACUAAACAAUUAUGUAGACCAUAUAGAGUGAGAGGGUGCGGCAUAGAAAGAAGAAGAGAUAGAUGUAUAAUUGUGAGGUGUGUUUGAUUCACCCCAUUGUGCCUUUAUUUAUAGUAGCAGGAUAGGUAAAAACCUUUCUAUUUAGGUUACAACAUUUAAUAGGUAAUCAACUCCUAAUAGGAAUAUAAGAUACAUUCAUAUAUCUACUAGGAUUUACACAAUCAUAUUCCUAUUCUAAAUAGGACUGCAACAUAUUUUAUAAAUAUUUAUUUUUGUGUUGUUAAAAUCAUCUGUAAAUGAGGCUUAAAGAAAAAACUGCAAAAUUUUAUUUUGUAAAGUUAAGUUAUUGUCCUUAACUUUUUUGUUGAGAUAGAAGACUAAAUUGUAUUUUCACCCUCUUCUGAUUGAUAAAAAAAUGUUCUAUUAAUAUGUAGUUGAUUUUUGUAGCCAAAAUGGUGCCUAAAAUUUACAUAACAUAUCACUUUAGUCCCUGAGAUUGAAAAUCAAUAGAAAUGGUAUCUGAGAUUGUCCACCAUCCAUUAUUUUGGUCAUUCCGUUAAAAACUCCGUUAAGUAUCUCGAAACUCUUGGCCGGAAGUUUGGGUAAUUUUCAAAGCUUUGUAACUCAAUCGUUUCUUAACCAAAUUCGACCCAUAAUAUAUCAAAAUGAAGAUAGGAAAGUGCAGAACAAGAUUAUACCUAUUUGGAAGCCUAAUGGUUGACAGAGAUGACCACAAAAUAGUCUGAAAGGUGACUGGUUUGAGGGAAAAUUGGAAAACUCGCCAGAAACUGGAUAAACUUUAGACGUUCAUAACUUCUUCAAUACUUAACGAAAUCGAAUGAUUCAAAAAAUGAAAAUCAUACUUCUUAAUGAUACGAAGAGAAUGAUACCUUUCUUGAUGACUAAUUCACCGUGUUUUGAUCGGAAAAUGAUUAAAAAGUGGCUAACUCGAGACUAAGAAAGCCAAUUUCGAGCCGUUUUCCGACCAAAUACGGCGAGUUAGCCGUCAAGAAAGGUACCAUUCUCUUUGUCUCGUUAAGAAGUAUGAUUUUAAUUUCUGAAUCACUCGAUUUUGUUGAGUAUUGAAUAAGUUAUAAACGUUUAAAGUUUACCUAGUUUUCCAGUUUUCCUGCGGACCAGUCACCUUUUAGGCCAUUUUCCGGCCAUCUCCAUCAACCAUUGCGCUUCAAAAUAGGUAUAAUCUUGUUCUACACUUUCCUAUCUUCAUUUUGAUAUAUUAUGGGUCGAAUUUGGUUAAGAAACAAUUAAGUUACGAAACUUUGAAAAUUGCCUAAACUUUCUGCCAAGAGCUCCGGAAUACUUAACAGAGUUUUUAACGAAAUGACCAAAAUAAUGGAUGAUGGACAAUCACAUGGACAAUUUCUAUUGAUUUUCAAUCUUAGGAUCAAAUUAAUGUGUUAUGCAAAUUUCAAAGACAAUUUUGGCUAAAAAAUAGUUUAAAUGUAGCCAUAGGAAUACCAUCCAAAGGAUCCAGAUCCUCUCCGGAUCUCUCUCCGGACGCUUCAUCUUCACCGUUGGUUGAGAUCGUGCGGCCAGAAAUUUUUUAAUCUUCCCUCCUCCCAAAAUUUUUACCCCUUUGACGCCCUCCUCUGCCUGACUCUCUCUCUCUCUGUGCCCCUCGCUUCAUCCUGUCUCUCUGGAACUCCCUCUCUCCGAGACCCUUGCCUUUCUUCAAUCAUCGUGGUCGAUCUCAUCCAAAAGCAAUAUGGCUUUUGGUGACAAAGUAUGAACGGUGGAAUUGUUUUGUUCACCAAAAAAAAAAAAAAAAGUAUGAACGGUGGAUGGCAUAAACCCGAUCGAUGUUGCAGCCGGAGCCCCAUCUUCCGGUCACACCCAUCAUCGCCGACAUCCUCUCUCUCGACCCAUUUUCUUCACAGCGGCGAAGACACCAAGCAGGUGAGUUAGUUUCCUAUUCUAAUUUGAAUUUUAUCGGAUUUUUAUUUCCUACCCGAAAAUGAUUUCCUUUUUCGAUUAGGUUUCGGAUUCGCUGUGUAUAUAAGUAGGAGAUAUUCAGUGUUGGAUUGCAUAUUAGAAUUUUAGAAUUUUUAAUUGCAGUUGGUUGUCCGAUUCCUGCGGCCAUGGGAUCCCAGCCCCUGCCUUCUGCUUCUGAUGAGCAGUUGGCAUCAAAACUCCUCCUCAUCAAUGAUCUGCCUGAUGGCGUAUUGGUUGAAAUCCUUUGCCGACUUCCUUACAAAUACGCUCGUCGAAAUAAGCGUGUGUGCAAGCGGUGGUUGGCUCUCAUCUCUAAUUCUUAUUUUGCUGCCCGCAUUUUAUGCAUGCAAAUUGAUAGGAACAAACCCAUUACGCUGCUGCGUACUCUCUUGUUCUCGAACACUACCGCCAAACCUUCCCCCGCCGGAUUCACCUUUCGUCAUAUCAUCUUCGAUGCUCUGCUUUGGAAAACAAGCAUUGCAGCUCUUCACCUCAUCCCGCGGUUUAAAGGCACAAAAGAAAAGCUAGUGGUGGCCAUGUAUAAUGACUUAGUUUUGUGCUGCCUGACCAAGGAUGAUCCACAUAAAUACUACAUAUGCAAUCCAAACGCCCGGCAAUGUGUUGCCCUUCCUCCCGCCCCCCCCACACCACAAGAUCGCACAAGUGGGAUUCAUCUGCGAUCCCUACUAUGCCAGCCAAGAACAAGAUAAUGGUGGCAGUACUGGUACUAGUAUAACCACCAAUGAUGAGUAUCGGUGCAGGGUUGUGCGAAUUAUUCAACUUGGAAACUAUUUAUCUCAAUUUAAGGUGGACAUCUUCUCUUCAGAAACUGGUGAAUGGAGAGAAUCAGUUGUAUCAUGUCCACAACAAGGUAUUAGUUUUGAUUUCACCUUCAACCGUCCAGGCAUUGCUUACAAUGGAAAGUUGUAUUGGCCGAGUUAUGGUGGCGUUAUCGGGUUUGAUCCGUUUGCACCGCACAACGGUAACUAUGGGUGUCGGUUCAUUGAGUUUGAUGAGCCUUUGGACUAUACAAAAACGGUUGCGUGUCUAGGGAUUUGCCGAGGGCGCCUGCGGAUGUGCCAAUUACAGACGUGGAUGCCACCAGAAACAUUUUCUAAUCCCUAUAAUGAUGGUCGCCCUCUCAUUGUAUGUGUCUCGGAGUUGAAAGAAGAUGAGGCAGCCGGAGGAGGAAGAGUCAAAUGGUGUUUGAUACACAAGGCUUCCUUGGACGAAUUGGAUGUGGGGAAGCAUGAUUUCCUCAACGAUUGUAUAAGAUUGCGCUACAAGAUUCGGGUGCUAGCAGUGGACCCGAAUGAUGGGGAUAUUUUAUACUUGGAGAUGGGUGGACACAUAAUCAAAUGCAACAUUCAAGCAAGAACUUUAGAGAAACCUAGAGGUCAAAGGUAUGGUCGUAACACUUUUGAUUUUUGGCCUUGGAGAGACGUCUGGACAUAUGUGAUUCCAUGUUGGCCAACGCCAUUGCCUAGAGUUGGACUGCCGCCGCUGUCCAGAAAAAGAAAAAGAGAAGAAAAACAGGCUGCCAUAGUCUCCUAGCUAAUUUAUUUUGAUUACUACAGUGACUUAUUUUCUGAAUUUUUCGGUCACAUCAUGAUGUAUUAAACUAAACCGUUUUUGUUAAAACAUGUUUUGGCCAUUCUACAUUUCCUUCUCCGAUGAGGCGGCUAAGAAUGUUGUAUGACGAAAAUACAUUAAUCACAAUUUAAUGGACAAAGAGGUGUAUCCGUAGGGAUAGGGUGAACACUAAUAUUAUGCUUCUUUCAUCAUCUUGUAAGGUAAGAGUUAUUUUCCGAGAAAUGCUACAAGGUUGUAGAGAAAAUUGUUCAUAAGUGGAAAGUGGAAAACCCGGGUCAACAUUCUAAUCAUAAGUUUUCGAUCCUACUAUGAAUAAAGACUUGUAUAACAUUAGUACACCGCAAUUGUAAUGUUUAAAUAACAUAAUGUCAUGUGUAAAUUUAUCUCUACAAAAUAAUGGAUGAAUAGCACGAACGUUGUAUUAACAGUGUACUGUAUUACGGAAGCUGCUCUAGUGUAUUUGGUUUAUGACCCUCAUUUCACUUAAUUCCAUUACUAAAAUAUCAAUGCUUUACUGAGUUUUGUAUCUAUGAUAUAUCAAGCUAAUUUUCAAACAAACAGAGCAGAAAGCUCUGUUUCUUUUUCUUUUGUUUCUAUUUGUGUUGUGUGAGAGAAAUGACUCAGUGGUGUAUGCAAAGUACCAAUAACUGCAAAGCACUGCAGCAAACACCAACUCCAAUGGGGCCACGACAAUGAGAUGGCGUGUUCUUUGGCGCUAGUGAAUCAAAAUGAAGACUAGUCCAACAACUGCAACUUUCAAUCCUCCUUCCAAAUCUCCACAAUCGCCUCAUACUUGAUAGCAUCGUCCUCGUUCGCUGUUAAGGGGUGAGAUUGAAAAAUUGAAAACCGAAAAAAAUUGAAUUGAAUAACGAAUCAAAGUUUGAAAAAACCGUAUAAAAAUUAUUGGUUCAUUUUUGAUUUUGUUGAUUAAAAAACCAAACCGAAUUAAAUGAAAUAUAUAUUAAUUUUAUUUAUUUAUGUUUGUUAUUUAUUAUCUAAUCCAAACUUCAAACCAAUCAUUAACCCAAUUUAGGCUCAAAUAUGUUGAAAGUCAAACUUUAAGUCCAAAUAUGUUAAAAAGUCUUAUUACCUAGAAACCCUAGCAUGUCCUCUAUAUUGUAUUUGUUUUAUCCUCCUUUUUUUCUCCCCAGCCUCAUCUUCUUUCUCUCCCUCUUCUUUUCUUGUAUCAUUCUCUCCCAUUUCUCUCUCUUUUUCUUCUCCAAUCUUCCUCUCUCUCAUUUAUUUCCCUUUUUUUUUCCCUUCCCUGCCGCAUAUUCUUUUCUCUCUUCUUUCCCUUUCUCUGUAACUCUGCCUCUUUCUUCUCACUCAUCUUCUCUGUCACAUCGCCCAAUGGAAACUAAAGCUUAAGGAGUUGGAGGACUUAGAGGAGUCCAAGGACUCGGAGGAGUCAGAAUUUAGGCGAUCAAUUGUUCCACUAGAUUUGCUAUUUCUUGGUGAGUGUAAUGUCUCUGCAAACUUCUCGUGAAGACAUCUCUUUACAGAGGCAAGAUUCAUAGAGGAGUGUAUUGUUGAAACUACCUCAUUCACAACACAAGGUGUAUCCAAAUAAUUUAUUUAAGGAGACGGAGGUUGGGGCUUACCCUCGAGAAGAAGAGCAAACUAAAGCUUGAGGAACUGGAGGACUCAGAGGUGUCAAAGGACUCGAAGGAGUCGGAUCUUAGGUGAUCAUUGUGCUAUGGGGAGGUAACUUUCAGAAUGAUCGUCUAACUCUGAAUCCUCUGAGUCCUCCGGUUCCUCAAGCUUCAGUUUGCUAUGCUUCAUAAGGUAAGCCCCAACCUCCGUCUCUUGAAAAAAAUUCUAUGUAUACAUCUAUUGUUGUUAUCCCAUUGUGAGACACAGUGUACUCCUCCACCCCCUUAGAAACAAUAAUAUCUUUGACUUUCAACGAUCGGAGAAAAAACUCUCAAUGCUAAGAGAAUCGCUCUCUGAUCCUCUGCAUCUUAGUUUACUUGAAGCGUUUUUGGUACAUUAUGUCUCUAUUUCGAUCUUUGGGUUCUUAUCCGCUCUGGAUCGUAUAAGAACCCAAAGAUAAAAAAGAGAGAUGGAAUCAACCGAAAGCGCUUCAAGUAAACUAAGACGCAGAGGAUCAGAGGAUCAGAGGGCGGUUCUCCGAUCGUUGAGAGAUUUUUCUCCGAUUCGUUAAGAGUCUCACAAUGGGCUAAUAAUAAUGGGUGUAUCCAAAGAAUUAAUUUUUUUUCAGGAGACGGAGGUUGGGGCUUGCGAAACUAAAGCUUGAGGAGCCCGAGGACUUAGAGGACUCGGAGGACUCGGAAGAUUCGGAGGUUAGGCAAUCAUUCUGAAAGUUAGCUCCUCACAGCAGAAUGAUCGCCUAAGCUCCGACUCCUCUGAAUCCUUGGACUCCUCUGAGUCCUCCAACUCCUCAAGCUUUAGUUUGCUCGUUUUUCUCGAGUGUAAGUCCCAACCUCCGUCUCCUUAAACAAAUUAUUUGGAUACACCUUGCGUUGUGGAAGAGGUAGUUUCAACAAUACACUUUUCUGUGAAUCUUGCCUCUGUAGAGAUAUGUCUUCACGGGAAUUUGUAGAGACAUUGCACUCACCAAGAAAUAGCAAAUCUAGUCGAACAAUUAAACUAAACAAAUCAAAUUUCACAAUCAAGCACAUUAAGAAAUAGCAAACCUAGUCGAACAAAUGAAAUUCAUAAUAAAACACACCAAGAGAUAGCAAACCUAGUCAGACAAAUGAAAUUUCAGAAUGGAAUGCACCAAGGAAUAGCAAACCUAGUUGAACAAUUGAAUUGAACAAAUCAAAUUUCAGAAUCAAAAGCACCAAGAAAUAGCAAACCUAGUCAAGCAAAUGAAAUUUAGAAUCAAAUGCACCAAGAGAUAGCAAACCUAGUUAAACAGAUGAAAUUUCAGAAUGAAACGCACCAAGAAAUAGUUAACCUACUCGAACAAAUGAAAUUUCAAAAUGAAACGCACCAAGAAUAGUAGUUGAACAAUUGAACUAAACAAAUUAAAUUUCAUAAUCAAACGCACCAAGAAAUAGCAAACCUAUUCGAACAAAUCAAAUUUCAGAAACUAUAAUAUAGAUAUAUGAUCCAGAUCAAAUAAGAAUACAAAGACCGGAAGAGAGACGAAAUCUAUCGAAAAAAAUUCAAGUAAACUAAUGAGAGCUUAUUCUCCAAUCGUUGAGAGCUUAUUCUAUGAGAGGAAAUGGGAGAGAUGAGAGAGUCUUUUUUCUCAAAGAUGGAAUGGGAGAGAUUGCCAGAUUGGAGAGAGAGAGAGAAGCAAUAGUGACGGUUACAACGUCGAGUAUAAGAGCUCCAAGAGCCUAGUUGACUAGGCAAAUUUCUUUUGUUGAAAUGGAUUGGAGAGAGAACGUGAGAACCAAAAGUGAUGGUUACAAAUGUACAACGUCGAGUAUACCAGCUCCAAAGCCUAGUUGAUUAGGCAAAUUCAUUUUGUUGCCAAAAGAUUUACUCUUUUUCUUCUUAGAGAAUUCUAGGGUUUGCUAGAAGGUUUUUAGUAGGCCUGGCAAUUCCUAACACGACACAACACGAAAUUAACAGGUGUUCGGGUCGACACAAUAACGAAUUGGGUGGUUAUCGGGUAACCCAAUAAGCACCUGUUAAGAUAACGGGUUGGUUCGGAUACACGUAGGUAAUACGAUACACAAUAAGCAAAAUAUUAAUUUUAUAAUUAUAUAACCCUAAAAAAUACUAUAAUAAUUAUACAUAUAUAUAUAUAUAUAUUAAUUUAACAAUUUUAUACCCCUAAAAAUUAUAAAAAUUAUAUAUAUAUAUUAAAUUAAAUUUAAAAAAUUGGUGACCAUUGGAUCGGCUUAAAUAUACAUACCAUUCAAUUUCUUAAGUGUUAUACGUACAUAAUAAAUAAAUUUAAAUCUACUUAAUAAAUAUAUAUAUAUACCAUUGAACUUGAUGGGAUACGAAUUCUACAAAACUAAUUUCAACAAUCCAACCGUCAAACUUGUUUGUAUAUGCUUCGAGAUCGCAUCAGCAAAAUAUCGCAAAAAACAAACAUUCAGAGAUCAAGUAACGGGAUAAAACUUUUCGACGAUUAUAAAACGAAAAAUCACGAUUUAACGGUUAUUUUAACUCCGAUUUUGAUUAUUUUUUAUAGCUACACUCCUCGAUCCUAUAUGAAUACAAUGAAUGAAUUUGAUCUUCAAUUUAAAAUAUUUACACUAGUGGAUACCACACAAUCUUAUGUUAUACUUGAUGAAAGUAUAAAUAAACUCUAAGUGUUAGUGAAUCUAUCGUUUUGAUGGGAUACGCAUCCUACAAAACUAAUUUUAACAAUCCAACCGUCAAACGUAUUUGUAUAUGCUUCGAGAUCGCAUACACCAAAAAUCGCAAAAAACAAACAUUCAGAGAUCAAUGAACGAGACAAAACUUUUCGACGGUUAUAAACAAAAAAUCACGAUUUAACGGUUAUUUUAACUUCGAUUUUGAUGUUUAUUUUACAGCUACACUCCUAUAUGAAUACAAUGAAUUAAUUCAAUCUUCAAUUUAAAAUUUUUACACUUGUGGAUACCACAAAUCUUAUGUUAUACUUAAUGAAAGUAUAAAUAAACUCUAAGGGUUAGUGAAUCUAUCGUUGUAAUGGGAUACGCAUUCUAUGAAACUAAUUUCAACGAUUCAACCGUCAAACUUGUUUGUAUAUGCUUCGAGAUCGCAUACGCCAAAAAUCGUAAAAAAUAAACAUUAAGAGAUCAAGUAACAAGACAAAACUUUUCGACGGUUAUCAACGAAAAAUCACGAUUUAAUAGUGAUUUUAACUCCGAUUUUGAUGAUUUUUUUACAGCUACACUCCUUGACCCUAUAUGAAUACAACGAAUGAAUUCAAUCUUCAAUUUAAAAUAUUUACACUAGUAUGUUAUACUUAAUAAAAGUAUGAAUAAACUCUUUUAAGUGUUAGUAAAUCUAUUGUUUUGAUGGGAUAUGUAUUAUACGAAACUAGUUUCAACGAUCCAACCGUCAAACAUGUUUGUAUAUAGUUCGAGAUCGCAUACGCCAAAAAUUGCAAAAAACAAACAUUUAGAGAUCAAGUAAUGGAUAAAACGUUUUGACGGUUAUAAAACAAAAAAUCACUAUUUAUAUUUAACGGUUAUUUUAACUCCGAUUUUGAUUAUUUUUUAGAGUUACACUCCUUGAUCCUAUAUGAAUACAAUGAAUAAAUUCGAUCUUCAAUUUAAAAUAUUUACACUAGUGGAUACCACAAAUCUUAUGUCAUACUCAAUGAAAAUAUAAAUAAACUCUAAAUGUUAGUGAAUCUAUGUGAUGGGAUACACAUCCUACGAAACUAAUUUCAACAAUCUAACCGUCAAACUUGUUUGUAUAUGCUUCGAGAUUGUAUACACCAGAAAUCGCAAAAUACAAACAUUCAAAGAUCAAGUAAUGGAUAAAACUUUUCGACGAUUUUAAACGAAAAAUCACUAUUUAACAGUUAUUUUAACUUCGAUUUAUUUCCCUUUUUUUUCUUGUCAUCAUUCUCUCCCAUUUCUCUCUCUUUUUCUUCUCCAAUCUUCCUCUCUCCCAUUUAUUUCCCUUUUUUUUCCCUUCCUUGCCGCAUAUUCUUUUCUCUCUUCUUUCCUUUCCUUUGUAACUCUGCCUCUUUCUUCUCACUCAUCUUCUCUGUCACAUCGUCCAAUGGAAACUAAAGCUUAAGGAGUUGGAGGACUUAGAGGAGUCCAAGGACUCGGAGGAGUCAGAAUUUAGGCGAUCAAUUGUUCCACUAGAUUUGCUAUUUCUUGGUGAGUGUAAUGUCUCUGCAAACUUCUCGUGAAGACAUCUCUUUACAGAGGCAAGAUUCACAAUCAAGAUAAUAUAAGCAAGAUAAUAUAAAUUCUUUUUUUUCUAACAAAAAAAUUAAAAGGAGAUUAGCUAUUCUCACCACCACUGCCAGGACACAUAUAAAUUUAUUUUCACAAUCAAGAUUCUAACCCAAUCUUUUAAAUAGUAUAUGAAUUCACCACAACACAUGUAUGAAAAUAUAGCUUUUAGAAGGCUAGAAAUUUGAGCAUGCAAAUUUUCACCCUUUAUGAAAUUACAUGACUAAUAUCAAUUAAAAGUUUGGCAGUAUAAAAAUGCAUGUUAAGAAAUACUUGAAUUAUGAUGAAGUAUUAUCUACUAUUGAGGGAGCAUCACUUGUCAAAACAUGAGAGUCCAACAUGAGUUUAAAAGAUUUUGAAUUUCUUCACUCAUGAAUCAACAAUUAAUUUUGAGUUGGAUGAUUUUGUUAUGAUAUUAUAUUAAAGUUAAAUUAUUCACGUAGCUGACCUAAUAUUCUAAUUAGAGUUAAGUUGUUUAUGUGUUAAUCUAACAUAUUUAACGAUUUUAUGUGCUCUCACAUUACCAAAUACUCACAAAUAGACAUUAAUGUUAUCGUUAUUAAACUAUCAAAGAUAGACAAUUGAUGUUAACGUCAUUAAACUAUCAAAGAUACUUAUACAACGUGUUUUUCCCUUCCAAAAUGGCAAUUAGAUUACUAAAUAAUAAUUGUUUAGAAAAGAAUCAUAAUUAAGUGGUGACAUCCGUAGUUGUCUGCUCCCCCGCACACUCUCGUUUCUCAUACAAAUCGUGUCGGGCCAAAAAUCCCUCCCCAAUACGUUCACCUUUUUAUUUUCCUUUUCUUUUUAUUUCCACCCCGUUUAAUUUCUCCCGCGGCGCACUUUAUACAGCCGACCUUCCCAAUUUUCCUACUCAACGCUGACGUGCUCACUUCACUCCCUUCGUCGAAUCCAUUAACGCCACCGCGGUAGAGCUCCGCCGCACACAGGUCUGACCUCCGCCACCCCUCUCUUUUACUCCCAGUAGGCCUUAGUAACUGGAUGAAAAACCGUAGGUAGAUUUCGUAUUUUUUAAUUCUUUUUUUCUUCUUCUGUAUUUUCAAUGGUAGAAUUUCUCGAUUGAGGACUUAGAGUAGAGGGAGGCCAUUGGCAGAAUGCGGAGAGGAGCUUACUCGUUGGCAGAAGCUUAUCGAGGAUUUGAAUUUUGCAAGUUUUAGAAUUGUGAAUGUUUGUGUUUGUCUGCGAUUUGAUGGGUGUUCGGAUUUCUAGGGGUGGUUUCAAUUUAUGAUGAUUGUAGCUGCAUUGCUCAAGGGCGGGGUGCAUGUGAAUCAUGAGCCUUAAUUUUUUGACAAUAGAGAAGUGGAAGGUGAUGAUUGGUUUCCCUGAUUUGGGCACUGAAGCUGGAUUAGGGUUAUGAACGACUCCGUUUUCGUAAAAAGAUAUGGUUGACAAAAUUGAUGGGAAGGAGAAGAAGUCCGGCCUUAAGAUAAGAUCGAAGUUUGUCGAGGCGAAUAUGGUUGAUUCUGAGGAUGAUGAGCCAAUUGGGUCACUGUUGACGUUGAAGAGGCAGACAAACCCUAAGAAGGUUAAGGGUGGCGGCGAAAGGGGCAAGAAGGUUGACGAUGAAGAAGAUGAUUUGGGGUGCCUGGAUGAUACUUUGGCAAGUUUGAGGAAGAAGUUGAAGGGUCCCAAGAAAGAUUAUGGGACUGGAACUAUGAGGGGAAGGAGUUUUGCUUUGGAUAGUGUACAGUCUGCGGAGCGGUACUCUAAUGGGCAUGUGGACGACGGGGGUUUGGAUGGAAAAUCGGUGUCAAGGGUUUUAGAGAAAGAUCCUGUUAUGGGUGAUGAUGGAUCUGAUGUGACUAUCGGUAUAGAGGUAGAAAACAAGCUUAAUGGAAAGGGAAAGAGACCCAAGAUUUCAGGGUCUCUGGGAUUUGGGGAAGGUUCUAAUUGCCUUUUGGAUCAUCAUCCGGAAGAUUCAUUAUCAGCAUUUUCCCGGAAGUCACAAUCUGGUUUGAUUAUGAAUUCUCGUGCCUCUUCAAGUCCUAAAGAGAAGAGUGGUUCUAAGGUUUUGGAGGAUGGGUUGAACACCAUGCCUUUGGCUGGUUCAAAUCCAUUGGAUUCAGCCUCUGAUCUGUAAAGAAGAUGAAAGUCAAAGUUUUGAUGACAGAUUUUGUCAAGCCUCUAACCGUCACAGGGAAAAUCAAGAGACAUUCAACGAUAAAAAGCAUAAAAGGCCCUACAAAGUCGUUUCAGAAGAUCGAGUUCCUAUCUACUCACAUUCAGGAUUUGAUUCCAAAUUGAUUAACAAUGAAGCCAUAGUGGAUCCUUCUGGUUCAAAUUUUCAAGAGGGACCAUGCAGACGAAGUUAAUGAUGGAGACAAAAAACAUUUGACACAGGAAAUGCAAACUUUUGAGGAUGGAUUGAAGAACUGCUCUAUGGGAGGUUCCAUUCAGUACAAGAUGUUUUGGGUAGAUGCACCUCAGCUGCAGACUGUGCAACCUCUUCUCCAGCUCGGAAAGGAAUUCUGCGGCCUCGUUAUAAUGAUGAUCUUCUGGAUAAGUCAUGUGAAGAUAUGUCGGAGGACAAACAGUUGGUGUCCUCGUUACAUCUACAACAGAACUCCUUGACUGAUUCCAUGUCAAGAUUGGGGAUGAGCUUGGUUCUGAUUGGUGUCCAAAGUUUUCCCAGCGUACUCAACAUCAGUUGUCGAACUUUGCCUCCAACAAUCUGGGGAUGGAAGACACCCGCAGUAAUUGUAAUGGUCUAAUUUCUUACACUAAGAAUCCUGGCCUUGCUUCUGGUCCUUUGCGGGAGGAAAAUGAUGUGCCAAAUCAUGAUCAUCUUAUCACUAGUGAAGAGGCUGAUGAAAAUGAGAGUUUCCCAGAAGAUACAGUAUCUCUACCAGAUGUUGAAAACAAAAACACUAAGCUAUCAGCUGUCCAGCGUGUGGGGUGCAUUGUUAAAAAGCGUAGGCAUGGAGACAUGGCUUACGAGGGGGAUGCUGAUUGGGAGGUAUUGAUAAAUGAUCAAAGUUUGGAUAGUGACAAUUUGAGAGUGAAGUUUGACUCCUCUUCAAGUAUCGGUACAGAGUCUGAAAGUGGUGAGGCUGCAGCAGUGUCUACUGGUCUUAAAGCUCAUGCAGUUGGUCCUGUUGAGAAGAUCAAAUUCAAGGAGAUCUUGAAGCGCAGAGGUGGGGUUCAGGACUAUUUGGAAUGCAGGUUAGUAGUUAAUUCUGAAAUCUGCAUAUGAUAUGGGUUUCUUGUACGAAUUGCAGUCUUUCAGAAAUUUGUACUUGAUACUAAUUAUAGCUGUUACUUUAUCCAUUUUACUUGAUAAUUCUUACUAAUUAUUCAAAUGUUUUGGUUUUCUGUCGCAUCCAACUAAUGCUAAGUUCUGUUUGGAGGGUCGAGUUUUCUUUUUAAAUUUUGAUGCCGCUUUGCUUAAGUUGACAUUAAUAAAAUUGAUGGUAUAUUUAUGUUUGUAUUAGUGGCAUUUUGGUUUAGAUAUUUUUUUUUCUCUUCUUUAAGUGGUUGUGUCCAAGUUUUGAGGUGUGGUCUUCUCUUCUUUUGAAUGAAAAUAUUGUAUCAAUUUUUCAAUGUAGUUCAAAAUUUUUUUUCUUCUGGUUUAAUUGUUUUGCCUGAUAAGCUCUAUCUUGUUUAGUUAAGCACUGCUUGGUGCAAUACAGGAAUCAGAUCCUUGCUCUGUGGAAUAAAGAUGUUAGUCGAAUUUUGCCUCUCGCUGACUGUGGGGUAACAGAUACUGCUUGUGCGGAUGAACCACCUCGUGCUUCCCUAAUUAGGGAUAUUUAUACAUUCCUCGAUCUCAGUGUAAGUCUAUAAAGCCUUUUAUGGAUUUUUAUAUGUUCCAAGUUCAAUAUUGAUCAGUCUUCUUCUUCUUCUUCUUUUCCUAGUGUCUUUUCAUUCUUGCAUUUCCUAGGGAGGGAUUGCAGUAUUAGCUUGUCUUAUCUUUCUAAUGUAUGAAAACCUGGACAGGGCUAUAUAAAUAUUGGGAUUGCUCGUGAGAAGGAUAAAGCGGAAUCUGAUCCCAAGCAUGACUAUAAAAUUCUGAGAGAAAAAAAUUUUGAGGAAAUUUUUGGGGUUUCAGUUGCUGAUUCAGAGGAUGGAGUUUCCUUUAUCACAGGCCAGGUUAAGAGUUCUAAAACUAAAAUUGAUGCGAAGAGUGGUGUCAUAAUUAAAAGCGACAAAUUGACUCAGGAAGUCACAAAAGACAACGGGCUUGUAACCACAGCGGCAUUGGAAUUGUCCAAUACAAAAAACCAUGCUGAGUUUGAGGCUGAUCACCCGGAAAACACCAGUGUUGAUGCAAGGUUACAAAGUAAAUUGGACAACAUGGAUGUUUCAAGUAUUUAUCCAAUUAGUGAGACAUUGGGUGAUGGAGGCAUCCCUCAUGAAACUCCAGAGUUAAAGAAUGUAUCACACAGUACUCAGUGUGCAUCACAAGAUCAUGCAGUGAGGAAUAAUAAUCCGCAAUGCUGUCCGGAAGUGAAAAAGAAAAUCAUUGUCAUAGGUGCUGGUCCUGCUGGAUUAAUUGCUGUAUGCAACUUGCAACGUCAGGGCUUUUCAGUCACUAUAUUGGAAGCUAGGAGUAGGAUAGGGGGCCGUGUUUAUACAGACAGGUUAUCUCUAUCAGUUCCUGUGGAUCUUGGUGCUAGCAUUAUAACGGGUGUUGAAGCUGAUUGGGCGACUGAAAGACGACCAGACCCCUCCUCUUUGGUUUGUGCACAGCUGGGCCUUGAGUUGACUGUCUUAAACAGUGAUUGCCCUCUUUAUGACAUUGCAACAGGUGACAAGGUUCCUGCAGAUCUGGAUGAAGCAUUGGAAGCAGAGUUCAACAGCCUUCUUGAUGACAUGGUAUUGCUUGUUGCACAGGAGGGAGAACAGACAAGAAUGUCUCUCAAGGAAGUUUUGUAAUAUGCCCUCAAGAGGCGUUGUAUGGCAAAAACAGCGACCAGUGUUGAAGAAAAAGAACUGCAUGGUUUAAUGGAUGGUUUCAUUCUAAGGUCGUACCCAGUGCACAAGGCUCCCGCUUUACGCAGGGUCUGGGAGAGGUGAAUGUCGGCUAGCCUUACCCCCAUUUAUGGAGAGGCUGCUCCCAAAAAAAAAAAUUGAUAGAGCUGAGAAAAGUUGUCAAAAGCUAGAGCUUUUGAGCCCUCUUGAGAGGAGGGUCAUGGAUUGGCAUUUUGCCAAUUUGGAUUAUGGUUGUGCUGCUCCACUGAAGGAGGUAUCUCUCCCCAACUGGAACCAGGAUGAUGUUUAUGGUGGCUUUGGAGGAGCUCACUGCAUUAUUAAAGGGGGUUACAGCACUGUUGUUGAGUCUCUUGGAGAAGGACUUCAAAUUCACUUGAAUCAUGUAGUCACUGAUAUUUCAUAUGGCACCAAGGACGCUGGAUUGAACACUAACCGGUAUAACAAAGUCAAGGUUUCCACAUCUAAUGGCAGCGAUUUUUCAGGAGAUGCGAUUUUGAUUACGGUGCCUCUUGGGUGCUUAAAAGCAGAAACCAUCAAAUUUUCCCCACCAUUGCCCCACUGGAAACAUUCUUCCAUCCUGCGGCUUGGGUUUGGAGUUCUUAAUAAAGUAGUUUUGGAAUUUCCAGGUGUCUUUUGGGAUGAUUCUGUGGAUUACUUUGGAGCAACUGCUGAGGAAACAGAACUGAGGGGCCAGCGCUUUAUGUUCUGGAAUGUCAAGAAAACCGUCGGGGCUCCUGUUUUCAUAGCCUUAGUGGUUGGUAAGGCAGCUAUAGAUGGGCAAAAUAUGAGCUCUUCUGAACAUGUUACCCAUGGGAUAGUGGUUCUUCGUAAAUUGUUUGGAGAGGCUUCAGUACCUGAUCCUGUUGCAGCAGUUGUGACAGAUUGGGGUAAGGACGGUGCCUACUCAUAUGUUGCUGUUGGAGCUUUGGGGGAAGAUUAUGAUAUACUAGGGAGACCUGUUGAGAACUGCCUAUUUUUUUGCUGGUGAAGCUACCUGCAAGGAGCAUCCUGACACUGUUGGUGAUGCGAUGAUGAGUGGCCUCCGGGAGGCAGUGCGUAUAAUUGACAUACUGACUACUGGAAAUGAUUACACAGCAGAAGCAGACGCCAUUGCGGGUAUUCAGAGACAAUC